UUUUUUUUUUUUUAUGUAUAUACAUACAUUUGAAUUAUAUUUUAUUUUAUUUCAUUUAUUUAUUUGGUAAUGAUUGAUCCGGGUGUCUAUCAGAAAUAACCUCUCUACUUCUUCAGAGGUAGCGGUAUAGAAUGCGUACAUCUUUGAUACAAGAUCUACAAGGAACACACAAACAACACCAACCGUGGACCCUUUUGAUGACCACUCUCAGAUUCCACAAAAUCACAAUGUAUUGUGGUGUUUAACACCUAAAAACAGCCUCAACAAUCUAUGUUAACAUCAUCAAGAUAAAGAACAACACACGGGUUACAAGAGAAACAAUACACCACACGGCUACAAGAUUACAACAAAGGAAAUGAUAGAGAGUGUGACAUACACUACUACAAAGACCAAGAACCUAAGUUUAUUCAAGCACACAGACCCUUGAUAAAGAUAGUAGAAACACCUACACUAAGCGGUGGACACAAGAGAGGACCUCAAUCCGUCUAGCACCCAACGAUCCAAGCAAACAAACAACAAAAGUGAUUCCACACCUAAGUUGUUUCCUAGUUUCAGCUAAGUCUUUAUGGAAGAGAGAACUUGUGUUUUUCAAGUGUGUUAUACAAUCUUCAAUAUAAAAAAAACUAAGUAAAGUAACCCUAAAAUGUUUCUUAUAUAGUGUAUUACAAAUAGAAGGCAGAAAGCCCAAAAUACCCCUUAGAGAUUAGGUGCCCCUCUAGUGUGAAUUAGUGGCUGUUUUGAUAUGUUUUAAGCCCUUAAUUCCACUUCUCUUGCACACACAUGGAAGAAUUCAAUACACAUCCUCAUAAGUUCAUCUAUGUGAUCGCACUUGUAUCAAUCUUACCCUCCCCGGAUCCCAAUCUUGUGGGAAUACACUGGGGAUGUUAUUGUUGUUGUUGAUGAUAAUAAUAGUGUCUGGACUAAUUUGCAAGCAUCUCGACUAAUUUCACAUGAUACCUUCCAUUUUCCCACCAAUGUAGAUAUCAGGUAAAUCCGUCCACCAAGACCAGAAUAAAUAUGAAGAAAUUACCUAUUAUUUGUCUUGGUCGAAAAUUAAAUGCAGAAGGGAACCCAUAAUCAAGUUGGUUGUUUGGCUCAGAUGGUCCUUUUCCAUUCAUUUUCACUAACAUAAAUAUCAACCCUUUUAGAAGUAAUUACACUCUCCAACUUUUUAAAUUACUUUACUCUCUCUCCCACUUUUUUAAUUACUUUACUCUCUCUCCCUAUUAAUAUACAUAACAUAGCCGACAUAUACACAACAUUCUGUGUAUAUGUUGAGUUUUUUGUAAUAUAUUUAGGGAGUUGGGAUUUUUGUAAUAUUGAAAACAUAAGUUGUGUAUUUGUGUAAUUUUUAGUGUUUUUUUUUUUAAGUAAAAUCCUUUUCUCAAUUUCUUAUUAAUUUUUUUCCUUUUUUGGUUCUAAAAACAAACUUUUCUUUUUUGUUUUUAACAUGUACUUAUCUUUUGUGUUUGUUAUACUGUUAUCGAUCCUAAGUUGGGGAUCUAUCAGAAACAGCAUCUCUACCUUACCUGAGGUAGUGGUAUGGUCUACGUACACUCUACCUUCUCUAGACCCCACGAUGUGGAAAUACACUAGUAAAAACCUUUUCCCUUUUCACUUCUACAAUGCAAAAUCUCACCUUUUUUUUCUUAGGUUAAAACUUGGAUUGGUUCUUCUACCAACUUCUAGCGAUAAGUUAGUUGUUCGAUUUUGUUGCAUAUUAAUUUAUUUUAUUAAAAAUCCACAAUUUUAAAUUAUAAGAAUUGAAUGAUAAAAAAAUGAUCAAUAAAGAAUUAAUUUGUAAUGUUGUUGAUAAAGACAAAUGUCAAAAAAAGAAAUAACUGAUAUAUAAUUAUAAUUAGGACGAGAAAGUGUGACAAAAAUAAUAAAAUAUAGUUAAAACUUUUAUCUCCCUAAUAUAUAAAUUUUAUAUUGGAUGAUGAAACGUAUUAUAAGGUUACAUAUUUAUUUUUCAUACAAAAACUAGAAAAAACAACAUUAUUUAAUUUGUUCGAAGAAUAAUCAAGAAAUGAAGGACAUUAUUUAAUUUAUUCGAAGAAUAAUCAAGAAAUAACCUUCACCAGUAACUUAUAAGAGUAGGUAGUUUAAUAUUAUUCCCAAAAUAUGAAAGGUUACAUAUAUUUAUUUUUCUCUCACAAACUUAGAAAUACAGCGAGCUAUUAGCCAGUGGUAGACCCAGGAUUUAAGGAUUGUAGGUGAUUAAAAAAUUAAAAAUUUGAAAAAAAAUAAAAAAAAUCACCUCAACAAGGUUCGAACAUGGGAUGUUCCUUUAGUGGAGAAGCUUAAGAUCAACUUAAAUGUCAGUGCACCAAACCAACUUUUGUUUUAGUGGGUGCAUUUCUAUGUUUUAUACUUAAUUUUGUAUAUUUUUUUAUGUAAUUAUACCUAUUUUACGUCGAGUUUACUGAGUGUCGGAGCACCCCAAAAUUAUAUGUAGGUCCAUCUCUGCUAUUAACUCAGUGAUAAAGCACCACAAAUGAAUAUUCCAAUGUGUUCACUAACAUCUGAUCCAGAUCAUCCUAGAGGACCAAGACACAUUAACAUGACGUACUCUCCUUGCUCAAGAUUGUUUAGUUUGUUCAAAUAAUAUAUAGUAACAAAAUAACCUUCACCAAUAACGUAUAUUAAUAGAAGUAGUUUACCACAUGGAACAUGAAAUAUAACAUUAUUUAACUUGUUCAAAAUAAAAUGACGAAAAUAACCUUCAUCAGUAACCUACUAGGUUAAAUAUUUAUUUUUCUAAUAAAAACAUGCAUGGAGCCACAAUAUUAUUUGACUUGAUAAAAGGAUAGUUAUGAAACAUCCUUCACUAGUAACCUAUUAGAGUAAAUUGGUAGAUUUUUAAUACAUAAAAAACUUAUAAGGUUACAUAUUUAUGUUUUUUUACACAAAUAUGAAAACACAAUAUUAUUUGAUUUGCUCGAAGGCUAGUUUCAAAAUAACCUUCAUCAGUAACAAUAGCUGAUGAACUUCACCACAUAGAACAAUCACAAUAUCCAUCGUCACUAGUAUAAGUGAAAGCACAAGUUUUACAUAAAAUUCCAUCACUGCAAUCACUAUGUGAAUUGCAACUUCGACAACAAGUCAUUUCGAUAGCAAUUGAAAGAAGUGAUUUUACUUUUAUCUCUACAGCAUCAAUUGGUAAGUCUCUCAAAGCCAUCACUUUAGAACUCCCAAGAGAGAUUAACUGCACAUAAAUUAAUUGUAAUAAUAAUUAGAAUAGUUAAUAUACACAAAUGUGUGGUUUUUUAUGUCAAACAAUACUUGUCUACUAUUAUAAAAACAGAUGUCCAAAAAUACUUAUUCAGUUUAAAAAUUAAUAGAUAAUUAUAUAGUAAGAUUAUUUCUAUUAUUUAUUGUUUCUUAACAUGUGUGUCAAGUCAAUAAUGGACAAAUAUUAUUAGACAACAAAAUAUUACAAAGAUAAAAAGAGUGGUAAAAGUAAGUUUAAAAUCUGCAAUUGUCUACUAUUAUAAAAAUAAAUGUCCAACAAUAUUUAUUCAGUUUAACAAUCAAUGAAUAAUUAUAUACUAAGAUUAUUUUUAUUAUUUAUUAUUUCUUAACACAUAUGUCAAGUCAAUAAUAGACAAAUAUUAUAAGAUAAAUUAAAAAAUAGAAAAAUGAUAAGAGUAAAUUUAGAACCCGAAAUUGCAACAAAGAGGACAAUGAAGAGAAAAACUUGCUUAAAGGAAGCCAUUUUAUUUGAUUUUGUUUUAAUAUGAAACAAGUGAUGUUUCAUUUAAUUCGUGGAAGUAGGUAUUUAUAGUAUAGACCAGCUUUGUUAUAAGGGCAUUUUAAUCAUUUUAGGUGCCAAACAUCUGUAUUCACUUAUCUCUGUUGUCAUUUGUUUUUUAAGAGUAUACCGUUAGAUAUUUUAAAAAAGAUAUUUUAUUUAUAUUUUGCUUGUAUUUUAUGUGAGAGACUGAUUAUGGAUAUAUAACGACUUACAUUGUUAUUGUGCUAAAAAGUUAUUUUGAAAAAAUACUUCGAUCAAGAAAAUCUUUGUAUCGGACCAUUUAGGAAUUAUUUUCGUGAGAAAAAGACAUGAAUCAAAUUAAUUUGGGUCGAAUCAGCAAAAUUGGUUCAGUCCAUAUGAUGAAAAACUCUUCAUUCUCUAUAUAAACAGAACUCGUUCACGAGAUAGGUUAUGAUUAAAUUAUAGUAGACUCGGGCUAGACCCAUGUAUUAUGAUACAAGACUUCAUGCUUAGAUCUACGGGCGUGGAGUUUGGACUUUGGAUGAUUUUAAUAACAAACUGAACUUAGGAUAGUGAAUCGAUGAAUUUAUCGAUGAAUAUUGAGUUAUCGAACUGUGCUAGCUCUUUAGUCACUGGGAGGUUACGAUGUUCGUACCGAGUAGGGGCAGGUCGGUGAUGUCGCGCAAAACUACACCUCCAAGAUCUAGUUUCCUGCAAAACAAAUACAAAAACACAUCAAAUCUAACAAAACGAACCUAAGCACUUGCAUAUUAAUUUUUUGGGUUUAAGCAUCAAAAGUGCCAUGAAAUCAUGACACAUCAGUGGGUAGAUGGGGGUUGUACGAGUUCAUUGAAAAGGGUAGAUUAAGGGAUGGAUUUAAUGGGUGAACUUAUUGAGUAGACGUGGAAUUGCCUUGCUUGUGUUUCGAGUCAACAAUAGAGGGUAAGUAAGUAGAUUCGGGUUGAUAAAGGAGGAAAAGAAGUAGGAGGGCUAUGGCGUUCGUAAGUAGAUGGGGGAGUCGAGAUUAGUAUAGAUAGCAAUCGAUUGAUAACGAUCCAUGAUGUUGGGGUAUGUAUGAGUAGUUAAAUUUAGUAUGGACAUGAUUUGACUUUGUACUUAUAUGUAAGCUAUACGUUUGUGAUCAGCCUUCAGGCAUGACUUGUGAUUAUUGAUUAUCAUUAUGUCAUUGAAUUUCAGUUUAUACCUCGAGAUAAUAUAGGGAUCAUGUUAUUGGAUCUAGUGUCAUGCUGAUACUAUCAUUAGAUCAGGUGUCACAUCGAUAAUGAUACAUGGACUGAGCACGUCCCCUGUAGAUCAUAGCUCAGAGUCCUUGCUAGUCCUAGUAUAUGUGUACACUUUGCAUCCAUGUAAUCAUGUUUAACUUGCUCAAAAGAUAGUAACAAAAUAGCUUUCAUCAAUAACUUAUUAAAGCAAAUAAUUUCUCAAUAUAUGAAACUUAUAAGGUUACAUAUUUAUUUGUGAGUUUGGAAUCAAAAUGAGCUAAGGAUAUAUGAAACCCUCUUUCUUCCUCUAAAAUUUUUUAAUCAAACACAUAAAUAUCACUACAUUUUCAAUAUAAAAACAAAUAUCUAUUGAACGGAAAAAAGUCCAAAGUAUAAGAGUAAGAUAAAAGCUUUGAUCAUUCAAACUUUUAUUCACUUUUAUUUAUUCUAUGUAUAACUAGUAAAGUAAUUUGUACUUUGUGUGGUUAUAUAUAACAACAUUAAUAUGUAAGUACUUUGCAAAUAAAGUACUUUAUGAAUUUACUUGAGAUAAAAUAAAUUAAUUUAUUUUAUGUAUAUCCAUAUAUUUGAAUUAUAUUAUUUUAUUUUAUUUAUUUAUUUGAUAAUGAUAGUGUCUGGAUUAGUUUACAUGUAUUUCGACUAAUUUCACGUAAUAUUUGUCAUUUUCCCACUAGUGUAGAUAUCAGAUAAAUUCGUUCAUCCAGACCAGAACAAAUAUGAAGAAAUCACCUAUUAUUUAUCUCGAUCGAAAAUUUAACUUAUGAGAGCUCAUGAUGCUCAAUCCAAUUUUUAUUCACUCACUAGGCUACACAUAUAAAGAAAGAUACAUGAUAAAUUUAAAGUAUAUUUAUGUGUGACUUGCAUGGAUCUCAUAGUGUAUUUUGCUAUAUAUAUUCGGGGCGGAUCUACGGUAGCAGAAAACCUUUUCUCUUUUUAGUUCUACAAUGCAAAGUCUCACAUUUUUUUUCUUAGGGUUAAAACUUGCAUUGGUUCUUCUACCAACUUCUAGCGAUCAGCUAGAUCUUUGAUUUUAUUGUAUAUUAAUUCAUUUUAUUGAAAAUCCACAAGUUUAAAUUAUAAGAGUUGAAUGAUAAAAAAUGAUCAAUAAAGAAUUAAUUUGUAACGUUGUUGAUAAAGACAUAUGUCGAAAAAAAGAAAUAAUUGAUAUAUAAUUAUAAUUAGGAUGAGAAAGUGUGACAAAAAUAAUAAAUAUCUCACUAAUCACUAAAUUUUAUAUUGGAUGAACACACGUCAAGAUAUGAAAACUUAUAAGGUUACAUAUUUAUUUUUCAUACAAAAACUUGAAAAGAAAAGAUUAUUUAAUUUUUUCGAAGAAUAAUCAAGAAAUAAUCUUUACCAGUAACUUAUUAGAGUAUGUAGUUUAAUUCCCAAUAUAUGAAAGGUUAUUUAUAUUUAUUUUCUCUCGCAAAAUUUGAAAAUACGGCGGGCUAUUAGCUCAAUGCUAAAGGAUCAAAACACAUUAACAUGACGUACUCUUCUUGUUCAAGAUUGUUUAAUUUGCUCGAAUAAUAUAUAGUCACGAAAUAACCUUCAUCAAUAACUUAUUAAUAUAAGUAGUUUACCACAUGAAACGUAACAUUAUUUAACUUGCUAAAAAUAAGAAAGAACCUUCGUCAGUAACCUACUAGGUUACAUAAUUAUUUUCCAAUAAAAAACAUGCAUGGAAACACAAAAUUAUUUGACUUGCUAAAAGGAUAAUUAUGAAAUAACCUUCAUCGAUAACCUAUUAUUAGAGUAGAUACAUAAUUUUUCAAUACAUAGAAAACUUAUGAGAUUACAUAUUUGUUUUUCUUACAUAAACAUGAAAAGUACAACAUUAUUUGACUUGCUCGAAGGACAGUUCCAUAAUAACCUUCACCAGUAACUUAUUAUUAAAGUAGAUGCAUAAUUUUCUAAUACAUAAAAAACUUAUAAAGUUACAUAGUUAUUUUUCUUACAUAAAUAUGAAAAACAUAAUAUUAUUUGACUUGCUCGAAGAACUGUUUCAAAAUAACCUUCACCAGUAAGGUUACAUUCCGAAUGUCUAGUACUUCCAUCGUCACUAGUAUAUCUCGAAGCACAAGUUCUACACGCCCAACCAUCACUGCAAUCAUCAUGUGNNNNNNNNNNNNNNNNNNNNNNNNNNNNNNNNNNNNNNNNNNNNNNNNNNNNNNNNNNNNNNNNNNNNNNNNNNNNNNNNNNNNNNNNNNNNNNNNNNNNNNNNNNNNNNNNNNNNNNNNNNNNNNNNNNNNNNNNNNNNNNNNNNNNNNNNNNNNNNNNNNNNNNNNNNNNNNNNNNNNNNNNNNNNNNNNNNNNNNNNNNNNNNNNNNNNNNNNNNNNNNNNNNNNNNNNNNNNNNNNNNNNNNNNNNNNNNNNNNNNNNNNNNNNNNNNNNNNNNNNNNNNNNNNNNNNNNNNNNNNNNNNNNNNNNNNNNNNNNNNNNNNNNNNNNNNNNNNNNNNNNNNNNNNNNNNNNNNNNNNNNNNNNNNNNNNNNNNNNNNNNNNNNNNNNNNNNNNNNNNNNNNNNNNNNNNNNNNNNNNNNNNNNNNNNNNNNNNNNNNNNNNNNNNNNNNNNNNNNNNNNNNNNNNNNNNNNNNNNNNNNNNNNNNNNNNNNNNNNNNNNNNNNNNNNNNNNNNNNNNNNNNNNNNNNNNNNNNNNNNNNNNNNNNNNNNNNNNNNNNNNNNNNNNNNNNNNNNNNNNNNNNNNNNNNNNNNNNNNNNNNNNNNNNNNNNNNNNNNNNNNNNNNNNNNNNNNNNNNNNNNNNNNNNNNNNNNNNNNNNNNNNNNNNNNNNNNNNNNNNNNNNNNNNNNNNNNNNNNNNNNNNNNNNNNNNNNNNNNNNNNNNNNNNNNNNNNNNNNNNNNNNNNNNNNNNNNNNNNNNNNNNNNNNNNNNNNNNNNNNNNNNNNNNNNNNNNNNNNNNNNNNNNNNNNNNNNNNNNNNNNNNNNNNNNNNNNNNNNNNNNNNNNNNNNNNNNNNNNNNNNNNNNNNNNNNNNNNNNNNNNNNNNNNNNNNNNNNNNNNNNNNNNNNNNNNNNNNNNNNNNNNNNNNNNNNNNNNNNNNNNNNNNNNNNNNNNNNNNNNNNNNNNNNNNNNNNNNNNNNNNNNNNNNNNNNNNNNNNNNCAGCUCUUCCCGAUAACUUGAGGUGUAAGUUCUCUCAUCAACACUAUUCUAACAAGGUAAAUCAUAAAAGGAAUUCGAAAAACCACUAUGUGUCGGCAUUUUAGAAGAUGAUGGAUCCUCGGGAGGAUGAGGAGCGACAGUUGGAGUGAUAUUUGUAGGUACAACUAAGUCAUAUAAAUAAGCAUAGUGAUUAUAUAAUUUUUCUAUGUAUUCAUUCGCAUCACUCAUAGCCGUCCACAAAUCAGGUUCUACUUGUUCAGAUUCAGAAUCAUUGUUAGUAUUUAUUUCUAAGUUAGCAUAAAUAAUAGUACUAAAGUGGUACAUAGUAUUAUAUUUCAUGCACGGAUUUAACAUAGCACCAACCAAGUAAAUAGGGGAAAUCGGAGAAAAAUAAUUUUUAAAUUUAGUAAACAUGACACCAACAGCUUCUUUAUAACCAUCUUUAUUUUUAUAUUCUUUAAGCAAACCAGAAAUAUCGGCUAUAUAUCCCAAAAUACUACAAACAGUAGGAUAAUACACACCGAAAAAUUCAACCGUAGCUACAUAAUGUUUUUCUAAAAACUUAACAAGAUCAUUAAUUACAAACUCAAUCAGAAUCAUGUAGCAUGCAAUCAGCAGAAUCAGUAAAUGAAUCGCAAUGUUGGUUAAAAGCUAGUGUAAUAGGAAUUCUAUAUUUUAUAACAAGUUUUUAAAAGAUCAUACAUAGAAUUCCAUCUAAUAUCAAUUUCCUCAGGCAUCAAUAUCGAUGCAAGUCCCUUUUCUUGACAUUUAAUUUUAAAUUCUCUAAUUCUUUUUCUCCGAUUAUUUCCUUGAAUAAAACCAACAGCAAGACGGAUUUUUUCAAUAUAAAACUCAAAAAAUUCAAGACCAUCUUUUACAAUUAAAUUAUAUAUAUGACAUGCACACUUAAUAUGAAAAAUUUCAGGCAACNNNNNNNNNNNNNNNNNNNNNNNNNNNNNNNNNNNNNNNNNNNNNNNNNNNNNNNNNNNNNNNNNNNNNNNNNNNNNNNNNNNNNNNNNNNNNNNNNNNNNNNNNNNNNNNNNNNNNNNNNNNNNNNNNNNNNNNNNNNNNNNNNNNNNNNNNNNNNNNNNNNNNNNNNNNNNNNNNNNNNNNNNNNNNNNNNNNNNNNNNNNNNNNNNNNNNNNNNNNNNNNNNNNNNNNNNNNNNNNNNNNNNNNNNNNNNNNNNNNNNNNNNNNNNNNNNNNNNNNNNNNNNNNNNNNNNNNNNNNNNNNNNNNNNNNNNNNNNNNNNNNNNNNNNNNNNNNNNNNNNNNNNNNNNNNNNNNNNNNNNNNNNNNNNNNNNNNNNNNNNNNNNNNNNNNNNNNNNNNNNNNNNNNNNNNNNNNNNNNNNNNNNNNNNNNNNNNNNNNNNNNNNNNNNNNNNNNNNNNNNNNNNNNNNNNNNNNNNNNNNNNNNNNNNNNNNNNNNNNNNNNNNNNNNNNNNNNNNNNNNNNNNNNNNNNNNNNNNNNNNNNNNNNNNNNNNNNNNNNNNNNNNNNNNNNNNNNNNNNNNNNNNNNNNNNNNNNNNNNNNNNNNNNNNNNNNNNNNNNNNNNNNNNNNNNNNNNNNNNNNNNNNNNNNNNNNNNNNNNNNNNNNNNNNNNNNNNNNNNNNNNNNNNNNNNNNNNNNNNNNNNNNNNNNNNNNNNNNNNNNNNNNNNNNNNNNNNNNNNNNNNNNNNNNNNNNNNNNNNNNNNNNNNNNNNNNNNNNNNNNNNNNNNNNNNNNNNNNNNNNNNNNNNNNNNNNNNNNNNNNNNNNNNNNCGAAGGCACACGGGUAUAUCUACUACUUGAACUACCUCUACCGCUAGUAAUUCGCUUUUUACUACCACUACCGCUUCCGGGACAAAAAAUUUUAACACCUUUAGUAGCAAGGUUUCUUAAUUUAUCCAUAAUAUAAAUUAAAUUAAACUAAAAGUAUUCAAAAUACACAAAUAUAAUAAAAUUAAAUAUUAAACAAUUAAUAAAAUAAAUAAAAAUUAAACGUAAGAGAUGGAACGACAACACCAAAUUUUGGAAUUAUCCGAAGGUUACGAAUUUAGAAACUUCCACUCGUACUUUGUAAACUCAAAAUUAAAAAAUUAAAGUGAGCACUUUAGGAAAUUAAAUAUAUUGAAUAUUUGAGAAUUGCGAAUUGAGAGAGAAUGAGAUUUGACAAAGUGAAAAAUUGUGUGAAAAAUGAUUUGAAGCUGUAGGGUAUUUAUAGAAUUUUUUUUGGGAUUAAAAAAUUAUUUUAAAAUUAAAAGAUAUUUUUUUAAUUAAUGGGCUCAAACUAGCCAUUUGGACCAAAAAAUGGCUAUAUAACUGUUGGGCCAACGACUAGUUUGGCCCAAAAUCCAAAAUUUUCAAAAAAAAGUAAAUAUUAUUCCAGGCCGGGUUAACCAGGCCCAAAUUAAAAGAAAAUGGUCCGGGACCCGGUACCCUAAAGCCCUUGGGCUUACCAGGCCGGGUCAAACCGGGCCAGUUUGUUUAGGCGGGCCAGGUAGGGUCGCGUCAGCCCGGCCCACUUGACACCCUUAAUUACAACACUACUCAAUUCGAAAUAAAAAUUGAUACAAAAUCAUAUACAUUGAAAGAAAAACAUUUAUACGCUCUUGAUUUUUAAGGCAAUAAUAAUAGAAAAAGGGGGGGAGGGGGUGUCAAUGCCCUAUAUUUACCUGAGGUCAAAACGAGCACGUGACAUUAUGGACUCUAAGAGAAUUGAAAUUUGUACAGAGUCGCCACCUAAUUUUUAAAGGAAAAUAAGGAAACCUAUUUAUUUGUUAAUACGUAUGAUUAAUGCUUUAGUCUUUGAAAACCUAUUGAGACUCUAGGUAAGGGUUCAAAUUAUCCCGAAGGGAAGGGGUUAGGCACCCUUCAGGAUCCACAAAUGUGGUACCCGGCUAGACUAAACUUAUCAACGAGGGAGGAGGUAUAAAUAUUUAAAAUAAUGUAAAAGUGUAUCUGUAUUAAGUAUAAAAUAAUUCUUUCGAAAAAUAUAAAUGUUUAAAACCAUGAAAAAGUAUAUGUAUAUUAACUAUAUAUAAAACAUGUAAAAGAUAUGUAUAAAAUGUAUAAAUUACAUGUGAAAAAGAAAAGUAUUUUAUGACGUAUGAAAAGAAAUGUAUUUUAAUGUGUCUUGAAAAGAAAAGGUAUUUACAAGUAAUAUUUUUACUUGAUUUAAUUAUGAAAACGUAAAAUUUAUUUGAGAAGAAAAGACUACACAAUAUGUGAAUUACUUGAUUAACUUGAUUCUUGUAUGUAAAUAUUAACGACCUAAGUUUUGCCUAAAAGUGAUGAAAUUAUGUAAAUAAAGAAUAUCUCCACCUGGCACCCAAAAAGGUAAAGUUUUCACUAUAUUCGAUAUGUACAAUUACAAGAAAUAAUAUAAAUAAAAGAUUCUUCUUCUGAAUGUCAUUUUCCGACAAACAAUCUCGAAAAACCUAUACAAACACGUUAGUAACAAAGUAAAAUAAACUAGAAACUAUGUGUGCAUAUAUACAUAAAAAUAGAAAUGUUUUAUCAAAGUGUGGGCUCGGAUUAGAUUUUAGAUACGCCAUGGCUACGAAGUGGUUGCUCGAUUAAUCGGCCAUCCUAAAUCGCCUUACCAAGAUACAAAUCAUAAAACUCUUUGUGUUGCCGUGAAAUUGUAAAGUUUUAUCAUCGCCCGAAUUUAUUUAUUUUUAUUACGUAUUUGUAUAUGUAAUAUCCAUCUUUUAUUUAUGGAGGCCUCGAAAAUUGACGAAAAUUUCUUCAUUGGCUAUGUGUCUAUUUUUGAUAUAAAUAAAUAACUUGGAAAAUAAAGAUCCGUCUUUUGUAUUGGGGUGGCCUCAAGUAUCCGACGGAGAGAUAAUGUCAUUGGCUGAGGUAUUUAUUUUGAGUAUAUGUAUGUGUUUUUUAGAAAAAGAAAAAGAUGAUCAAAUUUUGUGAAUGAAAAAAAUAUAUGUGUGGUGAAGAAUACGUGUGUGUAGAGAAGAAGUGUAUGUUUGAGAGAGAAGAAAAAUAUGUGGGGAUGAUAAAUGUGUAUAUGUAUUUGUGAAUGUGUAUUUUAUUUGUGUAUUUGUAUGUGAGAAGACAAAAAAUGUGUGUAUCGUAUUUUUGAAAAAAAAAAGAAUAAACUAUAUAAAAAGAAUAUUGAUUUGUUUAUAUUUUGAGAGAGGGGAGAAAGAAGAAUGAAAUGUAUAUAUGGUGACAAACGUAUGUGUGAGAGAAAGGAAAAAGAUGACUAAAGUUUUGUAUUUGAGGGAGAGGAGAAAGAGGUGAAAAAUAUGUGUGAAUUUUUUUGAGAGAGAGGAAGAAUAAAAAUAUGUGUGUGGAAAUGUCUUCCCAUCACUCUUAUUUAUAAUGAUAUUGGGCACCUCUUAUUUUCCAAUGGAUAAAGAGAUGUCCCCUCUUUAUAUAAUAGCACAUCCUUUGGUCCUUAGAGUAUUGACCAAAGGAUUUCAUAUUUUUGACCAAUGGAUAAAAUUAUUAUCCAAAAAAUAGUGUCAUUGAGUGGUCAUUGUCAGAUGUGACAAGACAUUAUGUGUAGUCAUUGUCGGAUGUGACAAGAUUUCAUUGUGUAGUCAUUGUCGGAUGUGACAAGACAUUAUUGUGUGGUCAUUGUCGGAUAUGACAAGACAUCAUUGUGUAGUCAUUGUCAGAUGUGACAAGGCAUUAUUGUGUGGUCGUUGUUGGAUACGACAAGACAUCAAAUUAUUAUAAUAUAUAAAAUUAAUUGAUCCGACUUAGCGUUUGCGGAUUAUAGGAAUAUAUAAAAAUUGAUAUGUAAUUAAAAAAUGCAAAGAAAAUUGGAAAAUGUAAAUAACUUGAAAAUAUUAUAAAAAGAAAUGUAAUGUCAUGUUGUGUACGUGUGUAGAUGAUUGUGAAAAAAUAUUAAAGACGAUAAUGAAAAAAUUCUAACAUACAAAGAAUUAUCAAUAAAUUAUGAAAAGCAAAACAUGAUAAUAAAUUGAUAAAAUUCUAAAGUGAGGAUGAUUAUCAGUAAUUUAUCAAAAAUAUAAAAAAAAUGUGUGAAAAAUAUGUUUUGCACUCUUUAACGAUCAGGAAGCCUGAAGACGUUAAUUUUAAGCAUGGAGGGCGAAAAUUGGGUGUCAACAGUUGCCCCUUUUCGUUUGAGGAUGAUGUAGAAGUCUUCAAACGAAAAUGUUGACAUGUAGCCAAUUUUUCUCGAUAAAAAAUAAUUUUUUUUGUUAUAGAAAUAUUCGACCAAACUCUAAUUUAGAGUUGCCUACAUACCUCAAGUUACAUGAGGAUCAGGUCAGGUGUAGUUCAAAAGAUUGGGCAAAUCGCCAUGUUAUUAAGAGUGAGAGACCGUGUGAAGUAAUUAAUGAAAUAUGGACUAUUUAGGAACAGAAGUGUUCAUCUAUUCUCGAUGUUCCUUUCAAAAUUUCUCCAGUAUCGAGCUGUGAGAUGCUAGGGAUGCAAGAUUAUGUACUUGCUGGGAAGAAAGAAUAAUUGUGAGAUUGUGAUGACCGAACUCUGCAUAGAGCUUCCUACAUAUCUCGAGUGUCACGAGAAUCAGGUCAAUGUAGUUCGAAAUGAGACAAUAGCAAAUUUUGGGGUGAUUCUCAAAAUUUGCCCCAAUGUAUGAUGUGUGGAUUUGAAAAAAAAUUGCCCUUUUGUUUUGAAUUAUAUUUUUAGUUAAAGAGACGCAUGAUGUCUCUGAUUGUCUACCAGGACCUGAGGAUGAAUGACGUCUUUGAUUGCUUAUGGAAACUUGGGGAUAAAUGGCGUCUCUGAUUGUUUACGGGGACCUGAGGAUGAAUGAAAGAUGUCUUUGAUUGCCUAUGAAGACUGAUGUAUGUCAUCUCCAAUUGUCUUACAGAGACUGAUGUUGAAUGUUAUCUUCGAUUUUCUACAGAGAUUGAUGUGAUGAAUGAUGAUGUCUUCGACUGUAUAUGAAGACUGAUGUUAAUUGCCUUCUUCAAUUGUCUAUGAAGACUGACGGAUGGCAUGUCCAAUUAUUUAUGGAGACUGAUAUUGAUGAUUGUCUCUGGUUGCCUACAGAGACUAAUGUGAUGAAUGGUGUCUUUGAUUGUCUACGAAGACUUGAUGACAUCUCCAAUUGUCUAUUUAGAUGGAUGUUGAAUGAUGAUGUCUUCGAUUGUCUACGAAGACUUGAUGUAUAAUACCUCUAAUUGUCUAUAGAGGCUGAUGUUGAUUGUUGUCUCCGAUUGUCUAUGGAGACUGAUCUGAUGCCUUCGAUUGUUUACAAAGACAGAUGCAUGACCCUUCAAAUGUCUAUGAAGGCUGGUGUAGAUUAUUGUCUCUGAUUAUCUAUGUAAACUGAUGUGACGCCUUCGAUUGUUUACGAAGACAGAUGCAUGACCCUCCAAUUGUCUAUGAAGGCUAGUGUGGAUUAUCGUCUUCGAUUGUCUACGGAGAUUGAUAUGAUGCCUUCGAUUGUUUAUGAAGACAGAUGCAUGACCCUCCAAUUGUCUAUGGAGGCUAAUGCGAUGAAUGAUGUCCUUGAUUGUCUACGAAGACUUGAUGACAUCUCCAAUUGUCUAUGUAGAUGGAUGUUGAAUGAUGAUGUCUUCGAUUAUCUACGAAGACUUGAUACAUGAUACCUCUAAUUGUCUAUAGAGGAUGAUGUUGGUUGUUCUCUCCGAUUAUCUACGGAGACUGAUGUGACGCCUUUAAUUAUUUACGAAGACAGAUGCAUGACCCUUCAAUUGUCUAUGAAGGCUUGUGUGAAUUAUUGUGUUCGAUUGUCUAUAGAGACAUGUGAUGGUCGUCCUUAAUUUUUUAUGAAGACUAAGGUCAUCAACCGAUGAGGUAAUGGCCUCUCGAUUGGUGGAACAGCUGGAAGGUAAUAGCCUCUCGAAUGGUGGGGCUAUGAGAAUGUAAAAAGCCUCUCGACUGGCGGGAUUGUUGAAAGGUGAUAGCCACUCGACUGGCGGGGCUAUGGAAAUGUAAAAACCUCUAUACUGGCGGGGCUUUGAAAGGUAAUAGCCACUCGACUGGCGGGGCUAUGAGAAUGUAAAAGCCUCUCGAUUGGCGGAUCUUUGAAAAGUAAUAGCCUCUUGAUUGGCGGGGCUAUGAGAAUGUAAAAAGCCUCUCAAUUGGCAGUGCUUUGAAAGGUAAUAGCCUGUCGACUGGCGGGGCUAUAAAAAUGUAAAAGCCUCUCGACUGGCAGGGCUUUGAAAGGUAAUAGCCUCUCGACUGGCCGAGCAAUGAAAAUAUAAAAGCCUCUCGAUUGGUGGGGAUUUAAAAGGUAAUAGCCUUUUGACUAGUGGGGCUAUGAGAAUGUAAAACGAUUCUUAACUGGCAGGGUUUGAAAGGUAAUAGCAUCUCGACAGGCGGGACUAUGAAAAUGUAAAAGUCUCUUGACUGGCGGGGCUUUGAAAGGUAAUAGCUUCUCGACUGGCGGGGCUGUGAAAAUGUAAAAGCCUUUCGACUGGCGGGACUUUAAAAGGUAAUAGCCUCUCAACUGGCGGGGCUAUGAAAAUGUAAAAGCCUCUCGACUGGCGGGGCUUUGAAAGGUAAUUGCCUCUCAAUUAGUGGGGCUAUGAAAAUUUAAAAGCCUCUCGACUGGCAGGGCUUUGAAAGGUAAUAGCCUCUCGACUGGCGGGGCUAUGAAAACGUAAAAGCCUCUCGGCUGGCAGGGCUUUAAAAGGUAAUAGCCUCUCGAUUGGCGGGGCUUUAAAAGGUAAUAGCCUCUCGACUGGCGGGGAUAUGAAAAUGUAAAAGCCUCUCGAUUGGCGGGGCUUUGAAAGGUAAUAGCCUCUCGACUGGGGGGGCUAUGAAAAUGUAAAAGCCUCUCGACUGGCGGGGCUUUGAAAGGUAAUAGCCUCUCGACUGGGGGGGCUAUGAAAAUGUAAAAGCCUCUCGACUGGCGGGGCUUUGAAAGGUAAUAGCCUCUCGACUGGCGGGGCUUUAAAAGGUAAUAACCUCUCGACUGGCGGGGCUAUGAAAACGUAAAAUUCUCUCGACUGGCGGGGCUUUGAAAGGUAAUAGCCUCUCGAAUGGCGGGGCUAUGAAAAUGUAAAAGCCUCUGAGAACACCCAAUUGAAAAGCAAAAUAUCCGUGUUUGAAGGCUUUAUCUUGAAGAGAAAGGUCAAUUGUUGGUAUUCGGAGAUAGGCGUCUCGCACAUAAAGUGUGAUGCAUGUAUGUGAAGGCAUGGUUUGAAAGGAAAGAAUUUUUUUUUGUAUUUUCGUUGUAAAAAUGUGUUGAAAGAUGAAAAAUGCGGAAGAUUGUUUUGUGUUUUAUUUGUAAGAAAUGCUGAAAGGUAAAAAUGCAGAACAUUAUUUGUGUUUUCUUUUGUAGGAAUAUAGAAAGGUGAAAAUGCAGAACAUUGUUUUGUAUUUUCUUUGUAAGAAAUGCUGAAAGUUUAAAAUGUAGAAAAUUAUUUUGUGUUUUACUUGUAAAAAGUGUUGAACAGCGAAAUAAAAUUGUUUUGUAUUUUCUUUUAUAAGAAAUGCUGAAAGUUGAAAAAUGUAGGAAAUUAUCUUGUGUUUUAUUUGUAAGAAAUGUUGAAAGUUGAAAAAAAGAAUAAUCAUGCCUUGACUGUAGUUGGUAUCAACAAUUAGUAGUGUGUAUAAGAAUUUUCCCAUCUCUUCCAGCUAACGAAGAUUGACUUCAGGGUAACUCCUAUAGCUUCGAGUGGUACCUCAGACAUACCUAAGUAUUGACAAGAUUUGUUCGUCUUGCUUCAAACAAAGAUUUUGAAUUAUGUUUGUUCCCAUGAUUCAAGUGUGCUCUCUAGAAAGAAUGUCUCGUUCUCACACUUAUUUGAAUAUUAUUUUCUUUCAAAUUUGGAGACGUCUAGAAAUAUACACUCACACUUAGAAAAAAGUUCAAUGAAUGCAAUUGUGAUACCAUAGACUUGGCCUUAUGUAAGUAUUCCACUAAUGUGAGAAAACUUAGAGUAGGAUCUUGUAGGACUUAUAAUUGGCUUGUAAUGUAGGCUUGGGGUCGGGUAGGAUGACAUUUGGGAUAAAAGUGACUAAUUCCUCAAUGAGCAUUGCACUGUAUUCGUGUUUUUGACAUUUGUUGCUCUUUGACGCUCGAUCUUCUUUAUUGUGCUUCUUUGCCCCUUGUUUGUAUUUGAUUCGACUUCUUUUGAAUCUUGUGUUGGAGUUUUUCCCCUUUUCGAUAUAUUUUCCUUAUUUUUUUCUUUUGGGGGGAUGAUGAUUCCCCACCUUUAUGAGAGUUAUUGCGUUGGGAGGGGGUGGGCGGGGAGGUCUUGCUCCUUCUUUCUUUGAAGUCAUCUUUUAUUUUUGUUCUUCUGGGGAUAUACUUCCUUUGCCUUUGGCAACUUUGAUCUUGAAUCUUCAUUCGCAACUUGCACAUACUUAGUGUGCUCAAAGAGGUAGGCCAAAGAGGGAUAGUGCAUGUAAGCACUCAAAAGGUAUAGGCUCAAAUGUAGUUAUUCCAACGAAAAGGUUUCAGGCUCAAAGGGGGGAAUACUAGGGAUCGAUGUCAUUUGGUAGGCUGUGGAAGUCACAAUUUAGUCAAGGAAGGUCUACAAUCCUUUUUUGAUUCAUCUAUCAUUAUAGGCAGACAACACUAACAAAGAUAAAGUGCCAGACCCAAACUAAUUGUAACUCAAAAAUUUUGCCUCAAUAGACAUUCAGGCCACGUUCUAGAUCAACAAUGCAAUACAGUGAACAAGUCUAAAGCUUACCACACAAUGUACUUAAAACGAUGGAGUUGACUUUGUUCUUGUCUUAGAUGUAUACAAGAGAAUUUUCGAGUGUUACUCAGGUUUGACUAAGAGGUAUCAAAAGAAUCUAUCGUUUACCGUGAAGUUGGUCCUCUCCAUCAUACCAAUUUGUUCUUUCUCAUGCACACUCCUAAUUGUGUUGGUACCAACCAAGUCAAAAUUUUAUUUUAUUUAAAAAAAAUAGGAUCGAACCCAAAUGAGGGUUGCCUUCGUAUCUUGUGAAAACAAGAAUCAGGUCUGCAUAGUUCAGGCAAAUUUGUAAAUUUCUAUGUAAAAUGUAUGAAUGUAAAAAAGUGAUGGUCAUCUUUGAAAAAAUAAUGUGAAAGACGAUCAGGAAGGGAUUGCUUGUAUUAACAAAAUUGGUUCGAUUAGACGAUCAAGAGGAUGGAUGUCGAGCAUCAGGAGAGUUUUGAAAUUACUUCAAUAUGUCGACGAGAUGGAGAAGGUCAAACAUUGGAGAAGUUAUGGCAUUAUUUCACCGUAGUUGGCCGAAUUAUUAUGAAUGAAAGAAUAUUGAACCCUUGCUUUGAUAGUGGAGAUCGAUACACCGUAAAUUUAAUAAUUUACGAUGUCCGAAAGAAGAAGCUAGGUGUUCUCGAACCAAAAUUGGGUGAGAAUUUGGAGGUAGGUCGGCUAAGCACUAAUGUUAUUGAGAUUUGAAUUUGGGGAAUCAUUUAUUUGCGCUCUUGAAGACUUUUGGAGAGCGUCUUUGAACUGUUUCAAGAAAUUGCCCCAGUAUGAAUACCGAAGGAAUUAUUUUGAAACAGUGAAGAGACCGAACCCUAAUACAGGGUUGCCUACGUAUCUUGUCAGGACAAGAAUCAGGUCAAAACAUAGUUCAAAUCUUUUUUUUUUUGAGUUAUUAUGGCAUGAUUUAUAUUCAGAAUAGGAAUUUUCCUAAAUGGUUGAGAGUAGGACCGAAUAAUUGCGAAAAGGCACACUAACCUAAAUGCACCAAUUCUGAAACUAAGGGAUCCAAAGAAGGUUCGGAGGAGUACAGUAAACCCCUCGCGUGUUCAGUGUGUGAAUUGUGUACGGCCAAAGACUCGAUGGAAUUGUGAUUAUGAUUAAAUAAUGUAAAGAAUAAUGUGUAACAGUUUUUACACUAUACAGAUACGGUGUAUUAAACAAAUAAUAAAUAAUUAAAGGAAAUGAUAAGGCAGUAAAUUUAAUUUGCGCAAAUAAUAUAAAGGAUUUAUGAAAAAUCUACACAAUUUUCAAUGUGAAAAAGAUAAAGAAUCAAAGAAUUAAUAUAUACAAAAAAAAUGUAAAAAUACCUUCCUCAAUUGAAAAAUUGAGUUUAUCAUAGUUAGAACCUGUUGUUUAUCCCUAGUGGAGUCGCCAUUCUGUCAAUGCCCUAUUUUUACCUGAGGUCAAAAUGAGCACGUGACAUUAUGGACUCUAAGAGAAUUGAAAUUUGUACAGAGUCGACACCUAAUUUUUAAAGGAAAAUAAGGAAACCUAUUUAUUUGUUAAUACGUAUGGUUAAUGUUUUAGUUGGUGAAAAUCUAUUGAGACUCUAGGUAAGGGUUCAAAUUAUCCAGAAAGAAAGGGGUUAGGCACCCUUCAGGAUCCACAAAUGUGGUACCCAGCUAGACUAAACUUAUCAACGAGGGAGGAGGUAUAAAUAUUUAAAAUAAUGUAAAAGUGUAUGUGUAUUAAGUAUAAAACAAUUCUUUCAAAAAAUAUAAAUGUUUAAAACCAUGUAAAAGUAUAUGUAUAUUAACUAUAUAUAAAACAUAUAAAAGAUAUGUAUAAAAUUUAUAAAUUACAUGUGAAAAAGAAAAGUAUUUUAUGACGUACGAAAAGAAAUGUAUUUUAAUGUGUCUUGUAAAGAAAAGGUAUUUACAAGUAAUAUUUUUAUUUGAUUUAAAGAUUCUUUUAUGUAAAUAUUAACGACCUAAGUUUUGCCUAAAAGUGAUGAAACUAUGUAAAUAAAGAAUAUCUCCGCCUAUCACCCAAAAAGGUAAAGUUUUCACUAUAUUCGAUAUGUACAAUUACAAGAAAAUAAUAUAAAUAAAAGAUUCUUCUUUUGAAUGUCAUUUUCCGACAAAUAAUCUCGAAAAACCUGUACAAACACGUUAGUAACAAAGUAAAAUAAACUAGAAACUAUGUGUGAAUAUAUACAUAAAAAUAGAAAUGUUUUAUCAAAGUGUGGGCUCGGAUUAGAUUUUAGAUACGCCAUGGCUACGAAGUGGUUGCUCGAUUAAUCGGCCAUCCUAAAUCGCCUUACCAAGAUACGAAUCAUAAAACUCUUUGUGUUUCCAUGAAAUUGUAAAGUUUCGUCAUUGCCCAAAUUUCUUUAUUUUUGUUACGUAUUUGUAUAUGUAAUAUCCGUCUUUUAUUUACGGAGGCCUAAAAAAUUGACGGAAAUUUCUUCAUUGGCCAUGUGUCUAUUUUUGAUAUAAAUAAAUAACUUCAAAAAUAAAGAUCCGUCUUUUGUAUUGGGGUCUCAAGUAUCCGACGGAGAGAUAAUGUCAUUGGCCGAGGUAUUUAUUUUGAGUAUAUGUAUGUGUUUUUCGGAAAAAGAAAAAGAUGAACAAAUUUUGUGUAUGAAAAAACUAUAUGUGUGGUGAAGAAUAUGUGUGUGUAGAGAAGAAGUGUGUGUUUGAGAGAGAAGAAAAAUAUGUGGAGAUGAUAAAUGUGUAUAUAUAUUUAUGAAUGUGUAUUUUAUUUGGGUAUUUGUAUGUGAGAAGACAAAAAAUGUGUGUAUUGUAUUUUUGAAAAAAAAGAAUAAACUAUAUAAAAAGAAAAUUGAUUUGCUUAUAUUUUGAGAGAGGGGAGAAAGAAGAAUGAAAUGUAUAUAUGGUGAAAAACAUGUGUGUGAGAGAGAAAGGAAAAAGAUGACUAAAGUUUUGUAUUUGAGGGAGAGGAGAAAGAGGUGAAAAAUAUGUGUGAAUUUUUUUGAGAGAGAGGAAGAAUAAAAAUGUGUGUGUGGAAAUGUCUUCCCAUCACUCCUAUUUAUAAUGAUCUUGGGCACCUCUUAUUUUUCAAUGAAUAAAGAGAUGUCCCCUUUUUAUAUAAUAACACAUCCUUUGGUCCUUAGGGUAUUGACCAAAGGAUUUUCAUAUUUUUGACCAAUGGAUAAAGUUAUUAUCCAAAGAAUAGUGUCAUUGAGUGGUCAUUGUCAGAUGUGACAAGACAUUAUGUGUAGUCAUUAUCGGAUGUGACAAGAUUUCAUUGUGUAGUCAUUGUCGGAUGUGACAAGACAUUAUUGUGUGGUCAUUGUCGGAUAUGACAAGACAUCAUUUGUAGUCAUUGUCAGAUGUGACAAGGCAUUAUUGUGUGGUCGUUGUUGGAUACGAAAAGACAUUAAAUUAUUAUAAUAUAUAAAAUUAAUUGAUCCGACAUAGCGUUUACGGAUUAUAGGAAUAUAUAAAAAUUGAUAUGUAAUUAAAAAAUGUAAAGAAAAUUGGAAAAUGUAAUUAACUUGAAAAUAUUAUAAAAAGAAAUGUAAUGUCAUGUUGUGUACGUGUGUAGAUGAUUGUGAAAAAAUAUUAAAGACGAUAAUAAAAAAAUUCUAACAUACAAAGAAUUAUCAAUAAAUUAUGAAAAGCAAAACAUGAUAAUAAAUUGAUAAAAUUCUAAAGUGAGGAUGAUUAUCAGUAAUUUAUCAAAAAUAUAAAAAAAAUGUGUGAAAAAUGUGUUUUGCACUCUUUAACGAUCAGGAAGCCUGAAGACGUUAAUUUUAAGCAUGGAGAGGAAAAAUUGGGUGUCAACAGGGGGGAUAAUGUCUUCGUCUAUCAAGAAUAUUCCUGAUGAAAUAUUAAGAAGUAAGAGUCAUUUGUUAUACGAUAGUUGUAAAGAACUAAAAAUAUUUAUAUUUUCUUGAUUUUUCCGUGUUCUUACUUUUAUAUAUUUUAAAUAUUUUUUGCAGUGAAGAAUUUAAUUAUGUCACCAAUUAUAACAUGUCAAUUUACAAAAAUUCUUUAGUAUCGUAUUAUAUUUCAUAGAGUUAAUGGUAUUGAAGUAUAUAUGAACAUAGACCAUGAUAUUAUUAUACUCCCUCUUCAUGUGUAGACAAAAUCUUUAAGUAAGGACAAUAAUAGUUGUUUCUUUUGUCUUUUUUUUUUUUGGCUAUGAAAAAUAGGUGGAGACAUUCAUGAUUGCAAAAUAUUACUAUAGAAGAACUAAUAUUGUGACUAAGUGUUGGAGUUCCACAUUGAUCGGUUAAAGGGUCCUUACUCUUCUUAUAUGGUCUUGGGCAAGCUUUCCCUUAUGAGCUAGCUUUUAGGGUUGAGUUAGGCCAAAGACUCAUUCUUUACAUGGUAUUAGACUCAGACCCAUAAUCUUUGUUCACCAAUGUUGGCUUUCAUAUUAUAUUAUCCACAAUCUAAUUAACGAGGCCUGGACAUGCGGGGGAAUGUUAAGUAUCCCACAUCAAAAAAAGAAUAGGUAAUUGAUCUCUUUAUAUGGAUCUGGGAAAUCCUACCCUCAUGAGUUAGCGUUGGAGGUUGAGCUAGGCCCAAAAUCUAUUCUUUACACUAAGAAAUUUGACCAUGAGCAAAAUUUGAAAGAAAUAAUUGGAGAUAAACAACUUUGGCUUUUCAUCAUGCUCUUUUUUCAAUUAGUUAAAUUUAAAUAUUUGAUAGCGUUAAAAAUAUUUAAAUUGACUUUUCAUCUUGUUCCUUUUUUUCAGUUAAUUAAAUUCAAACUUUUCACAGAGAGAUCAUAUCCACUUAAGAUGAAAAGUUCAUCUAAAAAAGAUAAUAAUUGAUAAUUAGGAUAUGAAACUCGCGAAAAAAUAUUAAUGCACGUGUUAUUUUGACCAGUAUCUCUAUAAAUAAAUGAUGAAUUGUAUAUAAAAUGAAGACAAGUGAACAAUAUAUAUUUAUUUAAGUUGUAACUCAUAUAUUACAAUAGAUAGAUAAAUCCCCAAUAUUUGAAAAACUAGCUAGGUUACAUAUUUAUUUUCUUAUUAUACGAACUUGGAAACACAACAUUAUUUAAAUUGCUUGAAUAUACACAAAGGCACAUCAAGCAUAUAAUAGUAGUUACAUUCAUUCUUUGAGCGCAGUAAUUCUAAUUUGUGUGCUUCAAGGAUACUUCACCAAUAACAACACGCUUAUUAUUUAAUUUGCAUCGAAACACAAUAUUAUUUAACUUACUCGAAGGAUAGUUUCGAAAUAAUCUUCACUAGUAAAAGGCGCUUGUUAAAACAAUAUGGAACAGUCAUUCGAAGUAAAUAAUUGUAGACACAACGUCUGCAGAUAGUCCCAUCACUGCAAUCGCUAUCACCGUUACAAAAUUGAUAACAAGUAAGACCGUCACCAAGUAAAGGUAAUUUUACUUUCAUCUUUGCAACAUCAAUUGGUAACUCUCUUAAAACCAUCAUGGGAUUCUCUUUUAGAGCAACAUUGCGUUCAACGACUUGGCGAUGUUUGUGGUCAUGACGUUGAAUCUAUUCCUGGGAAGUAAGCCCUGCCUUAUUUUUUAAAUCCAACGUCAUGUUCGAGGCAAAUUGUUGUGUCGGGGUAUAUUUUUUAAGCAAGUUGACUUAGUCAUUAAACUCAUCUAAUUAUCUUCUAUUUCUUAAAUAUUGUAUAUUUCUAUAAGGUAUAAUUAUCUUCUAAAAAAAAGAUAUAAAAAUAAUAUAUAAACUGGUGCUCCUGUAAAUAUAAUAUGAAAUUGAUAUAGAAAUUAGUGUCCUUUAAAGAUUAUUUAAUUAUAUCCAAAAAAAUAUAAUAUAAAAAAUGGUAGAAAAAGUGAUAUUUCGUAAAGGUUAUUUCAAAAGAACUUAUGACAGUUGAAUAUUUGGUAGAUUUUGUAAAUAAAAAAUAAUAGUGGUAGAUUUUGUAAUAUAGACUCUAAAUUUGUAUAUUUAUGUGAUUUGCCCAUUUUGAAAUAACGUUUAUUAGAGACCUUUUUAGAGUAGGUGCUUCAAAAAAAUUAGAAGGUUACAUUUUAUUUAUCUUAAACUUAGAAACACAACAUUAUUUAACUUGCUUAGAAACAAAACAUUAUUGAACAAUAGUUCCGAGAUAAUCUUCAUCAGUAAGAGCGCACUUGCUAAAACACAGAACAGUAAUUUGGAGUAAAAUAAUUGUAGGCACAACGCCUACAAAUGAUCGCAUCACUGCAAUUGCUAUCGUCGUUGCAAAAUCGAAAACAAGUAAUAAGACCAUCACAAAGUCAAAGUAAUUUCACUUUCAUUUUUGCAAUAUCAAUUGGUAACUUUCUUAAAGCCAUCAUUUUAGAACCCCAACACAGAUUAAUUGCACGUUACAAAAUCUUUUACUAAGAAAAGUAAGGACAAUAAUAGAUGUUUCUUUGUCUUUUUUUUUUUCUAUGAAGAGCUAGUGGAGACUUUCUUGAUAGCAUAAUAUUUCUGUAGAAGAACUAAUAUUGGGACUAGAAGUUUGAGUAAGGGCAAAAUUUGAAAGAAAUAAUUGGAAAUAAAUAGGUUUGACUUUUCGCCAUGCUCUUUUUUUUUCACUUAGUUAAAUUCAUAUAUUUGACAAAGGUAAAAGUAUUUAAAGUUUGGCUUUUGGUCUGCUCUUUUUUUCAGUUAAUUAAAUUCAAAUAUUUGAUAAAGAGAGAACAAAUCCACUCAAGAUGGAAGUUCAUAAAGUAAAAAAGAGAAUAAUUGAUGAUUAGGAUAUGAAACUCGUAAAAACGUAUGAAUUCAUGUGUAGUAUUUUGACCAGUAUCUCAAUAAGAAAAAUAGUAAAUUGCAUAUAAAAUAAACACUAGUUAACAAUACAUAUUUAUUUAAGUUGUAACCCAUAAAUUACAAUAGAUAGAUAGUUCCCCAAUAUUUGGAAAACUAGCUAGGUUACAUAUUUAUCUUCUGACUAUACAAACUUGAAAACACAACAUUAUUUAAAAUGCUUGAAUAUACACAAAGGCAUAUCAAACAUAUAAUAGUAGUUACAUUCAUCCUUUCCACACAGUAAAUAUAAUCUACGCUCUCCAAGGAUAAUUCACUCAUAACAACACACACUUACUUUUUAACUUGCUUAGAAGCACAAUAUUAUUUAACUUAUUCGAAAGAAAGUUUUAAAAUGACCUUUUAUAGGCGGAACAAUCAUAAUAAUACUUAUCACCCAAAAAAUAUCUAUUCGGAGCACAAGUUUUACAUAUAAUUCCAUCACUGCAAUCGCUAUCUGAUUUGCAACUUCGAUAACAAGUCAUAACAUUACGGUCAUUACCAAAUGGAAGAAGUAAUUUUUCAAGAAGUAAUUUUUCUUUCAUCUCUGCAACUUCAAUUGGUAAGUCUCUUAAAGCCAUCACUUUAGGACCCCAAGAGAUAUUAACUGCACAUAAAUUAAUUAUAAUAAUAAUUAAAAUAAUUAAUAUACACAAAUUAUUACAAAGAAAGAAGAGUGGUAAAAGUAAGUUUAGAACCUGAGAUUGCAACAAAGAGAGCAAUGAAGAUAAAAGCUUGCUUAAGAGAAACCAUCUUAACUUAAUUAAUUUGGCUCAAAGAUGAUAAUUGAACAAGUGAUGUUUUAUUUGCUUCAUGGAAGGUGAUAUUUAUACUAACAUUGAUAUAAGGGUAUUACAGUCACUUGAAGUUUAAAAUGUGAAACACAUUCAUCCAACCUUCAAUUAUAAAUUAGAACUUGUAAAAAUCAAAUAAUGAAACCUCUUAUUUCUUUGUUCAAAUAAUUCAAAAAGUGUUGUUUUAUGGGAAUUUUAACAUUAAUUUUAAUAUUUGUUUAAUGCCUAAUUCUUGAUUCUAACAACCUCUUUAAGUCAACAAUGUGGGAGUUUUCAUUUUUGCUACCGGUGAAAUACUUUGCUGCAGUGGGCUUGAAUCUCCUUAAAGAGAGCGAGAUAUCCGUGCCUCAGCCGAAGAAGAAGAAGACAUUCUUUUUUUUUUUUUGUACACUUGUAAUUUUCAGUUGUAAUUUUAUUGUAAUUUCACCAACAAAAAUAUACUCCUUCCCCACUUAGAAUGCCAAGUCAAAAUAAUUGCAAGUGCAUGGUAUAUAUUAUAUAUUUAUUUUACAACUAUUAAUAAGUGUGAAGAAGCAGGCAGCCCUUCGUCAACAUGUCUGCUUCUUUACCUGCUUCAGCUGCUCUGUGAUUUUACUAUAUUAUCCCUAAUUAAUUAUUUUAAGUCAUUUAAAUAUAAUAAAAUUAAUAAUAUUUAAUUAAAAAAAGGUAAAAUAGAUAUUUCUGACAUGUUUGUUUCAGCUGCUUCAUUCGUAGUAUUAUAUCAUCUCUAAUUAAUUAUUAUAAGUCAUUAGAUAUUAAAAAAUUAAUAAUAUUUAAUGAAUAAUAAAAUAAACAUAAAUGAUAAAUUAAUUCUUGAUGUUUGAAAUUAAUAGGACAUCAUAUAUAAGACUCAUUUAAAAAAAAAUCACAAGUAUGUUUGCUCCAUGAUUUUACUAUAUUACCUCUUAAUUAUUAUAAGUCAUUUACAUAUAGGAAGAUUAAUAAUAUUUAAUAAAAAAAGGUAAAAUAGAUAUUUAUGGCAUGUCUGCUUCAGCUGCUUCAACCGUAAUUUUACUAUACCACCCCUAAUUAAUUAUUAUACCUCAUUUAGGUACUAAAAAAUUAAUAAUAUUUAAUAAAAAAUAAAAUUAUAAUAAAAUAAUAAAUUAAUUCUUGAUGUUUUAAAUUAACAUGACAUCUUAUAUGAGACUCAUUUAAUUUUUUUUUUCACAAAUAUUUUCUUAUAGUAACUGUAAGACCCCGCAAAAUUUUAAGCUUAACUCAGUUCCUUAAAGCUUGUUAAGGGGUCCCAGACUUGGAAAAUUUCAGCCAAGUACUCAGACUUAGUGUUAUUUUAGCCUUUGAAAGUUGGCGAUCUUAUUUUGCGACCUUUACAUCCGUUAAAUGUUGAUAUUUAAGUUAAAUCAUGAUCAAGAAUGUCGGUAGGUUUUCUCGGACGAGUUUCGAAUUUUUUGGACCUCGUUUGAGCCAUGUUAGGAUGGCCAAAACAAUGCAUCGACACGAUCUCGACACGCCUCAUCGACCAUCGCGUCGAUCAAUAAAUUUUGUUGGUUUCCAAUGGCAAUUUCCAGUAACCCAAUGCGAAUUCGACGCAGCGCGUUGGCUAUCGCGUUGAUGCUAAUGACGCGGCGUGUCGAUGACACGGCUUUCAGUCAUUAAAACGUUGCGACCCCAGGAUUAUUUCAGUCUUUUUUCGACGAUCUUCAGCCCCCAUAACACGAAAUUUAGCCCUCUUUUGGCAAAUUAUACUCAUUCUUUCAUAAUUGCCCAAGAACAAGAAAACUCUAGAUGAUUAAUUUCAAAUUCAAGGCUCAAGAUUCCACCAUUAAUUCUCAAGAAUUCACCAACUAAGGUAUGCAAAGUGUUUAUCCAAGGGCCCCUUCCACCCUUGGAGCUCAAGAAACCCCUUUUAAAUCAUGAAUUGUGAUUUCCAUGUUGUGGAACAGAUUAUAUCCAUGUUGAUGUUGAUGUAUGGUUUUCAAGUUGAAAUCUUUAUUGUAUUUCAUGAUAUUAUGAUAGCAUGUCUGUUGAAUUUUGAUUCUCUUAUGUUGAAACCAUAGAAUUAUGAAUUAAUAUAGUAGUCAUAUGUAUUAGCAUUGUUAUUCAUGCCCAAGUGUAAAGCUAUGCCUACCAUGUGUUCGACAAAAUGCUUAAUUGAGUAUUUGGUGCUUUUAUGAUCCUUUGCUGAUCUAAAUGAUGAACUUAUGCUUUACCCAUAUGUUCAGAAUGAUUUUUAAGCUAAAGUUAUGCCUUAUAAGUGUUUGAUGGAAUGCUCAUGAGAUUGGAUUUGCGAAAUUAUAAUAUGUUAGUAUGCAUUUCUAUUCAUGUACAAGUUCAUGACUUUCAAGUGCUUUAUGAAAUCCCUCAAUGAUUGUAUUGUUAGUUGUUGACUAUUGUCAUGUAUCCAAGAAGUGUCAUGUCCUAUUAAUAUUCAUGCUAUCGAGUCCAAGGGGUAUCUAAUAUCCGACAAAUUAGCUGUGUGCCUAGAGCCAGUGUCAGUUACAGAGUAAUCUCAGUCAUGUCACGAUCAGUAGUACUCUCAGUCAGUUACAGAACUCUGGAAAACUUAGUAAUCUCAGUCAACUCAGUCGAAUUCAGUUCAGUAUACUCAUCUUAAUGUCUAUUCAGUUGGGAGUAGAAUUCAGCACCGAGUGAACCCAAAGAUAGGGACUCACCUGACAGUAGAGGGUGUGAAUCUUAGAAGUAAUCCUUGCGUUCAAGAACUACGUAGCCAGCAUAGGUUGAGAUACCUCUCUUACAGACUAGGGUUGAUAUAUCUCAUUCGAGUUUUCCUACCAGUGAGAGUUGACGGAAGAGCUUCCUAUCAAAAAAGGUUAGCUAACAACUUAUCUUUACCCGUGGCAUAGUACUGACAUCUUUCCAGCUGGGGUUACAGGUUGGACCCUACCAGUUCAGUUACACCUUCCACAGUCUUAGUCUCAGUCUUCAGAAUAGAACUCAGAUAGUUCUACAGAUUUCAGGAUUGUCAGAUACAAUCACUCAGCUCAGUACGGAACUCAGCUAGUUCCAUAAGAAUCAAGACUGUCAGAAACAGUCACUCAGUUAUCAAUAAUUAAUGUUAUCAGUAAACUUAGUAUUCAGUAUCACCAUGAUUUCAGUUACAGUCUAUAUAUUCAUGCAUAUAUUCCGACUCAGUCAUGUUCAUUUUCUCAGUCAGUUAUAGUUCAUGCAUAUGAACACUUGUAUUCAGCCUACCUCACUUUCCAUACCAGUACAUUCCAAUGUACUGACGCAUACUUUUCUCUUGCACUAUGGUGUUUUAUACCAUAGGUUCAGACGCUCAGGCUCCAAAGCACCCUUAGCAGUUCAGAUUCAGCCAGCAGCAGUAGACUUAGCAGUGAGUCCUCAUCAUUCGAGGAUGUUCUAUUAUUUUAUUAUUUCAUUAGACUAAGUAUUUCAGCAGAUAGAGUUAGUUGGGGGGAUUGUCCCAUCAACUCCACAUUUCAGAUAGUUUUAGAGGUUUUUCAGACUAGAGUAUUUUCAGACAGUUAUUUCAGUUUUGGUAUUGCUAUACCGUAUUUCAGUUAUAAUUCAGUAUUAAACCUUAUGACAUUUCAGCCCAUUAUUCCGCAUUACAUAGUAUUAUUGUUCAAUUAUUGCAGCAGGUACCAGUCAUGGGUUAGUUUGUGGUUCUUUGGGAUUAUGAGCACCGUGUAGCGUUCGGGGUACCAGACUCGGGACGUUACAGUAAUUUUGCUAUAUCACUUCUAACUAGGUAUUAUAAGUCAUUUAAGACAUGUCCGCUUCACUGCUUCAAUCAUUAAAUUUGAUUGACUCUCAAAUUUAUUUCAGUGUCACUUAUAUUGGAAUAGAAGAAAAGGUAUUAUAAAUCAUAAUAAUUAAAAACUUAAAUCAUUUUAAGAAUAUAAUUAACUAUCAAUGCCACAAAAUUUUGAAUAAGGAGAGUAACAUCUAUUAUUUAAAAAUUAAAUAAAAAAUAUUAUAAACUAUAAUGGCUAACAAUUUAAAAUAUUUUAAAAUAUAUUAAAAAUAUGAUUGAUUAUCUAAAUUAUAUUUGUGUCACAUAAAUCCGGGGUAGUUUUGGCAUUUUACAAUUUGCAUGUUUUAAUGUUUUAAUUUAGUAAUUUGUUGAUCCAAAUGAUGUUUCGAAUUUAGCAUUUUUGAAAAUUUAGUACUUUGUUUAUUUUAAUUUAUUUUAUUUUGGUAAAUAUUAUAUAUUUAAAAAUUAUGCAAAUAUAUGUCAUAACUAUUAACAUCUUAUAAUAUUUUAAAAACAUAUAGUAAAAAAUAUGAUUGACUUUUGAAAUUCUAAUAGUGUCACAUAGUUGUGAUAAAGCAAGUAACAUAAAAUAUUUGAAAUUAUAUUAAAAGAUACUAAAAUCACAAUGAGUAACAACUUAAAAUAUUUAAAUAAAUAUAUUAGUAAAAAUUUGGUUGACUCUCUAAAUUCUAAAAUUGGGACAAAGCGAGUAACAAAUUACUAAAUUACGUAAAAGGUAUUAUAAAUCACAAUGAUUAACAGCUUAAAUUAUUUUAAAAUUUAUAUUAACAAAAAUUUGAUUGACUCUCCAAAUACUAUUUGUGCUACAUGAAUUGAGAUAACGUAAAUAACAUAUGUUGGGCCCAUGCUGGCACGGGCUAAAGUAUCUAGUAUAUCUUUUAAGAGGGAACGACAAGGAGAAGCAAGUAGGUCUCCGUCAAUAUGCCUGCUUCUCCUACUUGCGUCAUAAGUUACUUCCUCCGUAAUUUUAUUAUGUCAUCUCUAAUUAAUUAUUAUAAGUUAUUUAUAUAUUAGACAUUUAAUAAAAAAGUAAAAUAAAUAUUUAUGACAUGUCUGCUUAGCUGCUUCACCCAUAAUUUGACUAUAUCACCAUAGUUAAUUAUCAUAAGUCAUCUAAAUAUUAAAAAAUUAUUAUAAAGUCAUCUAAGUAUUAAAAAAUUAAUAAUUAUAUGAGACCCAUUAAUUUUUUCCCGCAAGUAUUUUUGUAUAGUAAUUUUGUUGUAUCAUUUCUAAUUAGGCAUGUUUGUUUCGUUGUUUCAAUCGUGAUUUUACUAUGUCACUCCUAAUUAUUUAUUAUGAUCAUUUAAGCAUUGUAUCAAUUAACAAUAUUUGAUAAAAAAAGGUAAAAUAGAUACAAAGUGAUAAGUUAAACAAAAAAAAAAUUCACAAGUAUUUUCUAUAGUAAUUUUGCUAUAUUACUUAUAAUUAGUUGUUGUGAGUCAUUAAGACAUGUCUGCUUUGCUGCUUCAAUUGUAACUUUACCGUAUCACCCAUAAUUAAUUAAAUGUUCAUCUAAGCAUUAUGACACUUAAAUUGGAAUAAAAGAAAAAAUAUUAUACAUCACGAUAAUUUAAAAAUUAAAUUAUUUAAAAUAUAUAAUUAAUUAUAAAUGCCAUAAAAGUUUGGACAACAAGAGGGAUAUAUAUUAUUUAAAAAUUAAAUAAAAAUUAUUAUAAAUUAUAAUAUUUAACAGCUUAAAAUAUCUAUAACAAAAUUUGUUCUAUAUUUAAAAAAAAUAAUAAAUCACAAUAAUUAAAAUAAAUUUUUUAAAAAUAUUUAUUGGGCCCAUGCCUUGCAUGGGCUAUUGGUAACUAGUUACUUUUAAUUUUUGUUUCAAAAAGUGUUCUAUUAAAUGGAUACAAAUCCUUAAUUUUAUAUCAUUGACCUUAGGUUAUGUGAAAAAAUUAAAAUAAUAAUAAUAAUACAAAAAAAACUAAGACCAUUAGAUCAUGAAGUAGUUGGGCAAGUGGAGUCAUCAAAAUGUCAAACUCCAAAAGUUGGAAAUUCCAUGGAAUAAAAAGGAGAGGUAACAAUUUGAUCGCUCGAUAAAAAAUAUUUAUAUAAUCUUUAUAACUAUCUUGUUUGUUUUGAUAUUUUUUUUCUUUUUUGUAGCAAAAUCGAUUGUUGUAUGUACAUAACAAUAUUUGACGUUUUAUUUCAUAGUUAUAGAUAAUAAAUUAUUUAGGAAUUUUAAAAUUAUUUUUAAUAUUGUAAAAGAUAAGAAUACUAUUUAAAUUUUAAAUCGGAAGAAAAUAUGCAUAAGUGGGAAACAAAAUUUUCUUAAAUUGAAAUCCGAAUGAAAUUCGGAUUAUGUUAAGUUCAAAAUAGAUUAGUCUAAAAUAAAUAUUGCGGAUUAAUAUAAUUGGAUUAAUUAUUUAAGUCCAAACAUGGAUGAAAUUAAUUAAAGUCCAAUUUUUAUUGGGCUAGCCAAUUAAUUUGAGUUAUAAAUGAUGAGCCCACUGUCAUACCCUAUUUUUACCUAAGGUCAAAACGAGCACGACAUUAUGGACUCUAAAAUAAUUAAUUCAUACCGAAUCGCCACCUAAUUUUUAAGAAAAAAUAGGAAACCUAUUUAUUUAUUUAACAAGUAUGACUUUAUUCUAAUCUACAAACCAUUUUCGAUUCUAGGUAAGGGUUCAAAAUAUUUCGAAGGACAGGGAUUAGGUACCCUUCAGAAUCCACAGAUGCGGUUCCCGACCAGACUUAGGUUUAUUAAAAGGUAAAAAGUUUAUGUGCAUAUAUAUAUAAAUAUAAAAUGUGUAUUAAAAUGAUGUAAAUAAUUUAUAUAUAAAAGAUGUACAAAUUACCUAUAUUUUAGUAAAACUAUGUAUAAAAGUAUAUGAAAAUUUGUAAAUAAAAGUAUAUAUAAGAAUGUAUAUGAAAAGAAAAUAAAGAUUGAAUAAAGGAAAAUUUAUUUUAAAGAAAAGAUUAUAUAAUGUUUUUAGAGUAAAACUUAUGAAUUAUUUUAUUAGAUGUCUAAAUCAAUUUAAUAUAGAUAUUAACGACCUAAAUUUACCAAAGCGUGUGUUAGAAAAUUGUGCAAGUAAACAUAUUCUCACCCAUCACCCAAAAGUAAAGUUUUCACUAUAAUUAAUAUUUUGUGCAAGUAUAAGAAAAGAGAGAGUGCAGAUGGAGAUGAGGGACUGACUUUUUUUUUGUGUGUGUCUUUGUACGUACUUUGUGUGUGUGUAUUCUGUUGAAAAUCAGUGUGUGAGGUGCGUGAAUUCUUAGGCAGUGCGCUGUGUGUGUUCUGUGUGAAAAAAAAAUGGAGGAGAUGAGGUUAUUAAUUGUUGUGGCAUGAGAAUAAUUGUGUGGGCCCGUGUGAGGUGUAAUUGUGUUGGAAAGGUAUACAAAUAUUUUGCUGUGAUCAAAAGUGUGUGAUGGUGAUAGAAUAUGUACAUGUAUCAUAUAUUGUUUUGGAAAAGGCCAAACCCAUCAUCAGUCCUCUUAAGUACGCGUGAUCUUUCACUUAGGCACCUCAAGUGGACGUCGCUCACUUUUGGCACCUCAAGUAGCCAUAAAGUGGGUCAUUUUGGCACCUUUUGCUGAGUCAGCAAAAUAAUACUACGUGUGUGUGUUACACGCGCCGAUGAGCUCAAAAAUGAUGAAUAAAAUGUGGACAUAUGUCAUUUUUAUCCAAAUAAUUUAUACAUAAUUAAUUUAAAUACCCUGUAACGCCCCGAAUCUAGUACCCAGAACGCUACUCGAUGCUCAUGACCCCGAAGCCAUGACUGAUAUCUGUACCUGUACACUACAUAAUAUAACAUGAUAAUGCAGAAACAUGCACUGAAAGGCCAUAAGGUUCAAUACUGAACAUAACUGAAUAACAUAACAUAUGUGUGGGGUAAUAGAAUACCCAAAACAAAACUGAGAAUACUAAAGUCUGAAACAUGAUAGUCUGCAUCUAGUUUGAAAGCCUCUACUGUCUGAAUAAUCUGAAUAAGGAGUUGAUGGGACAUGUCCCAAACUAACCCCAACUAAUAAACUAAUCAAUGAGAUAGUAGAAAAAUAAUUAUGUCCUUGAAGGAUGAGGACUCACUUCUGACUCUGACUAUUGAGAAUGAGAUCUACUGCUGAUCUGGAACUCGUGUCUUUGAACCUAUGGUGUAACAUAAAAAAAAAGCACCACAGCGCAAAUGGGUCAGUAUAAUGGAAUAUACUGAGUAUAUAUGUGAGGUAGGCUAUAUGCAAGGGUUCACAUGCAUGAAUAACUCUAGCUGGCUGUCUAACAUGAACGUGAGAGUGCAUGUAUAAAUACGUAACUGACCCCGUGAUAGCAUGAUUACUGAAUCUGAAUACUGAUAACAUGACACACUAAUAACUGUUAUGACUGAUAACAUGAAAGACUGAAUCUGAAUAUAACUGAUAACAUGGGUGACUGUAUCUGACAGUCCUGAAUCACUAUCUGAGUUCCGUAUUGUAUCUGAGUUAACUGUAUCUGACCGUCCUGAAAUCUGAAGAACUAUCUGAGUUCUAUUACAGAUACUGAUUGACUGUGUCUGACAGUCCUGAUUUUGUAACAUGAAACUGUGGGAAGUAGUUAUCUAACCGACAUGCCCCAAAUGUGCUAUAAUAGCUGAGUUGGGGUUCAAUUUGUGCCCUGAUUGGAAGGGUGUCAAUACCGCGCCACUGGUAAGGACAACAUGUAAGUAGCCUUCAUAUAACAAGUAACUCUGGUGAGAACGAUGGGAACCCUCAUAUAACAGGUUAAGGCACCUCAUUUACCCUUAUAUAGCAGGCUACGAUGUCUCAAUCUAUGCUGGCUACAUAGUUUUGGAAUGCAAGGAUUGCUUCUAGAAAUCAAACCCUCAUAUAAUAGGUGAGUUCUCAUCAUUGGGUUCACUCGAUGCUAAUUCCUACUCCCAUCUGAAUGGACACUGAACAUGAUUUACUGAACUGAACAUGAGCUGAGUUACUGAGUUUUAUUGACUGACGGAAUACUACUGAUAUCUGACAACUGACUGAGUCAUGAGAUCAUGGAGAUUUCCUGAGUCAUAAGAUUAUUUGAAGUCUAAGGAUUCAUAGCUUGACUGAGAGUAUCGUGAAAACAUGACAUGGCUCUAGGCACACAACUAGUAUUUUGGGUACAAGUACCCUCAAGACUUGAUAGAAGGAAACUUACAAAGCAUGAUUUACUUAAAGACUAAACUAACAUCAUAAUACAUACUAUGUUCAUAGAAGCAUUUCAUCAAACAUGUGAUAGGCAUAAGCUUGUACAUUCAUGGGGAUUUCAUGAUAUCAUGCUAGUUAGGAAAUUUUCCUUCAUCUAGGCAUUUAAUCAAACAUAUUGUAGGCAUGGUUCAUGUAAACAUCAUUGUAUAAUAAUUAAACAUCAUGGUUCCAAUCUAAUUUCAUCAUUCAAGGGUUUAAACCAUAAGGUUGCAUGAAUCUAUAGCUAUAAUAAUUAAACCCACAUAGAAAUUAUCACCAACCAUGGAGUAGAAUCCAAUUUCUCAUUUAUCAACAUGAACAAAAGCAGCCAAAUCAUGAAAACAUGAACAAAAUCCAUAACUUGUAGUUGAAAAAGGGAUUCUUAACUUCAUGGAUGAAAGGGGUCCAUGAAUGAACACUAUGCAUACCUGGGUUAUGAUUCUUAAUGUUUCUUGAACUUGAAGAAUUGGAAUCCCCUAGUUUCUUAAAGAAAAUCGUAUUUUGUUCUUGGAGAGUAAUGUUAGAGAGAAACCCUAAUAUUUGUUGUGAGCUAAUGAUGAACCAAAUGGCUAAAAUCAGAUAUAAUUGGAUAUAUUUAGAUGGGUGGUAAAUGACCAAAAUACCCCUGUUAAAAUGUCAUCAAAUAACUGAGAGGGACGUCCGACGGUAGUUUGCGACGGUCUGUCGCUUGGUCGACGAUCCGUCAGACCUCUCUGUCGGCCUGAGGAAGAACUGGGACUUAUUGCCAUUGAGCGACAGUGGGGUGCGAUGGUCUAUCGCUGGGUCGACGGUCCGUCGGACCUCGCCGUUGUACAUUUACAGAAAGUGGACUUACUGCCUCGAUGCGACGGUCAUGGCCGACGGUCCGUCGCCUGCACCGUCGCUCCUAGGCGUUUUUUUGUUUUCUGUAUUUCGGCCAUAAUUUUCUCAUCUAACACCGAAUUUUGAUGAAAUUAAUAUUGAUGGAAAGCUUAAUCAAUUUUUCACGUGAUGGGAAGUAAAAAAUCAUAAAAAUACCACGUGUACAAAAAUAAAUUUGUAUUUCAAAGCAAGUUCUAACAUUCUUGAGAUGAUUUCAAACUAAGAAAAAGGUACGGGUAUUAUACACCCCUCCCCACCCCNNNNNNNNNNNNNNNNNNNNNNNNNNNNNNNNNNNNNNNNNCACCCCCCCCCCACCUCCGCACCCCAGUCAUCUUUAAUUUUUUUUCAUCGAUUUUUAAUUUUUCUUCACUGAUUUUAUUUGGUUUUUAGAUUCAAUUUUAUUUUUUUCAGAUUUGCUUCAUCUAUUUUACUUCAAUUUUUAGUUUUUAAAAUUGAUUUUUUUAAUUUCAAUUUUCUUCACAGAUUUAGCUUUAUUUUUUAAUUUUUUUCAUCGAUUUUUAAGUUUUCUUCACUGAUUUUUCUUGAUUUUUAUGCUUCGAUUUUAAUUUUUUUUAUUGAAUUUGUUUGAUUUUUCUUCAUUAAUUUUUUUUAUUGAAUUUGUUUGAUUUCAAUUUUUCUUCACUGAUUUAGCUUUAUUUUUUAAUUUUUCUUCAUCGAUUUUGUUUGAUUUUUAGUUUUUCUUAGUUGAUGUUGCUUAUUUUUUAAUUUUUCUUCAUCAAUUUUACCCUUAAUGAUUAAAAAAAAGGUGCUUGUUAUUUAAUCUUCACGAACCUUUAAAUGCGUAUAUAAAUUUCUCUCAAUAAUUCUUACCGUUAAAUAAAUUAAGAUUGAUGAAAAAUAACGGAUAAAAAUGUGAAAGAAGUAUAAAUUAAUGGGCGUUGAGUUAAUAUAUUAUUUUUGGCAAGGCAAACUCCUAAAUGUGUAUCUAAUUUUUAAAUCUCUCCCAAUAAUUUUUACCAUUAAAUAAACUUAAGAUUGACAAAAAUGAUGGAUAAAAAUAAGAAAAAAGGUAUAAAUUAACGAAAAUGAGUUAAUAUACUUUUGGUGGGCCAAAUUGGGCGCCGCAUCAGCCAAAAAAAGGCUUCCACGCACCUUCAUGGAGGUGUAAUACACGCACCUUGUCAACUCAACAAAAGGUGCCAAAUGACCCACUUUAUGGCUACUUGAGGUGCCAAAAGUGAGCGAUGUCCACUUGAGGUGUGUAAGUGAAAGAUCGCGCGUACUUAAAGAGUCUGGCAAUGGGUUUGGCCUUUGGAAAAGAAAGGAGAAUUGUGGAAGACGAUGGGUGGGUGUGGAACAUUAUGAUGAUGUGGGGGCCCUUUUCUUUUUGUAGAAUGUGUUGGUGGAGUGCUAGGUCUGAAAGGGUAGGCGGGAAAUAUUAUUAUUUGGGGAGAAAUAAAAUUACGUGUCUACAAUGUACAAACAUAUGGUGUCGAUAUAUAGUUACAGAAAAAUAUAAAGAACCAAUAUAAUUAUCUUGAAAAAAUAUUUUAUGCUAUAAACAAUUAAAAUUAAAUUACGUAAAAAGAAUUGCAGUGUCAUGUUAUGUACGUACGCAAAUGACUAUGCAAAAAUGUUAAAAUUAUAAUAAACUGAUAAAAAUCCUAAAAUUUAUGAAAUUAAGGGUGUGAAUAUUUGUGGUGUUAUAGUAAAAAAAAAAAAAAUUGUGUUAUGUGGUAGGUGGGAUGUUAGGUGGGAAAGAGAUAAGUGGGGUAGGGUACGGAAAGGUAAAAAAUGAAUAAAUAUUAAUUAUUCAGGGAGGGAUAAAAUUACACGUCUAUAGUAUAUUAAUAUUCAUCAAUACUACGUUACUAUUCAUCGUUACUUUUCAUCAAUCAUCUCAAUACGGUAAAAAAAUGUGACGUCACGUUGUGCACGUGUGCGGAUGAUUUUAAAAAUAUUAAAAGAUAAUAAAUUAAUAAAAGUUCCGAAAUAAGAAAAAAUAUUAAUAAAUUAUGAAAAGUAAAAAUGUGACAACAAAUUGAUUAAAAUCCUAAAGUAAGUAUGAUUAUCAAUAAUUUAUCAAAAAAAUAUAAAAAGGUGUAAAAAUUAUAUUUUGUGCCUUUAAUGAUCAGGAAGACUGAAGACGUUAAUUUAAGGCAUGAAGAGCAAAAAUUGGGUGUAACACCCACUUUUCGAAGCCCAAGAUAUUGUCAUAUUCUAGAGACCCAAAUAAGCGUCACAUGUCAAACGAUGUGACAUGCCUAGUCAAGCGAAAGAAUCAUUACGAUCAUGCCACAUUUCAAAAUGAUGCAGCAGGCAUAGUGAAAUCAAAAACCCAUAAAAGGUGUCAUAUCACUUAAAUUUGAUUGAUCAAAGGAAGUUCAUAUUCAUCAUGAUUCUUCCUUUUUCACAACUAUAAAUAGGGUCUCAUAAUUCAGAAAAAACCCCAGAACUCUAACAAGAACCAAGAGAAAACUCGUGGAUCAAACCCCGCAAUUUCUCAACAAAGCUCAAGUUCAUCAAGAUUCAAAGUCAACACCGCAAUAUUCAAGAACAAGCUCAAAAGCCCUUGAAUUCAAGCACAAGUUAAGAUCAAAUCCCUCAAAUUAACAAAUCAAGUUCAAAUUCAAGAUCAAGCUUUAAUCCCUUGAAUUUAUAUUUGAAAAAUUCAAGAUCAAGCUUUAAUCCCUUGAAUUUAUAUUUGAAAAGACGAAUCAAAGAAUUCAUAGAGAUUGUAACACUCACAUAUUAAAAUCAAUAAAACAAUUAUUGCAAUAUUUUCUUGUCUCGAUUAUUUAUUUUUCGGCCUCGAGAAUUUUAUUUUCCAACAACAUAUUUUACUAAUUAAAAAUUAAAGAAAGCUAAGCAUUAUCAGUAAAUUCAUAACCAAAAGUACAAAGAUUUGAGCUCUAAGACACAUUUUUCAAGUGGCUCUUAAAGUUAUCCUUUUCAGAGACAAGAUUAUACAAAGAAUUAGAGUUUGUGACCACUGAGUGACCCAGUACUGCACCAUUUAUUGGUUUGAAAAGAACUACUCGACCUCGUACAUACAUUAUUAUUAAGUCCACCCAACUUUUAAAUGUAGAUUUAAUACGUUCACCUAACGUUAAAGCGUUAUUAGUAAAAUGCUCUCAGUAUUUUGUUUUCAUUCAAGUUUUAUGCUUUCAUCCUGUUCAUGUGAUAUUUUUCAUUUUGGGGAGUUAAUUUGAUUAAUUUUUAAAGUAAUAUUAAUUUAAUUUAAUAUUAAGAUAUUUGAUCACUAUACGAAACCUUUGCGACAAAGAGAAUACCACUUUAUAGAAUAAAACACUCUAUAUUAAAGACAACUCUGUUAACUUAAAUUAAGUCGAACUUCUUAUUAAAGAAAGACAAAAUGAUCUAAUGAACCCUUAUACUUGUUUUCGUUUGUAGAGUAGACACCUCUACUUAACCAUUUAUCAUCUGAACGCUUCAACCUAUCAAAAUACAAGAUUUUAAAUCCUUCAGACCAUGUGUGGCCAGAGGCGGAGCUAGAAUUUUUACUGAGUGGGUUCAAAAUCUAAAGAAAAACUCACCGAAGGACGUUCAACAUUUGCAAUAUAUGCAUAAAAAUUAUUUUAAUUAUUUAUUAAUUGUAUAAUUUUUCAUCGAAAAUGAUUCAAACCAACCCCCAAUUAUUAGGCUGGCUCUGCCUCUGUGUGUGACCCACUCUCCGUAAAAAAAUUUCACAUCAUAUCCACGUCACAUAAAUCAAUGACAUGUCAUAAUAUCUUCAUUAAUUAAUUUUAAAAAUUACUAAUCAAUAAUAUUAAAUAAAAAAUAAAAUAAUAAAUUAAAAUUUUAUUUUUUAAAAUAAAACUCAUGUCCAUCAUUAUUUAAAAAUUAAAAAUAACAAUUUAUAUUCAUCCCCAACCGCCUCCACAUCAAUUUCCACAGUAUUUUUAAAUAUUACAUUAAAUUUGAUAAUAUUUUUAAACGGCACAUAAGAAAUUAAAUCUUAAAAUAAAUUUUAUUCCAGCAAGUCCUGCGGUUGAAUAUCGUUAAAGUAGCUGUAAUUGUGCGAGUAAGGGUUGAAUAUCGUUAAAGUAGCUGUAAUUGUGCGAGUAAGGGGGGGAGGGGGUUUCCCUUUUUCUAAUUUGUUUUAAAAGCUAUUUUAAUAUAAAAACGACGCUCACUCGCACCCACGCGUGUGACUACACACGUUGUGUCCAACUCAGUCGCCUUAAAGCCACAUAGGCUUGAUCAACGAUCAUAGAGAUUAAACAUGUUGUGUUUUGAUGAGUUGAGGGGUUCAAAUGACAAAGAGCUAAGUAAAAGUGUCCACUUUACAAACAAGAAUACAGAGCUCCAUUAGACCAUUUCGCAUCAAAGAAAAGAUUAUGUUGUUCUUAGAUAGCUUCAAAUAAGUUUCACGAUUACAAAAACCAAUAGUUUAUUUAAGUAUUUUGUUUAUAAAGUGUAACAUUUGAUUAUUUAAAAUUAAAUAAUUUUGUUUAUUGCAAAAAAAAAAAAAUUAAUAAAGUGUAAAAGUUCAAAUCACUUUUCAAAAAUCUUUCACACUUUAAUAUAAUAACUAAUUUAGGUAUAUGCGCUUCGCGCAUGUACCUUACUGUAUUUAGUUCAAUCGUUACACUAAAUAGGAUAUUUCUCUAAACAACAAAGAUGAAUACAAUAAUUAAAUUAAACAUAUUUUGAAGAAUUUAUUUAAUUAAAUCUGGCCUUUACCAAAAACAAUUGUUAAAGAUGAUCAACAUUAAACAAUAUAAUUAAAUCUAUUAUUUACACAAAAAUUUUCUCAAAGUCGCCUGACACUUAUCUACCAUAUGUAAACUAUAACAAAAUAAUACGAUAAUAGACAUAUCAAAAUAAUACAACUAAACUUAACUUUUACACAAAAAUAUACUCAAAACAGAGAUAUAAAAAUAAUACAAUUAAACUUAACCUUUACCUAAAAAGAUUCCUCAAAGCUGAUUGACAUUCAUCUCCCACCUGUAAAUUCAUCUACGACUUGUAAAUUAUAACAAAAUAAUAGAAUAGUGAUUACAAAGUUUCGGUUUUGAUGAAAAUAAUUCUUUUCUGAGUGAAAAUUUUGACUUUAAAAAAUGACUUGAAUAAAAACAAAGAAGAUAUAUAUAUACACAUACGUUGAAUUCUAUUAUGUUGACAAAAACAAUGAAGAAAUUGAGGGUUAGAAAAUUAAGCAUCCACCAAUCUAGACAUGCAACCGAAUUAAGUUAGAUGAACAUCAAUCAUUUUUUUUUCACUAAUUAAAUUGAUUUAUUCGGUAGUUUAACGUGCAUCCCAAUAUUUAUAGAAGUAUUUUCUUAAUAGAAUCCUAUUUUAGGAGUAUUUUUCUAUCAUAUUUUUGGUGUAUUUUUCUAAUUGAUUAGUACAAGGAAAAAAAUUAAUUGAUUCUCCUUCCAUAUAUUUUAGGAGUCUAGUUAAUAUAAAAAAAUAAUUAAAUAAUAAAUUGAAGUAAAUAGUAAAAAGACAAUUUUGUCUAAAGAAAGGUUUUUCAAUGAAGGACAAAAAGUUCAAAUAACUUUUCUAAGGAUUUUCACACUUUUAAUAUAUUAUAGAUAAAUUAUAGAUGUAAAUAUAAGCAUAUAAUCUGGUUUUCCUUAAAUUUAUCUUCUUCUAACGGAUUUAUAUUUAUUUUUAAAUUUUUUAAAUCUUCUUAAAAUCAAAUUUAGUUGAUUUAGAAUUCUUAAACUAAUGAAAAUUGUAUUAGUUGUGAUUAAUUUUGAUGGCUUUCAAUAAAGAAAGGUUUUAUUAUAAACAUAUUUAAUUAAUUUUCAACUCUUAAAAUAGGAAAAAUAGUGAAAUUAUGAUGACUUCUAAUAAGGAAAGAAAAUGCUUUACCAUUAAUAUAUUUAAUUAAUUCCAACUCUUAAAUAUUAGGAAAAAAUAGUGAAAAUACAAUUUAAUCUAAAGUAAAUUUUAUUAAUGAAGAGCAAAAAGUUCAAACAAUAUUUCUAAAGACUUCACACUUUUAAUAUAUUAUAGAUAUAUAUAUUAAAACAAAUUUUAAGAAAAUAUUUGUUGGGCCCGUGCCUUGCACGAGCUAUUAGUAACUAGUGUGUGUGUGUGUGUGUGUAUAUAUAUAUAUAUAUAUACACACACUAGUUGAACCACACGUAUCUCGCACGUGUAAUCUUUCGUUAUUUAAAAUUAGACAAUUUUGUCUAUUACAAAAAUUUUUAAUGAAGUGUGAAAAGUUCAAAUCAGUGGGUGAAGAAUAGAAUUUUUGUAACUAUAUAUUUUUGGUUUGACAUGAGAAGAAGGGUUAUUCUUUUUUUAAAAAAAAUUAUUUUUUGUUUUCUGGAUAUUAAUUGGGAUUUUUGGGUUAUCCUCUUUUAGUUAUUAAUCGUAAGUUUUCUUUAGAUGAUGGAAAAGAAAUCUUAUUUUUGUGAGAAAGGUUUUUCUUUUUGCAAUAUAGUAAAUAUUUAAUAUUAUUAAAAUAAUAGGAGAUAGGUGAAAAGAUAAAUUUGUAUAAAGCGAAUACUUUUAACAAAGGACAAUAAAUUCAAACGAUAUUUUUAAGACCUUUACACUUUUAAUAUAUGAUAGAUUAUAAAUAACUUAAAUAUUGAAAAAUUAAAAUCCUGCCUUCAUCCUAAGAGUGUUAAUUCAAACCCUUCAUUGAAAAUUAUAAAAUAUGAAUUAUUAUAUAUAUAUAUNNNNNNNNNNNNNNNNNNNNNNNNNNNNNNNNNAGGUAAUUUUUGUGAAUUGAUGUGAUGGAGGAGAAUCCAUGUUUGAUUAUGGUGUCAUUUAAGAUCCCUUCAUUGAAAUUAUACUAUAUGUUAAAUUCUCAUAGUUUCUUCACGUGUUAUAUUCUCUUAAAAAACAUUAUUAAAUUUUCUUACUAAAAUUCAAAAUUUAUCAUUUUAUUUUGUAAUACAUAUUAAUUAAAUUAUGCCAAUUUUUUUUUCAAAUCCAACAACAUAUUAUUAUCAUAACAUUUUGAUCAUGCAUGGUUGUUGAAUUUUUCAAGUACGUUAUGCUAUUCGUUACUGAGAUGGACAAAACACAUUAUUCGAAGAAAGCAACAAUACAUAAGAAGAACACAAAAAUGUACUCUGUAUUAUUGGUCCACUCUCAAUAAUUAUAACAUAAGCAUUCACGUGAAUAAUAAAAUUUCUAACUUGUUUUAUUCUUUUUUUUUUUUUAAAUCUUUUUGGAGUUUCCAAUCAAGGUUUUACAUUGCAGAACUUCAAUUGUUAAGAGACAAAAAUUGAAGACCAAUUUAUUUUACUGAAAAAAUUCAAAGACCAACUAAUUUAAGAGACAAUUCAUGCUAAUUUAAGAAAAAAUUGCUAUGUUAUUUAUUCGCUACGCCUACAUUAUUACUAUGUCAUUUUCUUUAGAUGUUAAAACAAGUAGAUAAUUUAGAUAUAUUGCCGCAAUUUCUGUGAUAGAGAAUUCCUCUUCAAUCAAUGGCAUAGUCAUCCUUGUUCAAGAGGAGUCAUCAAAUAAAGAGAUAAAAGUAAUAUGUACAUAGACAUCUAUAGGAAAAAUAAAAUGUAUUGAGUACCUGUGAAAAGUUUAAUACUUGCGACAACCAGAAAGCAAAUCACCAUUUCCAUAAAAAAUAGUUGAAAAGGAAAAGAGAUUGAUAAACCUUUGAUCUUCUUUGCUACUUAAAAAAAUGUGUCGAUGUAAGCUCAACUUUUUUUUAUAAAAUACUAUCUUUAGUUGUUUCUCAUAAUUGAUAGAUGUUUUUGUUCGUAACCUUUUUCACCUGAAUUAGUUUUGAUUGGUACAAUAUUAAUUUGUAUUAUUAGUUUUUGUAAUUAGAUAUUUAAAGCUUUCACUUUGUCAUUAUGCAUGGGCAUAUCUCGCGCCUCCACUUGCAGAUUUCCUACACUAUAAUUCUUAACAGUUUGACCCACGUUAUGGCUUAUCUAUGCACAUAAAUAUUUUUAUAUAUGAAUUUUUCUAUUUUAUAUAUUCUUUCUAUAUAUAUGCUUUUUUUUAUAUAUUUUGGAGCUCCAUAAUUAUUAAUUCUCUUGACAUAUAUUACUCUAUAUUUUUUUUAUUAUCACUAGUUUAGCUGCACGUGCCUCGCACGUGUAACUUUUGAUUAUUUAAAAUUAAACGAUUUUAUCUAUUACGAAGGUUUUCAAUGAAGUGCAAAAAGUUCAAAACAGAUAUUUUAGUAUAAAUACAUAUAUAUAAAUGAGAAAAUAAUUACGUUGUUAGAUUCGAACAUGCGAGAAUAUCAAACCUAGAAAUCAAAAUUCACAAACAAAACAGAUGUGAUAAUGCUUGAUGUGUUGAACUUAAAAUCACUCCUAAGCUAAAGAAAAAAUAUUAAGUUACGAAACCAAUAGAAAAGGAAAAACAACUCAAAGAGAGAGAGAGAGAGAAUAACACACUAACCUGGAGGAUGACAAUUACAAUGGAUGAAGAAAACAUAAAAUAAAAGCGUGGGAUGGGACAAUAUAUAUUAAUAUAAAAAUAUGUUGAAAAUUAAACCUAUAUAAAUUACAAAACAAAUAGGAGUCCUAAUUUAAGAAAAAAACUUACCAUAUUUUAAAGUCCUAAUUCAUUAACAUAUUUUAAAAUCCCAACCUAUAUAUUUUAGGAUUCAAAAUUAUAUAUAUAAUUAAAUAAUAAUUGGAGAAAAAAAGUGAAAAGACGAUUUUGUCUAUUGUAAAGUGUUUUAAUGAAGGACAAAAAGUUCAAAUCACUUUUCUAAAGGCCUUCACACUUUUAAUAUAUAUAUAUAUAGAGAGAGAGAGAGAGAGAGAAAGAGUUUGUCAAUUAUCCAUAAAGGCUUAUGGAUAACAAACCUCUAUACUAUGUUACUCGAGAAAAUUGAAGAAAGGUGUCUUUUAAAUCUUGAAUGAAGGAUUGGUGAUAUUGACCAAUUAAAGGAUCAAACAUAAUUAAAAAAUUUGAUUAGGUUAAUUGUGGACUUGAUUAAUAUUUUCUAAACUUUUUAAUCUUUUCAAAAAUACAAAUUAACCCACACCCACAAAACUUUCCUCCCUCUGCAAAUCAAUCUCUCUCUCUUCUCUCUUUCUCUCGAUAGUUUAUCUCUCUAACUUCUUCCAACCAACAACUUUUCAAAUUUUUCCCUUCAAUUUUGCGCAACUUCAACUUCUGGCAACAAAUAGUUUUAAGUUUUUGCCCAUUCCUUUUUAACUUUCAACCGUCAUUCGACGUGACAACAUUCUCUGGCGACAAUAACUUCGAGUUCUUCAUCGUUUCUUUUCGAUUUUCAAGAGAAAAAAAUUAGGGCUUUGAAGUUAUGAAGAAAAUGAGGAACUUGAUUUGUUGUUGUUUGUUAUUUUUUUAUGUUUUUUUUUAUAAUUUUUUUAAUAUUUAUUAUUUUUUAGUUGAAUUUCUCAUCUGGAUGUAUCUGGUACUUCUGUUUUUUAAUAAUGGAUAAAACAUAUAAUGUAAAUCCAACAUAUGAGUAUUUGUUGCAACAUAUCUCUUUAUUCAAAUUAAGUAAUUAUUAAUAAUAACUAAAUUAAUUUAAUUAAAACUGAAGAGAAGUCUUUAAUACAAGACCUUAGACAAGGGGACAAAUGUUUGAAUUCUCCUAAAAACAUUUGAGCUUUAGUAUUUUAAAUUGUUUUUCAACAUAUAUCGAACUCGGAACCAAAAUGAGCCACAGAAUUAAAAAAGUGACCAAAAUAGGCCACUUAUUUAAAAAGUUACCAAAAUAGGCUAAACGUAAUAGUUUAUUACAUUUUCUAACGGUCAACUAACGGAGCUGACUUUUACAAAAAUAUAAGAAUUUCUUACGUUUUACAAGAUAACCGAGGAAAAAUACAAUGAAUUGUCAAAUCCAUUAAAAAGGUACUUAAAAAAGAGUUGUUCAACGUAACAAAAAGUUACGUUCUUAACUUUUUUAUAGCAGUGGUCCCCCACCCACAAUUUUUUUUUCCACAAAUGUCCCAUCACUUCUACUUUUUCCUCUUUUUACAUAUGAUAAUUAAAAUUUAUUGGUUAAAUUUAUUUAUAUUGUACAUGUAGUUCAAAUAAUUAAUUUUGCUAAUAUCCUAAUCGAAACACUAAUCGAAAACUACGAUGAAUAACUAUCCGAAAAAAUUAAUUUCAUAUUUUUAACACACCAAAAAAAUAUAAUUCUUGUAUAUUGUAGCAUAUUUGAUCGAUGAUAAUUCAACAUUUCACUAUUUUGGAGUAGAGAAAAACUCAAAAUUAUAAUUUUUUUAAGAGAAAAUCAGACAAUUAAAGAUAGAAGUGAUUAUUUUUGUCUAUAGAAUAAAUAUAAGAAAAUUGUUAAGUUAAUGAGGUAAUUGAUACUUCUAUUUUUUAAAUUUUUUAUGUUAAACGUAAAGAUUUAUUAGAUAGAGGAAAAAAUAAAUUAUUUGAACUACAUGUAAAAUAUAAAUAAAUUUAACUAAUAAAAAAAUUCAUAAUUAUCAUAUGUAAAAAGAGGAAAAANNNNNNNNNNNNNNNNNNNNNNNNNNNNNNNNNNNNNNNNNNNNNNNNNNNNNNNNNNNNNNNNNNNNNNNNNNNNNNNNNNNNNNNNNNNNNNNNNNNNNNNNNNNNNNNNNNNNNNNNNNNNNNNNNNNNNNNNNNNNNNNNNNNNNNNNNNNNNNNNNNNNNNNNNNNNNNNNNNNNNNNNNNNNNNNNNNNNNNNNNNNNNNNNNNNNNNNNNNNNNNNNNNNNNNNNNNNNNNNNNNNNNNNNNNNNNNNNNNNNNNNNNNNNNNNNNNNNNNNNNNNNNNNNNNNNNNNNNNNNNNNNNNNNNNNNNNNNNNNNNNNNNNNNNNNNNNNNNNNNNNNNNNNNNNNNNNNNNNNNNNNNNNNNNNNNNNNNNNNNNNNNNNNNNNNNNNNNNNNNNNNNNNNNNNNNNNNNNNNNNNNNNNNNNNNNNNNNNNNNNNNNNNNNNNNNNNNNNNNNNNNNNNNNNNNNNNNNNNNNNNNNNNNNNNNNNNNNNNNNNNNNNNNNNNNNNNNNNNNNNNNNNNNNNNNNNNNNNNNNNNNNNNNNNNNNNNNNNNNNNNNNNNNNNNNNNNNNNNNNNNNNNNNNNNNNNNNNNNNNNNNNNNNNNNNNNNNNNNNNNNNNNNNNNNNNNNNNNNNNNNNNUGUAAUUACCAUGAGAUUAAUUGAAACAAUAAUUGAACUUAUUAAUACUAGUUAAAUCAAUUUAGUUAUUACUAAUAUAAUGGCUUAAUAUGAAUAAAUAGAUGACUAAGAUGUUGCAAAAGAUGAGUAAUCUGUUGAAAAUGACCAAACAGAUAAAGACAUCUGUGGAACAGAUUAGCCACCUAUUGCAACAGAUUAGUAAUCUAUUGGAAAUAACAAACAAAUAAAGUCAUAUAUUGCAACAGAUAGGGCAUCUUUUGGAAAUGACCAGCAAAUAAAGACAUUUGUUACAACAGAUGACUAAUCUAUUGCAACAUAUGUGUUUAUCUGUUUGAUAAUUUUCAACAAAUGAUUCAUCUGUUGCAACAGAUUAAAUCUGCUGCAAUAGGUUAUACACUUAAAUGAUCAUGUAAUUACUAUGAGAUUAAUUGAAAUUGUAAUUAUUAAAUCAAUUUGGCUGUUACUAAUAAUGGCCAAUUUGAAUCAUUUCAAAUAAAAUUAGUCAAUUGAUCACUCUACUCAGAACGAACACAUUAAGAUGAUCGUGUAAUUAAUAUGAGAAUAAUUGAAAUCGUAAUUGAACUUAUCAAUUCAUCUUUAAUUUUAGUUAUAUCAAUGUAGCAAUUACUAAUAAUAUCUUAAUUUAAAUCAUUUCAAAUAAAAUUAAUCAAUUAACACUUUACUCAAGACGAAUACACUUAGAUGAUCAUGUAAUUACUAUAAGAUUAAUUGAAAUCGUAAUUAAAAUUAUCAAUUCAUCUUUAAUUUUAGUUAAAUUAAUUUAAUUAUUACUAAUAAUUGCUUGAUUUUAAUUAUUUCAAAUAAAAUUGAUCAAUUGAUCAUUCUACUUAAGACGAAACACUAAGUUGAUCAUGUAAUUACUAUAAAAUUAAUUGAAAUUGUAAGUCAACUUACUAAUAAAUCUUUAAUUUUAGUUAAAUCAAUAUAGUUAUUUCUAAUUAUGGUUUGGUUUUAAUCAUUUCAAAUAAAAUUGGUCAAAUGAUCACUCUACUCAGGAUGAACAUACUUAGUUGAUAGUGUAAUUACCAUGAAAUUAAUUAAAACUGUAAUUGUACUUAUUAAUUCAUGUUUAAUUCUAGUUAAAUAAUUUUAGUUAUUACUAAUAUAAUGGUUUAAUAUGAAUCAUUAGAUGACUAACAUGUUGCAAAAGAUGAGUAAUCUAUUGAAAAUGACUAAACAGAUAAAGACAUCUGUUUGAAAUGACCAAACAGAUAAAAACUUCUAUUGGAAAUGACCAAACAAAUAUAGACAUAUGUUGUAACAGAUGACUAACCUGUUGCAAUAAAUGACUCAUCUAUUGAAAAUUAUCAAACAAAUAUAGACAUCUGUUGCAACAGAUGACUAAGUUGUUGCAACAGAUGACUCAUCUGUUGAAAAUUAUCAAACAUAUAGGAUAUAUGUUGGAAAAUAAUUUAAAUACUAAAGCUCAGAUGUUUUUAAGAGAACUCAAACGUUUUUUCCCUUGUCUAAGGUCUUGUCUUUAGUUUUAGUUAAAUCAUUUUAGUUAUUAAUAGUAAUUGCUUAAUUUGAAUCAUUUUAAAUAAAAUUUAUCAAUUGAUCAUUCUAUUAAGGACGGAUACAUUAAUUAAAAUUGUAAGUGGACUUAUCGAUCCAUCUUUAAUUUAGUCAAAAUCAAUUUAUUUAUUACUAACAAUGACUUAAUUUGAAUCAUUUGAAAUAAAAUUGGUCGAUUAAUCACUCUCCUCGAGACGAAUACACAUAGUUGAUCAUGUAAUUACUAUGAGAUUAAUUGAAAUUGUAAGUAAACUUAUCAAUUCAUCUUUAAUUUUAUUUGUUNNNNNNNNNNNNNNNNNNNNNNNNNNNNNNNNNNNNNNNNNNNNNNNNNNNNNNNNNNNNNNNNNNNNNNNNNNNNNNNNNNNNNNNNNNNNNNNNNNNNNNNNNNNNNNNNNNNNNNNNNNNNNNNNNNNNNNNNNNNNNNNNNNNNNNNNNNNNNNNNNNNNNNNNNNNNNNNNNNNNNNNNNNNNNNNNNNNNNNNNNNNNNNNNNNNNNNNNNNNNNNNNNNNNNNNNNNNNNNNNNNNNNNNNNNNNNNNNNNNNNNNNNNNNNNNNNNNNNNNNNNNNNNNNNNNNNNNNNNNNNNNNNNNNNNNNNNNNNNNNNNNNNNNNNNNNNNNNNNNNNNNNNNNNNNNNNNNNNNNNNNNNNNNNNNNNNNNNNNNNNNNNNNNNNNNNNNNNNNNNNNNNNNNNNNNNNNNNNNNNNNNNNNNNNNNNNNNNNNNNNNNNNNNNNNNNNNNNNNNNNNNNNNNNNNNNNNNNNNNNNNNNNNNNNNNNNNNNUGAAACACUUAAUUGAUCAUUUAAUUAUUGAGAUUAAUUGAAAUCGUAAUUGAACUUACUAAUUCAUCUUUAAUUUUAGUCAAAUCAAUUUAGUUAUUUCUAAUAAUGGUUUAAUAUGAGUUAUUUCACAUAAAUUUGUCAAUUAAUCAUUUUACUCAGUACGAAACACUUAAUUGAUUAUGUAAUUACUAUGAAAUUAAUUGAAAUCAUAAUUGAACUUACUAAUUCAUCUUUAGUUUUAGUCAAAUCAAUAUAGUUAUUUCUAAUGAUGACUUUUUGAAUCAUUUCAAGUAAAAUUGGUCAAUUGAUCACUCUACUCAGGACGAACAUACUUAGUUGAUCGUGUAAUUACCAUGAGAUUAAUUGAAACUAUAAUUGAACUUAUUAAUUCAUAUUUUAUUUUAGUAAUCAAUUUAGUUAUUACUAAUAAUGACUUAAUGUGAAUCAAUAGAUGACUAACAUGCUACAAUAGAUGAGUAAUCUGUUGGAAAUGACCAAACAAAUAAAAACAUCUGUUGAAAAUGACUAAACAAAUAUAGACAUCGGUUGCAACAAAUGACUCACUUGUUGCAACAACUAAUUCAUCUAUUGAAAAUUAUCAAACAAAUAUAGACAACUGUUGCAACAGAUGACUAAGUUGUUGCAACAUAUGACUCAUCUGUUGGAAAUUACUAAAUAGACAAAAUAUGUGUUGAAAAAUAAUUUAAAAUACUAAAGCUCAAAUAUUUUUUAGGAGAACUCAAACGUUUCCCCCUUGUCUAAGGUCUUGUCUUCAAUUUUAGUUAAAUCAAUUUAAUUAUUACUAAUAAUUGCUUAGUUUAAAUCAACAAAUGACUAACUUGUUAUAAAUAUUUAUUGCAACAGAUGACUAACUUGUUGCAACAAAUAGGUGGUCUAUUGAAAAAUAAUUAAAAUACUAGAGAACUCAAACAUUUUUAGGAGAACUCAAAUGUUUGUCCCAUUGCCUUAAAGACUUAUCUUUAAUUUUAGCUAAAUCAAUUUAGUUAUUACUAAUAAUUGGUUAAUUUGAAUCAACAGAUGACUAACAUGUUGCAACAGAUGAUUCAUCAGUUGAAAAUUAUCAAACAGAUAGAAAAUCUGUUAUAAUGGAUGGUUUAUCAAUUAGAAAGCAAUUAAAAAACUAGGAAACUUAAAUAUUUUUAGAAGAACUGAAACGUUUGUCCCCUCGAUCCUUUUGCAUUUGAUGUAUGAUACACUAUUUUUGUCUUCUUUACCCGUUUCAUAAAAUUUUUCAUGUGUUUCACUUAUUCAUUGUGCCCUUGUUGAAAUUUUUAGAAUUUUUUUAGGUCAAAUUUUGUUCGCAUAUCACUUGGACAUUACUUUAUAGGUGAUUUUGUAAGUAUAAUUAUAAUUUUUGUUGAAUUUUUUAUUUGGUAUAGUUGCUACUGCUACAAUAGAUAGAACCUGCAACAUGAAUUCAAUAUAUGAGUCAUUUAUUGCAAUAAGUGAGUAAUCUGUUGCAACAUAUGACUAAUCUCUUGCAACAGAUUACCCAUAUGUUGAAUUCAUGUUACAACACUAUAGUACAAAUCCAACAGAUGAGUAAUCUGUUGCAACAGAUUAGUCAUAUAUGUUGCAACAGAUUACUCAUAUAUAUGUUGCAACAGAUUAGUCAAUAUGUUGCAACAGAUUACUCAUAUGUGCAACAGAUUACUCAUCUGUUGGAUUCACGUUAUAUGUUUUAUCUACUAUUGAAAAAAAAAACAGUAGCAGAUACACCCAGAUGAGAAAUUCAACUAGAAAUUAUAAUUUUACUUACUAAAAUCACCUAUAAGUAAUUACCAAGUGAUAUACAAAUAAAAUUUGACCUAAAAAAUUUGAUCAAGUAGCAAUAGUAGAGGUAACAACAAUGUUCAACAAUAAGAAGAUGAUGAUGAUGAACAAGAAGAGAUGGUAAUGAAGAACAAGAUGAUGAUAAUGAAGAAGAAGAUGAUGAAUAAAGCAAAAACAACAAUGAACAACAAAAUCACGAAGAGAGAAAACUCCAAUAAAUGAGAAGAGAGAGAAACAUGCCUUUUUUUCACCUCCAUUUCUAGUUAUAUUAGGUUUUACAUUGGAUCAAAGUGUAAAUUAAAAAACUUGUGAGUUAUUUUCAAACUUUUCUUACUUUCUUAAUCCUUAAUAAAGUAAUUGCCACCUCAACUCAAUUAUUAAGACUCUGUCACCCACACUUCAUUUUAAAAUUCUUUUGUCAGCUAGAGCCAAAGCCCCAAGUUACCCCUUUCUUUUUUAGCGUAAAGGCUAAUGGAUAAUGAACCACUAUAUUAAUUUGAGAUCGCCAUAAAAAAUUAAGGAUUUAAAUUAAUAAUUUAUACAUAUUAAAUAAAAUUUUGAAGAUACAUACAUAUAUUGGAUCAAAAUUAUUGAGCUUUGUUGAAACUUAAAAAAGAAAGAUUACAUCCAAACUUAAUUAUUUGAAUUUAGUUUUUUGAAUUCGAAGACAUAAAUUCAAAUUGAAGUCUUCAUAUUUAAUCUGAAAUAUCUGAAUGCCCGCCCUAAAUUAACAUCUUUGAUUUAGUCGGUGUAUUAUUGUAAAGACUAAUAAAAGUAGUGUAACAGGACGGGAUAGGUGAUUCUUAUCGGAGUUGGCGAAAAUUUAUUUACUCUUUCUAUUUUAUUUUUAUGUGACACUAUUUUUUUUAACUUGUUUUAAAAAAAAAAAAUUUCUUUUGAUGUAUUUUUUUUUAAAAAUUAUAUUACAUUUAAUGACAGAAUUUAUAAUCACAUAAAUAUUAUGAUAUAUUUAGAUAAAAGACAUCAAAUCACCUUUAAAUCGUUAAAUUUAUCUGCAUAACUUACUUUUAUACUUCAAACUUUAUGGAUAAUUCUUUACACCUCCCUCCUAAACUUUUUUCAAUUGAAUCUAAUGCCUCCUUAAAGUUGACAUGUCAAAACAAGUGAUACUACUCAAUUACAAGUACGCUAUGAAUGAAAAAUAUAAAAUAAAUUCAUUUAACUAUACACGUAUCACCUUUUAAUUGAAGGUUAUUAAUUAAUUACUAAUUCUUAGUGGUCUUUCUCUUUUCAGUUUUUUUCUAAUUCUCUUUCUUUUUUUUUUCUUUUGGUUAAAAGGAAAGGGGGGGGAUUGCAUUAAACAAUAAAGGUCCCCGAAGGGAGUACAAAACACAAAGUUAAUCCGAAUUCAUUACAAAAGAUUUAGAGGCAUUCCCCUCAGUAAAGUUUGAAGAUUGUUUGAUCCUUCUAACAAAUGAGUUCUAGUCAUGUCUGCCCAUAGCGAAGGGUCGGCACACAUUGGUGGAACUUCAAAAUUUUUUACUUCGAGUUCCACUUCUGAGACAACUGCCUUCUUAGCCAAGACAUCGGCUACUCUAUUUUGUUCUCUAAAGCAAUGGACCACCGAUGGGUUUCCUAUUCUUCCGAGUCUUAACCUGCAAUCAUCAAUAAUUGAAUUGUAGAGUAAGUUGUAAGAGUACAACAUAGAAAUAACCUCAGUAGAGUCAAUGUUAAUCACAACUGGUAACAAGUUUCAUUCCUCCACUAGUUGGAGUCCUUCCUUGAGGGCUAACAACUCUAUUUGGUUAUUUGUGGCCCAUUGAAAGCUUUUAGUAAAACCCAUAACCCAACACCAUAUAGCAUUGCAAAUUAGACCACCAAUUUCCUCUUUUCCAGGAUUCCCAAAGAAAGAACCAUCAGUGUUCAGUGUAUAAUGAUACUCGAGAGGGGGGAGGGGGAAUUUUAUAGAAAUGUCAUAAAGGAGGCCGAAGGGUUGGGGGUUUUAAUAAGUAAGGUGCACUCAAUGGCUUCAGCAUGUGUCAAGGUGAAAGAAGGCUUAUCCUUUUUUUUAUCAAAGGAGUUAUGGUUCCUAUUUUUCCAUAUUUCCCAAAGAGCAAAGGAGAGCAUAUUGUGCCACUCUAACAAGGUAUCAAAUUUUUUUCUGCCCAUCCUAGACCAAGUUGUGGUCCAACUUUCUAGGAAAAAAUCUUUGAUGGAGAUUUUUAAACCCCCAUAGUUAGUAUUGAGAAGACUAUGCCAGAAAUCUAUGAUAAUGGGACACUCAUGUAAAAUGUGAGUGAUGUUUUCCUUAGGAUGGUUGCAAAUGUCACAGUUGGGGGUGAUGGGAAUUCCCAUUUUAUGUAGCUUUGUUUUAGUAGGCAGCCUGUUGUGUUGGGCCAGCCAAAGGAAGGAUCUAAUUUUUUGAGGGCAAGGAGUCUUCCAAAUCUACCCAAAAGAGUUGGGAAUUAAAGAUUCGGGCUGUUUAUGAAUACCAAAGAUGCUGUGAUAAACAUUUCUGCUAGAGAAAAGGCUAUUGCUAUUAGAGCUCUAUAUCAUUUUAUGGAGAUUAGGAUUACAGUGGAAGGAGUUCUAGUUUUCAUUGGUAAUGGUGGGGGAAAGUUGAACGGAGAGGUUGGAGAAGUCCCAAAGUCCCUCUUUCCACACCUAAGACACCCUCCUCCUAUCUUGGUCCAAGCUUAAGGGGCCAACAAUCAGAUUUCUGAGAGGACCUGAGUUAGGGAUCCAACUGUCAUACCAAAAACUAAUGAUAUCCCCAUUUUGGAUGAGCUAGUGAGCACCCUAAAGACAAUAUCUCUAUCCCUUGGUGAUAUUCUUCCAGGUUCUAGAGGCUGAAGGCUUGCAUAGAGGUUGAAGGUUGCUAUAUUUAACCCUGAGGAUUCUAUUCCAGAGACAAUCGUUACUAUGGAAAAACCUCCAAGCCAGAGCAAUAAGCAUGGUGUGAUUUUUAUAGUUAUCCUUUUAGAGGCCCAACCCCCCAUCCCUCUUAAGGUUAGUUAAGGUGUCUCAACUAACCAUGUGCAUUUUCCUCUUCUCCAUAGUUGUACCCCAAAUGAAGUUUCUUUGAACCUUAUCAAUUAAGGAUAAAAUUCUACUGGGAUAGAGAUGUACUGCAUGACAUAAGUGGGUAUACUACUUAGGGAAGAUUUACCCAAGGUAGUUCUGGCAGUGAGGUUCAAGAAUUUGGUUUUCCAACCAGCCAUCUUAUUACUCAUAUUAGUAAUAAGGAAGUGGAAAUCACUAUUGCAAGGAGUGGUAUGUAAAAUAGGGAAUCCAAGAUACUUCCCAAAGGUAUUCUUGCCUUGUAUAGAAAGAAUGAAGGUCAUUUGAUUCCUGGCCUGAGUAGUAUAAUUACUAGAAAAAAUCACUUUGGACUUUGCAUGGUUGAUCUUUUGUCCAGAGUGAUUUUUGAAAGCAUUGAGUACCCUAGAAAUAGUGUUAGCAUUACCAGUAUUGGUCUCAGAAAGAGGGUUAAGUCAUCAGCAAAGAAGAUGUGAGAAGUUUGGGGGGGGGGGGGAGGCGUUGCUUAUAGAGAUAGGGAGCCAAUUAAGGGUAUAAACUUCAUAUCAAUUCUCCUAGAAAGAAGCUCCAUGCACAUUAUGAAAAUGUAGGGGGAGAUGGGGCCCCCCUGCCUUAUGCUCCUGGUGGGAAAGAAGAAGUCAAAAUUUUCUCCAUUGACGAAGAUGUAUAUUGAAGAAGAGGAGAUACAAAACAUGAUUAGGGAAGAAAACUUUGGGGGAAUUUUGAAGAAGUGGAGGGCUUGUCUAAUGAAAGACCACUCAAGUCCAUCAAAGGCCUUUUCAAGGUCAAUCUUUAAGACCAUAUUACACUUCUUCCCUUUUUUUAAAAAAAUUAGUGAUAACCUCUUUGACAAUAAUAGCAUUAUCAGAGAUUCUCCUUUGAGGGAGGAAGAUAAUUUGGUUAUUGCUAAUGAUGUUGGCUAGGAAGGUCCUUAAUCUUCUGGCAAUAAUCUUAGUGAUGACCUUGUAUUGGGUAUUGCAUAACCCAAUAGGUCUGAAGUUCUUAAGAUUGCUGGCAUAAUUGCAUUUAGGGAUGAGGCAAAGGUAGGUCAAAUUAACCUUGGGGUCCAUGAUGCCAGAAGUGAAGGUAUUGAUACAAAACUGGGUAAUAGCAGGGCCUAGGGUAUCCCAGUAUCUUUGAUUAAAGAAAAGAUGGAGGCCAUCAGGACUAAGGGCUUUAUAGGGAUUGAAGGAAUGGAUAGUAUUUCUUAUCUCUUAGGGGGAUGGAAUACUCUCAAAAAGAUCAUGGUCAUCUCUAUGUAUAGAUCCCCAAGAGGAGGGGUUGGUUUGGGUAGCCAAAUGGGAAAGAGAGUGGUUAGUGCUAAAAAGGUUUUUAUAGAAAGUGAGGAUGUGAUCCUUGAUCUCCUUGGGGGAGUAGAUCCAAUUACCACAGUCCCCUUGGAUAGCAUUUAUCUUCUAAUUCUCUUUCUUUCCUUCCCACAAAGUCGCAAACUGUACAUCUGCAUCAAAUUCUCACAAUGAAAAAAAGAUGGACAUUUUCUUCGGUGAACCCCUCAAAGUUUUUUACUCCUAUUUCUUAUUUAUUUUUAUUCAUAUAUAUAUAUAUAUAUAUAUAUAUAUUAGUUACGAGUAGCCCGUGUAAUGCACGGACCUAAUAUUUAUAUUAAAUUAAUAUUAUAAGAAUAAUUAAAUUAUAAUAUUUAUUUAUUUAUUCAUUUCAAAAAAUAUUUAUUUAUUUAUUUUUAAGAAAAUAAUUAUUCAUAUCUCAAUUUAAGUGACACAAUGCUUAAAUGGUCAUAAUAAUUAAUUAUGAGUGACAUAGUAAAAUCUCAAUUGAAACAACAAGGCAUAUAUAUCUUAAAUGACUUAUAAUAACUAAUUAGAAGUGAUAAGAUUUAUUUAUUUAUUCAUUUCAAAAAGAUUUUUUUUCUUUUUAAAUAAAACAACUACUCAAGUCUCGAUUUAAGUGACAAAAUGGUUAAAUGGUCAUAAUAAUUAAUUAGGAGUGACAUAAUAAAAUUACGAUUAAAACAGCGAAGCAGACAUGUCUUAAAUGACUUAUAAUAACUAAUUAGAAGUGAUACAACAAAAUUAUUAUACAAAAAUAUUUGUGAAAAAAAAAUUAAAUGAGCCCCAUAUAAAACGUCAAGUAAAUUUAAUAUUUAAAUUAAAUAUUUUUUUUUACUAUUUAGAUGACUUUAUAAUAAUUAUUUAAUAUUAUUUUUUAACUAUUUAGAUGACUUAUGAUAAUUAACUAUGGGUUAUAUAGUCAAAUUAUAGGUGAAACAACUGAAGCAGACAUGUCAUAACUAUCUAUUUUUUUAAUUAAAUAUUAUUAAUUUUUUAAUACAUAAAUAACUUAUAAUAAUUAAUUAGAGAAGAUAUAAUAAAAUUACCGAGGAAGCAACUUAUGAAGCAGACAGAAUCACCAAGGGUUUUUAAAAAACAACCUUUCUAGCUCUCGAGAUAGUGGUAAGAUUUGCGUAUAUUUUAUCCUCUGCAAAUCUUACGUAUGAGAUUUUACAAUAUUUAUGAAGAUUGGAACAACUUAAAAUUAAUGCUUGGUAAUGCAAUUACUCAUAAAUUAUCUUAGAAUCUGUAAUUUUCAUUAAUUGACAUAGGAAUGUAGACAAAAUCAUGUAGUUCAACUUUUAAUCCAUGGGUAAAUCUUAAAAUCUUGCAAACAUUGAAAAUGGGUAUAAACCCUAACUCAAUUUCAUGGAAAAUCUCAUAAAUUGCAGAAAAUUUGUAUUUAAAAUAAAAUUUUGGGCACAAGGAUGAAAGGAUUGUUGUUCAAACCCCACAUAUCUUAUUUGGCUUGAAUUCGACGGAACAAGUUGACCUUUGAAGCCCUUAGAAUGAUCUUGGAGACUUUUCUUGAAGGUUCUUGAACGGUGAUAUUUUGAUUCUUGAGUUUUCUUGAAGAAGGGUUUGAAUCUUGUUCUUGGAGAUUGAUCUUUAAAGAAACCUUAAUUUUGAUGUUAUGGAUGAAAGAGGAGUUAUGUUCUUUGGUUUGAUGUAAUUAGGUGUUAAAAAAAUUGUGGAAAAAGAUCCAAAAAUCUCAUUAAAAUGCCGUUUCAGCGCUGUUUCGAGCAAAAUUGACGGUCUGGGUGACAGACCGUCACUAUGGUGACUGACCGUUACUCAAACCGCCAUUUUGGGCCAGAAAAUGGGCUCAAUGCCUCAAUUGUGAUGGCCAAAGCGACGGUCCGUUGCUGGGUUGAUGGUCCGUCAGCUUUCCCGUUGCACUUUGGCAGUCGGAUAGCUUUUUGGUAAAAUGGCCAUACCUUUUACUCCGGUAUCGAAUUUUGGAAAAAUUAGUAUCGUUGGAAAGAUAAUUCAAUUAUCUAUCUUUUGGUGGGUCAUGACCUAAAAAAUUUGUAGUAUAACGAGAGAUAUACUCGUUUGAAGUUGACUAUACCAAUAUCCUUCUCAAGAAUUCAAUCGGUAAGGGAUGUUUUGAUUCGCCUAGUAGCUAGGACAUAUUUGAGGUCUUAAUACACAUCAACCUUGGUCAUAAGACUACCAAACCUUUAUAAUUUAUUUAUCAUGAGCUUGAAUCAUUGUUCUACAAUUGGUUAGGAUUCUCGGGGUAUUAUACUAAAGGAAACACUAAGAAUCUCAACACUUAGUCAAAUUUUCUAAGUGAGAAAUUCUUCUUGACAUGCUUUGAGGGCUUUAACGACUAGGAAAACUUACGGGGGUCUUAUAGUAUCUCCCCCUUGGAAACAUUUGUCCUCGAAUGUUGCUAAUUAGGCUACGAACACCGAGAAAACUGAGGAUGCACAGCUGAAACAACUUGUUAAACUGAAUCUAUAUCUUUCUAAACUUUGGAGUACUUCGUUGAAUGCAUAUACUCAUGAUAAUAAUAGCUAUAUAGCUGAAUCUGAGACUGGAAAAGAGUUGAAUAAAGGACAACUGUUAUCCUCUAUUGAGUCUAAGCUGACUUGCCUUUUUCUUAUUAUAAAGAGCUGACUCAUGCUGAGAUUUUAAACUUUGCUUGAUGCGCUCAGGGUGUGAUCGUACUAUUACACUGCGGAGUGACAACUUAUGCAAGCAUAAUUCAUGAGAAAACGAGGCUAAUAUUAUAUAACGGUAUUACAUUGUCUGAGCUAGAACACUUGGGAAAAAGCAAAGAUCGUUCAAUGAAUGCUUAUGAACUGAAUUAUAACCGGAUAUCCGAAUUAUGAAACUGAUCCUGAUACAUAUACUGAGCUGAAUUCGCAAUUUUCAUGGGUGCGAAAAACUAUUUCUUGGAAUGACCAUAUUUAUGAAACUUCAGGUAGUAAAACCAGACUAGCUCGGGAAAUGGAAACUAUAGAAAUCUAUCCGUCUGAUGGUUAAACUGGAUUGCUGGCUAGUCAAACUGAAUCAUACUAAAUACUCAUACCCAAUUGGAGGAUUCCUUCAACACUCUUCUAGGGAGUUCUAACGAUAUGAGGGAGCAAAGAACUUUGAGCAUGAUCUGAGUAAGGCAUUUGAAAAAGAGAUUACAAUAUUGCUACAACUCUAUAGGUUGGAACAUCGACCUAUGAAUCAUAAGUCGGAAUAGAAGUACUAGGCCUCAAGCAGUGCAAUUUUUUCUCUCAACUAUACUAUUCCCCUCAAUUAUUAUACUCACUCGAUUCAACUUAUAUUUCUCACAUGGCACUGACAAAUUCGUCAACUCAAAUCUAACUGAACCAAACUCACUCAUCAUCAUCAAGCCUAACUCAAAGUCAUAAGAUACACUACUCUGAAUCAUGAAUUCAACACACCUUGCACAUUAACAACUUUUCAUCUCAUGCAUAAUUCUCAUUACCACUGCAACAACCACAUUCAACCUUGUACUAGACAUUUACUAACGCGCAAUGCAUUCAUCCAGGUAUACAAACAUAAUGUUCAAGCCUAUAUUUAUAACCACAUAUACACUUCUAACAAACACUCAUACAGUAUCCUCCUCACAUUCUCUAAUAACCCCAUCAAUAACAUUAUCCACGCACUGUUCAGUUCUUAGGAAAACACACAUAAGAUCAUGGUCAUCUCUAUGUAUAGAUCCCCAAGAGGAGGGGUUGGUUUGGGUAGCCAAAUGGGAAAGAGAGUGGUCAGUGCUAAAGAGGUUUUUAUAGAAAGUGAGGAUGUGGUUCUUGAUCUCCCUGGGGGAGUACAUCCAAUUACCACAGUCCCCCUGGAUAGCAUUUAUCUUCUAAUUCUCUUUCUUUCCUUCCCACAAAGUCGCAAACUGUACAUCUGCAUCAAAUUCUCACAAUGAAAAAAAGAUGGACAUUUUCUUUGGUGAACCCCUCAAAGUUUUUUACUCCUAUUUCUUAUUUAUUUUUAUUCAUAUAUAUAUAUAUAUAUAUAUAUAUAUUAGUUACGAGUAGCCCGUGUAAUGCACGGACCUAAUAUUUAUAUUAAAUUAAUAUUAUAAGAAUAAUUAAAUUAUAAUAUUUAUUUAUUUAUUCAUUUCAAAAAAUAUUUAUUUAUUUAUUUUUAAGAAAAUAAUUAUUCAUAUCUCAAUUUAAGUGACACAAUGCUUAAAUGGUCAUAAUAAUUAAUUAUGAGUGACAUAGUAAAAUCUCAAUUGAAACAACAAGGCAUAUAUAUCUUAAAUGACUUAUAAUAACUAAUUAGAAGUGAUAAGAUUUAUUUAUUUAUUCAUUUCAAAAAGAUUUUUUUUCUUUUUAAAUAAAACAACUACUCAAGUCUCGAUUUAAGUGACAAAAUGGUUAAAUGGUCAUAAUAAUUAAUUAGGAGUGACAUAAUAAAAUUACGAUUAAAACAGCGAAGCAGACAUAUCUUAAAUGACUUAUAAUAACUAAUUAGAAGUGAUACAAUAAAAUUGUUAUACAAAAAUACUUGUGGAAAAAAAAUUAAAUGAGCCCCAUAUAAAACGUUAAGUAAAUUUAAUAUUUAAAUUAAAUAUUAUUAAUUUUUUAAUAAUUAGAUGACUUUAUAAUAAUUAUUUAAUAUUAUUUUUUAACUAUUUAGAUGACUUAUAAUAAUUAACUAUGAGUUAUAUAGUCAAAUUAUAGGUGAAACAACUGAAGCAGACAUGUCAUAACUAUCUAUUUUUUUUAUUAAAUAUUAUUAAUUUUUUAAUACAUAAAUAACUUAUAAUAAUUAAUUAGAGAGGAUAUAAUAAAAUUACCGAGGAAGAAACUUAUGCAGACAGAAUCACCAAGGGUUUUUAAAAAACAACCUUUCUAGCUCUCGAGAUAGUGGUAAGAUUUGCGUAUAUUUUAUCCUCUCCAAAUCUUACGUUUGAGAUUUUACAAUAUUUAUGAAGAUUGGAACAAAGCAAUUUCCAGGUUAAGCCAACUUUUCAAUACGGCGUUGAUAUUCAUAUUAAGAAAAAGAGACGCGAUGACACAUAUAGCUGUUCAAUACUUUCUAUGUGACUAGAGGAGCACGAUCUGUGCCACCAUGAGCCCAACAUUAAGAUUUGAUUAUGUCUAAUAAACUAGAUUGAUGUCAAUUCAAAUUAUAAGUUGUAAAACAUAAAUAUAUAAAACGUAUUAACUACUUGAUAGCAUUUUCCUAAUAAAAAAGGUUGUGCAAGUUCUAAACCUUGCAAAUUAGACCCACACAUCUAACAUUCCAAGUUGAUUCCACACAGAGGCGGAGCCAGCCUUCUUUAAGGAGUUUUGACGAACCCCCUUCGACGGAAAAAUAUACUAUUUAUACAUGAUUAAAUUUAUUUUUUAUGUGGUUAUAGUAGGUGUUGAAUCCCCUUCAACUAAGUUUUCUUUGAAUAUUGAACCCCAUUACUUAAAAUCCUGGCUCCGCCUCUGAAUUUCCACAUGUAAUAUUCCGCAAUUUCCAUACAUACUAUUUAUCAUAAUUCUAAUAAAAUUGCAAGUUGAUUCUACAUGAGUUGUUUAACAAAAGAUUAACAUAUCAAAUUAGCAUAUUUGGAGAAGUGGAUUAUACGAACAUCCUCUAAGCUUUGUAAGAUAGUCCUUAAUACUUUUUGGGAAUCACAAUGGAGAAACCUUUUCAACUAAUAUAAUGGGACAAAACAUUGGCAGAGAAUUAAUUCUCAAACAAAAAGGUGUAGAUAUGUCUAUCAAAUAAGAUUCAAUCUCAAACAAAAAUAAUGUGUAAUAGGUUAAGUUCGUCAGUUUCGCACACAAGUCAUCUAUGGUUGUUGCCCUAGCAUAGGUCCUCCGGUUAUUCGAGUUUUUCUCUCAAACAUAGAUAAGAGUCGAGGAACCGUCAAUAACGCUAUAACCGCCUCAUGCCACUUGUUCUUUACUUGCACAUUAUUAAUCAUACAUACUUAGAGGACACCCCAAGAACUACAGGAGGUAAUGGAGCAAGCAAAUGAACUCAAUUUUUUGCCUAAAUCCAUAGAAUGAUGUACCUCCGAUAAAGAAAUUUCAAAAUGACUCUUUCUACAAAAACUUCUCCACUGGUUAUAUCUCAUGCCUUUGCUCACGGUCAUACCUCUCUUCUUCACGUUGGUUUUCGCAGAGCAGUUUUUCUUUCUCUUUCUGCCACUCCUGUCCUGUUUCUCCAUCUUUUUCUCAUCUGCUCCUCUCUGCAGAUAAGCAAUAAAUAGGAUUUUGGUGAGUUGGACGUUGGAUCACCUUCUCAUACAUUAUGAUUUUGUCACAGUAGUGUAGGUCUCAGAUUUCAAAUUUUGACACAACGUAUGUUGCCUAGAACAGUGGCAGACUCAAAUAGCUAGCAGAUUGGAGGUUAAGUAAUCUGGGAGGUAAAAAAAAAGUAACUAUGCAUAUAAUUUUUCUUUUGGUCAGGAAUCAAGGUCAUUAAUCCUCUUAUGUUCUGCCAACGUAUUACUUGUUAGUUUAGUAAGCAGAGAAGUUGAAUUUUUUGGUAAACACCAUAUAUGUUGUUUGUUCAGAACAACCUCUCCACAUCAUUUGAGGUAGUGGUUGCAUACACUUUACCCUUACCAAUUCCACUUUGUGGGAAUACAAUCAAGAUGCAGAGCAUUUCUGCAAUAGAAAACGUAAUCAAUCAUUUUGGGAGAUUCCUGAGUAUUGUAUUGUAUUGUAUUGUAUUAUCAUCAAAUAGUGGGGGAAGAUUUGUUUUAAUUGUCCCUGAACCAGCAUUAAAUGCAGGGUGGAAGGAAGCCACCCCCAGAUUAAUGGAAAUCAACGACCCCUAUUCUAAGGCUAUCCAAAAUAGCAAUGGCAGACAAAGAAACUAGGGAAAAAUUGGGCAAAACUACCUUUCUUAAAACUAUUUUACCAAAGGGACACUAAAUUUCUUUUUGAAUUAUUUUUUAAGGUUAGGGUAUAAAAAGUGUGAUAAAGUUGAAAACAGUAGGCCCACAUGUGAGCCAAGGGACCAGUGUAUCAUUUUCUUAACUUUACAAAUUUAACAUAAUACACUAACACCCAUCAACUUAAACCCUUCUCUCUCCUCUUAAAUUGUCUCCCAACUCCCGCUUUCAAGAACUUUUCUUCCCAAAUGUCAUUUUCGUUUUUCCUUCUUCUGCAGCUGUUAAGAGCUCGUUGUUGCUUCAUAAGGUUAGUUAAAAUUAUGUUCCGAUCAUUUGUAGAUCCAUUUAUACAGGUUUCUUUGCAAAUCGAUUCGUAGUGAUGUAGGAAUUUUUUUUUUUCGAAUUUGGUUGAUUAAGGAAUUUUGGUUUAGUUCCAUUUUUUUUUAGCAAAAAAGUGUUGAAUGGUGGGAUAAUAGUUAUUUGAAGAGUUAUUUUGACAGUUUGAUUCGAACAGUCACCUGUUUCUAUCCGUAGACCCGUGGUCUAUGAAAUCGACCCGUGGUCUAUGAAAUCAGAAUGCCCAGAUGGAAAUCAAUUUUUAGACGUAUGAAGUUCUUUUAAAAUAUGGUUGCUUAAAUAGUGAAAAUUGAAAGAUUAAUAGCUAAUUAGUUCAAUUAGGUGCACUAGUUUGAUUUUUAGCAAUUGUUGUAUUUUGAUACUGCAUGUUGGAUUUUGGUUCAGUUAUUGAUGUGUGCAGUGAGCUGUUUGAUGUGGAAGAGUUAUUUCGGCAUUUUGAUUCGAACAGUGACCUGUUUCUGUCCGUAGAACCGUGUUCUAUAAAAUGAGAAUUCCCUAGAUUGAAAUCAAUUUUUAGACGUAUGAAAUUCUUUUAAAAUAUGAUGGCUGAAAUAGUGAAAAUUGAAAGAUUAAUAGCUAAUUAGUUUGAUUUUGAUACUGCAUGUUAGAUUUUGGUGGGGUAUUUCUUUGUCUUUUUGGGGGUUUCAUUUGAGCAUUGAAUUAUUUCUAUUGAUAAACUUGUGGUCUCUAAACUGAAACUGAGAGAUUUAUUCUGUAGGUGUAGAUUGUGUUGAAAAUGGGUAAAAAAACCAUCCAUCCAUCUUAAAAACAAAGACGCUACCGGUUCUUAUUCUGCUGGUAGCAGUAGAAAAAGAAAAGCCGAGACAGUUGAAAAUGUCUCAAACAGAAAUAAAAUUGACGAGGAAGUGUUCGAAUCAAAUCCGGAGUUAAAGGAGAUAAGUGACUAUGCUGAGUCUAGUGAAGAUGUCCUUCCCAAGCACAGUGUUAGUGGUGACAGUAAAGAGAGUUAGGGAAGUGGGAGAAACAGUGAUGAUGGGGAUAAUAAUCCCUUGUCCAUUCCAUGUUUGUCAAGGUUCAUUUUCGUGGAGCGGUAUGACCUUUGAACGAUAAUGGACGAGGUCGGAUCUUUCCUGGUGAAGAUAUCGAUCAGAUCAAUAACGGAUGCUUAUCGAGAAUUUAAGAAAGUUAUCGUCGACCAGGAGUUGAAGAAAAGAUUCAAGCAAUCCUGUUUCGGAUACCUGAGAAACUUACCGAAACAUCUCAAGUUCAAUGGGCAGUUGGUCCAUUAUUUGCUAUUGCGACGCGUCAAGAGCAAUAAGAUGCGUCUGAGAUGUGAUUCUGCAUUAACAACAAGCCUGUCUAUUUUGGCUUGAAAGAGUUUUGUUUGAUCAUGGGGUUGAACUGCUCAUCAUACCUCAGUGAAUAAAAAAUAAAAAAGGUGUUAAACAAGGGGGAUCAUUUUUGCUUUAAGGUGAAGAAAAAUAAAAACAUUACGAUGGCCAACUUAUUACAAUUGAUCAGAGGGAAUAAGAUGAAAGAGGACCAAAAGUUUAAGUGUUGUUUACUGUGGUCCUUGCACACCAUGUUCCUUGCAAAAGAUUCGACGCAGGUUGUCGACACUAAACCGAUUCGAAUGGUCGAUUCUUCGAGUUUCUUCGAGAAUUAUCCAUGGGGGAAAGAAACAUUUAAACUGACCCUAGACUAUCUGAAGAAAAAAUUAACCUGAAGAAGUAGAGGGAAGUAUUUGAUGAGAAGUAGAAAGCAUCCUAUGCUUUAUUCGAUUUCCCUGGGCAUUCAUGGUAUCUACCAUAAAUCCUUUAGUGAGUUUAUCAUAGAUUCUUGUUUUAUUUAUACCCUGUCAUAGACUCUGAGUUCUUUUUUUACUGUUGUACUUCUUAUAGGUUUGGAUCUAUGACGCCUUUCCUUAUCUUAAAAAAUUUGCUUGAAAAUUAAUGGAUGAGCCCUUUCCCAUUCCCCGCAUCCUCAGAUGGAACUCUAUAAAAAGUGACCAGAUAAUCGAAGGCGACUACAAAGGAAAAUUUACCGAGGUAUGAACUUAUUUUUUAUUAUGCAAUAAUACUACUGUUGUAUCGAAUGUUAUGUAAUUGUUAAUUGAUAUUUUGUAGAACGUGCACCCGUACAUCAUCCCUACUGUUCGUGAGACGAAGAUGGAUUGCAUGAUUACGUUUAAGCCAUAUACGGACGAGGUGAAGAAUAACGUCCUCGAUCGUUUAAAGAAAGAGUUAGAAAGGGCGACUGUCCUUAUUUCAAAUAAGGACAGUAAUGAUGAUGGGGAUUUGGGUGGUAACCUCGUUGAAAUACGCGUUGGUGAUGAUAAUUCACCGAGCACGUCGAAAGAUGCAGUGGGAACCUCAUCCCCUAGGAAUCUUCAUAAGCGUGUUGCUGUUCUUGAGGAAGCGUUGUUGGAUAUUAUUGCCUAUAUCAGAGAGAAAAGACUGAAGAAAAAGGAAAAGGAUGAGCGACAACAUGAGCAAGGUAACUUCAUUCAAUAAUUGAUAUUGUUAAUGAAUUUUCAGCUUUAAAUAUUAGUAACACAUUGUAAUAUGAUGGUACAGUGCAUAUGAACCUUCAUGAAUUAGAGAGGAAUGAAAAAGUAGAAAAAAGAAGCAAAAUGGAUGAGUUGGCCACUGUUGUGACGGAAGAGGAACAAGAAGAAGAAAAGAAGGUUGAAGAAGAAGAAAUGGAAGAAGAUAAAAGCCAAGAAGAAAGUGUAAAAGAAGCAGCUAUAGUGAAAGAAGAAAAAGUUGAAAAAGAAGCAGUGUAAGUUGAAGAUAAAGUCAAGGAAAAAGAAGGAGCUGUAGUUGAAUAACGCAAGAAAAAAGAAGAAGCUGAAAAAAUAGGAGCAACAGCUGAUGAAGAAAAAAAAGAAGAAGCUGAUAAAGUUGUAGAGGGUGAAGAAAAAGAAAAAGAAAAAGCUGAGGAAGAAAAGGAAGGUGAGAAAGAAGUAGCUAUUGAAAGUGAAGAAAAAAAAGAAGAUGAGGAAGAAAAGAAAGGUGAGAAAGAAGCAGUUGUUGAAGGUGAAGGAAAAAAAGAAGCCGAGGAAGAAAAAAAAGAUGGGUUCAUGGAUAUCGUUGAUGAAAUCAACAACACCUAUGCUGAUGAGGAGGAAAAUAGUGAAAAAACAUUUGAUUGCUAAUAUUGUUAAUGUGUUGAAUGAUCUGUGGUAGGAUAUUUGAAACAUUCUUUUAUUUCAUAGAAUAUUUAUUUAAUCUUUCAUAUACUUCUUUCAUAGUCUAUCAUUACCAUGCUGCUCCAUUUUAAGUUGAUAUGUUGAUUGAUUGACUAUGAUUCUAUAAAAAACAGUGUUAACAUUGUAGAAAAAUAGAAGUAUUAUUAUUUAUUCAAUAUCACUACAUCCAUGUUACACUUUUUCAAAGAACGAAUACUAGCAUUAUAACACAUAACAUCAUUUUUAAAAAUCAAUUUUUGUUUUAGUUGAUCCCUCUCUAUUUGGGUUUCAUGUAGCAAUACUUUAAGGUGAUCCCUUUGUUCUUCGGCUUCUUUGAAUAAAUUCAUAAGAAAAUCUCUAUUUUCUUCGCAUUUUUGGAACCUUUGUAUUAGAUUAAAUUUUGCCAAGCCACAAAAAUUUGAUGUCUCGGGUCCCGGACUCAACGUUGAUGGACUUCUUGGAGGUGAUAGCUCAUUGAGCCAUUUAAAAAACGAGCAUGUGCCAUUAUCCUAGAAAAUAAAUUAUAAUUACAUAACGAUUAACUUAACUUAUAAAAAAGACAUACACGACUCACCUUCGCAAUUGCACAGUUAUAAAAUUUACGACCUGGAUUUGAGUCCGUGCGGGACGUCCUCAAGACAGCCGCAUUCCCAUAAUGACAAAUUAGAGUCUUCUUAGAAUUGGAUGUUUGAGAUGCUUGAGACAUUAUAGAAGCUUUAAAAAAAAUAAAGUUGAUGAAAUAAAAUAAUGAGGGAGUGACGACUUUAUAUAUGAAGUAAAAAAGAUGUGUUAAGUGCAAAAUUAUCCGUUUGUUACCGUUGGAACAAUAAUUUUGUUUUUUGAAACUGGUGGUGACACUUAAUAGACUCUCAUAGAUCAUGACCAAUGUCAUCCAUCAAUGAGAUACUAAAGUGUACUGUAGACUCUUCCAAAAAAUAGACCUACACCCGUAGGAGUGCAUCGAUGGAUCUCUUGAUUAUGCGUAGACCACUGUGAUCUAUGUACACUGCUAUAGAGCAACACUUGGAUGUUGUUUAAAAGAGAAUAAAUAAAUAAAUUAAAAAUAAAUGUAGGGUGAGUUUCUACAUAUGUGAGGGAGUGUAAACAAGUCAUACAAUCAUAUUACAGCUUAUUCAAAUUAGGGGUGGUGUAUUAAGGAGUGUGUGGAGGGGUAGUGGUUGAAUGUUCAAUCUCCUAAGAGUAAUGUUUCUCAAAUCUUAAGUAUGUAUUGAGGAUGAUGAUUGUUCAACCACUAUCCAUUCCACACACUUUUGAUUUGGGGGUGGUGAUUAAAAGAGUAUGCGGAAUGUGUAGUCAUCAAAUACAAAAUAUAUCCUCAAAACAUACAUGUGUUUUGACAAACAUUACCCUUAGGAUAUUGAUCAUUUAACCACUACCCAUAUACACACUCCUUAAUACACCACCCCUAAUUUGUAUAAGCUGUAAUAUGAUUGUGUGACUUGUUUACACUCCUCCACAUGUGUAGAAACCCACCCUACAUUUAUUUUUAAUUUAUUUAUUCUCUUUUAAACAACAUCCAAGCAUUGGUCUAUAACAGUGUAUAUAGAUCACUGUGGUCUAUGCAUAAUUAAGAGAUCCAUCGAUGCACUCCUAAAGGUGUAGAUCUACGAUAGACCGGACGAGUCGAUGGACCCUCAAAGCACAAGUAUAUCUUUUACUGAUAUUUGACAUAGGCCAACAUCGAUGACAGUCUAUUAAGUGUUACCAACAGUUCAAGAUUAUCUAUUUAAAUUAUUUUUGAUUUAAUUAUUUUAUUCCACUAUCCCCAAAACAUGUUAUUAUCAGUUUAAAUCAUUUUUAAUUUAAUUAUUUUAUUCCACCAGCCCCAAAACAUGUUAUUAUCAAUUUAAAUCAUUUUUAAUUUAAUUAUUUUAUUCCACUAGCCCCAAAAUAUGUUAUUAUCUAUUUAUAUCAUUUUUAAUUUAAUUAUUUUAUUCCAUCAGCCCCAAUACAUGUUAUUAUCUGUUUAUAUAAUUUUUAAUUUAAUUAUUUUACUCCACCAGCCCCAAAACAUGGCCCAUCGAUUCACAUGGUCGACGAUCGACUACUAUGUUAGGUCAAAGACUGAUGGAGUAUACGAUCGAUGAUAGACUAUACGAUCUAACAUUGCAUAAAAUUUUGAAACGUUGUCUGCACAGACGAAUAGCCACAAAAAAAUAAUAGUCACAAAAAAGAGGAAAAACAUAAUGUUCAAACUGAAAAUACUUAUAUUGAUUGAACUUGUUCAUUGUAUUACAUGGAUUUUAAGCAAAAAAAGGCAAAAUCAAAGAAGUUUUCUUCUAACAACAUCCUAUUACGAAAGCUUCUUCAGAAAUGAACUAUACAAAAAAAAAACUUAAAAACAUAAAAUAAAAUAAAAACUUAAAAACUAAUUUCAGGGGGAUGCUGGGGGGGGGGGAUGAUGUAGUCAGGCCCUUCCAUUCCAAGUCUUUCAAGAAUUGCCCACAUGAAACGGCAAUUCACCGGAGUUCACGCUCGAGGUAGAUGCGGUCUUGACCUAAGCCAAAGAAAAGGCAAUCGAAAUCAUUUCUAAGCAGGAGGAGAUCGUAAUGUCUUGGGGGAACAAGUCGGAUGGGGCGUAGGGAUAUCCUUCUGGGUGGUAUUAGUUCAGUUUGCUAAGGAAGAAGAAGAGGGUUUCUGGUGUGUUGGGUUUAUGUACAACUAAAGGGUUAGAUAGAAAUAGGCGCUGCAUUUAUAGAUCUAUAGAAUGUGGCCUUUCGAAUGUCCACCCAAUGGUGAGUCGACGUGUGUGGGAAUACCGGUGGUUUUUCUUGAAAAAAAAUGUGUCAGCAACUUUUCAUUAAAUGAGAACAAAUAACAAUGAUUCAAUGCAUCGAAUCUCGGUAGUCUAUCGUAGACAACACUUUAAGUCGAUUACAACUGAACUUUAAAUUUUACAAAAAUAUACUUUUAUCCCCCAAACCAGUAGCUUUACAAUUGAAGCAAAAAAAACCUAUCUAUGAUUUGUUGGCCAUGCUACAUGUGGUUCUUUUGUGUUUGGAUUUCUUGCAUAUUGAACACCUUUUUGGACUUGAAUGUCUCACCGACGCCCUUAACUCAUUUGACUUUCUUCCUUCCGAGUUUGCGAUCAUAGGGGGUAGAGAAAUCUUACUAUAUUUCACUCUCUGUGGCACAGUCCAUUCAGCUUCUGGAGGGACAACGUUAAUAGCUUCCGAGUACACGAGAAGGUAAGUUUCAGCUUUAUAAAUUGGCAAAGAGUACUCGUAGAUGGAGUUAGCAUAACCUACACCAUCGCUGUACUUUGCUCGUAAAGUUGCCAUCGCAUGUUCGCACGAUAUUUUCACCAGGUCAAAUUUUUGACAAAAACAACUCUUCUCCAAGAGAUUGAUCUUGGCAGUAAUGCUGUUGCCGAACACCGUGAAUUAGUCGAGAUCCCCGUUUACAUUAAUCAUAUACAAUGAAUCACCCGCAUUCAUGUUAUCCCUUAGGAUCCUUUCCGCACAAAGCACAAAUUUGUUAUCUUUACUAUCGACAAAGGCAUGCCGCUCCCUAAAAUUUUCACCAAUUUUUCUAGCAAUUAAAUUGAAUAUGUGUGAAACGAGGUACUUCCGUUCAUCUAUCAACAUGACGUUGAGUGACUCGAUGAUGUUUGUGUUCAUCACAUCAUACCUAUUACCCGGGAAGUGUGCUUUACUCCAUUUCUCAAAACUAAGCACAUUUUCAAGGACAUGUCCUGCCUCGUGGAUAUUAUUCUUCAAUUUGGCAAAAUCCGCACUAAACCCAUCAACAGUAUAUGCCUUUGCCGUAGCGUAGAACAGAUAAAGAUGUUCUCUACAGUGUUGAUUUACACGUAAAUUUUCAGCAAGGUGCCUCAUGCAAAGUCCAUGAUAUGCACAACUAUUAACAUGGGAGAAGGCAUUGGCAAUGCUGAUGUGCCUGUCGGAGAUGACACAUAGAUCUGGUUCAUCUUCUAUGAUAGACUUCAACUUCUGAAAGAAGAAAGUCCAAGAAGCAUCGUUCUCUUUAUCGAUAACCCAAAAGGUAAUUGGAAAGAUGUGAUUUUCGGUGUCUUGUGCAACUGCACUCAGCAACACGUCCCCGUACUUUCCAUACAAAUGUGUGCCAUCAAUGGCAAUUACCUUUCUCAUGUGGGCAUGUUCCCGUAUGCAAGCUCCGAAUACUAAGAAGUAGUAAACGAAUGAUCCUUCAAUCUGGUUUAUCAUGAUAGAGUAGGAAGACCCUGCAUUCAACAACUCCACCAUGUGGGAAAAAGCCGUCAAGCAAGCAUAUUGUGCUCCAGUGUCCCGCGAAUGAUGUUCUUCGCAGUUACACUUCCUUUCUAACAUAUCCAAUAGCUUGCAUGGCAAUGCAUUUCCUUAACACAAUCCUUUGAAUUUCUCUUAUGCUUGGACCCUUACCAUCUAGAAAAUGAUUUAUGGAUAGUGAAACAAUUAAUUCAGAGGACAAUCUCUUAUGCCUGCGGGUGGAGUAUUGAACAUCACAUGUCUGCAACCCAACAUAUAUGUAUAUGAGAAAUCUGCACAAGAUUUCAUACUUCAUUGCCCUAAAAAACUAGCCGUAACCACGAGAUAAGCAUUUUGCCUUCAAGAAUUUAGAGCAUUUCUCAUCCAAACAAUAAUCAAAAGACUGUCUCACCACUGCUGCGUCUAGUGACAUUUUGAACUCUUUUUUGUCGGUGAAUGUUUGAUCGAGAUAAAAAUUGGUGCUGUCGGUGAAGGAAUAUCUUGGUUGUGAUCCCGUUCCACAGUCUUCUUCAUUAUCUUGCUAGUCUAAUAAAACGUCUUUCAUAUGCAUAAAAUCAUCUUACGUAUUAAUAGGAUGAUCUCUAUCGUUCUCGUAAUUACUGAAAUCGUCGUUGAAUACCGGGUGCAGAGGUAGGAGUUCUGAUGAAUUUAAUGGUCCUUCGAAGGACCUCUCAACUACAUUUAUCCUUAAAAUAGGCCUAAAUCCAUCUGCAUCGACAUCCAUCAUGUACAUCAGCACACAUACAUCACUAUUUAUGAUCGUACGAUUCACCUUUCCCUCGAAUGCAUUAGAUAACUAAUCACCAGGUCGCCCAAUGCGCAAUCUAGAUCCCCACUCUGCAUUACGCUUGCAACCACUUCGUCAUACGAAUUGUUGCAGCGAACAACAAUGGGGAUUGUCACCUUGGUAAAAGAUCUCCAUUUCCAGCAUUUGGGAGUCUCCACCCAUUCUCCCAUGAAAUUACCAGAAACCAGAACAAAUUCUGCAAUAGACAUCCUGGAAUUAGGCUUUGGUCGAUGGUAGAUUAUGCUUAUGGUCUAGGUCAGGUUAUAUGCACGGUCGAUGAAUGGCGAUCAGUGGUCGAUGAUUUGGCAGCUAUCCCUACAAAAACCUUAAAAUUGCAAAUAUUUUUUCUAAUCAACAAUCGUUGGGUUUAUGGAAUAGAGAAAUGAACUUGGAGUCGCCUGAGCUUCUAUAAUGUACUUUCUGAAGUGGUUUUUAAGUAAUGUGAAUAGUUUCAAGCUUUUUAACAAUGGUGGAAAGUGUGUUUUAGAAGAUACCAAACAAAUGGGGUAACAAUGAAUGAAAUGGACAAGCUUAUGAUGUUUGUGGACUAAUUUAGAGAUGAUCGCCGAAAAAUAAUGCCAAAAAAGUUGUUGAAAUUGAAGCUUUUUGGCGGAAAAAAUAACCACCUUCUAUUUUCAGCUUUUGAAUUUUUUUUUAAUUUAAUAUUUUUGGAAACCUAGAUAUUUUUGUAUAUAUAAUGGUAGAUGAUGGAGUGGGUUGAAGUUUCUUAUUUAAAACUUGUGGAUGAAUUUAUUAAGUUGGAAGUAUUUGGUUAAAGUGAAUUAUUAUAAAAUUUGUGGGUGAACUUGUUAUGUUGAAAAAGUUGAUGAUGAUGUGGAUUUUAGUGUCCUUUUGGCAAAUUUUUCAAGACUUUUGUCUCUUUGGCAAAAUAGUUUUCAAAAGUUUCCUUUUGGCAUAAUAGCCCAAGAAACUAUGUAAAGCAGAAUGUAGACCUGGCAAUGUCAUGUUGAUAGUGAAACAUAAACAUGUGCAUGAUAAAAGAAACAAGAAAAUUAUAUUAAUAAAUCUUACUUGCAAGCCUGUACAUAUUGAUGGUACACGGAGUAGGUCCUUGUCACCUAGCAAGAAGAGUAUAGGAGUUUUGACCUGCAAUAAUAGAUGAAACAGGUGUAGCAAAUGCACUCAACUCAAUAGGGGAUGAUUUACUUCUUGCACAACUAUUACCAAUGAUAGUUGAAAUCCAGAAAAAACUUAAUAUUUCAUCUUUUAUUUAUGAUUUGAUAUACAAUUGCUUAAAAUGGAAAGCUUUUUUGAAAUCCAGACUUUGCUGAUUACACCAAACUUUGGAAGUUUGUGAUAUAGGUGAUUUGUUGUGAAAGAUGGCAAAGUGUUCAAAUGAAGGUGCUUUGGUAAACUGUCAAUCUAUAGUCUUUCAGAUACACAAGCUUGUACACCUUCGCUACAUAAAGCAACAAAUGUGCAUAGAACAAAGCUAGCAAGGACCAGUAGUUUCACAAAUUUAAAUGGAUAAGAACUACAACAGACCUAGCCAAUCAAGUGUGUUGUCAGGAAUCUACCAUGGAAACCACCGAGCACAUUUAUUUUAGAUGGAUCUGCAAGUCCCAUAUCUAUGACAAGAUCUAUAUAUAGCAGCUAGCACUUCAUUAACAUCCUACACAUGAAAGACAUAAGAUAAGUUACAAAUACGUAUGAACAUUUUAGAUUUCAAAUCCUUGAUAAGCAAUACUUUAAGCGAACAAAGGAAAGGACUACGUAGCAGUACCACCUGUGAUCCAAUUUUGCUUGGAAGAAAUUGCAGUACUUCCUCACCAAAACCCAAGGACCCUCGAAGAUAAUAUGAGAAAAAAAAAGAUACUUGAUCAAGUAAUUGCUGCUUGGCCAAAAAAAAAGAAGAUAGCAAAGUAAAUAUUUUGAGAACAGUAAUAAUCCAUAUAUGCAUUUUUCUGGCUUGGAUUCCCAACAUUUCUAGGUAAUAAAAAAUGAGUUUGUGGAUACAAGAAUAAGCUAAAUUUAGUUAAUGAAAGUUAAUUGUUAACUUGCCCAAAAUUGAAACUUAGGAUGGAAUAGUUCCUUGAAAAUGGAUUAAUGCCAAAAUUGAAUGUUAGGAUGGAGUACAAACUUCCUUGAAAGAGAAAGAACAAUGGAGAUUAGGAGUUUAUUGUUAAAGUAUGAGAUUUGGAGGUUUUGGGUGUNNNNNNNNNNNNNNNNNNNNNNNNNNNNNNNNNNNNNNNNNNNNNNNNNNNNNNNNNNNNNNNNNNNNNNNNNNNNNNNNNNNNNNNNNNNNNNNNNNNNNNNNNNNNNNNNNNNNNNNNNNNNNNNNNNNNNNNNNNNNNNNNNNNNNNNNNNNNNNNNNNNNNNNNNNNNNNNNNNNNNNNNNNNNNNNNNNNNNNNNNNNNNNNNNNNNNNNNNNNNNNNNNNNNNNNNNNNNNNNNNNNNNNNNNNNNNNNNNNNNNNNNNNNNNNNNNNNNNNNNNNNNNNNNNNNNNNNNNNNNNNNNNNNNNNNNNNNNNNNNNNNNNNNNNNNNNNNNNNNNNNNNNNNUACAUAUAUAAAUCAGAUAAUAGUUAUUUUAUCAUCACAUUAACACGAGUAGUAUAUUUCCUCAAUCAUAUAAUAAUAUCAAUGAUUUUUGCAAAUUACGAUAAAUUUUUGGUUAAUUAGCUUUUAAAUACGAUAUUAUAUAUAUAUAUAUAUACGUAUGUAUAUAUAUAUACAUCAUAAUACUAGUCUUAAGUUAUUGCAACUUCAACAACAUAUGCGUGUCUACAUUGACCCAUAAUAGUAUGUCUACUUCCUCAAUAGUAUGAUAUAUAUCAACGUAUCAUUCAAACUAUACUGAUAUAUACAUUUAGUUAUCUAGCUUUCGAUUACUACAUACGUCACUACACAAGAUAUACGUUUAUAUACAUAUAUUCAAUUGUCUAUCAGCUUUCACAUACGUACUAAAAACAUCACAUACACGAUUCUGCUACCCCAUAAUAAUAUAUAUAUAUAUACAGCGUAUUUCACAAAUACUAAAAUGAAUUAUAGAUUACAUUAUCUUAUGUAUGUCAUUAGUAUACCUUCACCGUAUAAUAAGUAUAUAUAUAUAUAUACACACACACAAAUACUAUAUAUAUAUAUAUGUCACAUCCUUUUUUAACCAAAAAGAUUCGUUUUAAGGGUCGAAAGGGUUUUUAUUAUUAAAGUGACAAAAUGAAGAUAAUUGUUUCGAAAAAGGAUUAUUUUACAUUCAAAACUUAGAGUCACCACUUGGGAUAAUCUGGUGUGCCAAGUCACCUUUGAAAAAUCCUUUUCAAAAAAAUUUUACUGUUUAAGACUGAUUUGCGAACAGAGAUUUUGGCUAAGGAAUUCUGUUGACCGAGAGAAAGAUGUUAGGCACCCCUCGAUCUCGUGGUUCGACCAUGGUCGCUUGGUGGAGCAUAUCGGCUAAUUUAACACUACGAAUGUGUAAACCACACAGAGCACGCACAACAAUCAAUCAAGUAGACCAAAACAAAACAAUUCAAAAUUUAGUGUUCAGUCCAAGUUAUACAGUCCAAAAAUAGAAAAAUAUGAAAAUAUAAAUCCUAUUCUAAACUAAUCCUAGACUAAGCUCCAAUUCUUUACCCGAUGCAUCGGGCUUUCAUUACGAACGUCUUUCGCCGAUACAAUACAUUGGGGCAUUCCCGGGUGAACAAAUACAAAUGACUUCGGGGCAUUCUCGGCUAAAUGAGUACAUUUUUUAAUGCGAGAAAAGUAGAAAGAAUCAUUCACACCCACACUCAAACAUUAAACAAUCUCAAUUCCUAUGUUUUUCCUACCCCGACUUACCGUUUGCCUACUUGUUUAACGGCUUAACACAUAAUACUAGCGUGUUCAACAAUUAACAAAAAUAAUCAAUAUUCACCAAAUCAAUCUUUCAAUUCCCAACCCAAAUUCUCAAUUGAAGUUGAUGUCAUUCAAUUAUCCAAAUCAAGUGACCAAUCAACCAAUAUCCACCAUCAUUCACGAUUCAGACACAACCAAAUAAGAUAAAGUAAGAUUCCCACAUUAUGAAUUCACUACUCAAAGCAUCAAUAAUUUAAAAAUUAGUAAAAAAUGAGAGGAGAAAUGGAACUUAAUGUUGCUUUCAAUUAAAUUUCUCCUUCCGACUAAAACCACAGUCGGAGUCUCAAAUUAACCUCAACGGACAAAAUCCAACUCGGUAUCUAGAAUGCAAAUUCGACCAGAACGGAACCCACAAACAAAACGUAAUAUACAACCCAAACCUACAAACCCACAAAGAAACAAGUGACCAGAAAUAGCGAUAUGCAAAUUCACAUGGAAUAUGAACAACAACACAAUUCCGGGUUUGAUUUGGGGAUGAGUGGAGCUAGUGACAUCAUUUCCCGGAGGUUUUGUUGGAACAUCAGCAAAAUAGAAACUAGAGUAUUUUCCGACAGCUAAUACGACGGGUUUUCGGUGAGUUUCUCACCGAAAAUAGUCAAUAAGCACCGAUCUUACUUCCUCUCUCUCGAUUCUCACUCUCUCUAUGAUUUCUCUUACCCGUUCACUUUUUGAUCCAUUCCCUCCUUUAUUUAUUCUAUUUUUGCUCUUUCUCUCAACUACCUGAUUUUGUUUUUUGAUCGUGUGUUCUGUCUGUGUGAGUGAGUCUGAAUCAGUAAGGUGUAGUAUAUGAGAGUGUGUGUGUCGUAGGUAUUUUUGAGUAUAUGGAGAUGAGUGUGGAUGUGGAGAUGAAGCUAAAAAAGAUGGGAUCUGUGUCCCUUUUUCUCUAUAUUCUAUAUGUUGGGAAUAAUCCCCUUCCUUUUUUUUGGUUAAUGUGUUAGUUAAAAGGAAUUAAAAAAAAAGUGAGGGGUUGGUGACGUGAGUGGGGUAGGUUUAGGUGAAGGUAAGGGUAUUGGUGGGGUUGGGAUUAGGUGAUUAGGAUAAAGUUUGUCAGGAUAAAUUAAAAUAAGAUAAAAUUUGUUAGGGAUUUUGUUAAGGGUUGUUAUUUUUGUAUUUUUGUGAGGGGAUAAUUACAUGGUUGAGGGUACAUGAUAGGAUAAGGUAAAUAUGAGUAAAAGUGAUAUCGGGGAGGGACAAAAUUAGGUGUCUACAUCAUUACCCCUUUGCAUGUAAACACGAAGUGUUUCCACACAAAGAAGUAGACAACGAGACAAAAUUUUGUGCCGACCAUUAUUUAGAGAAACAGAAGGAAAAAGAUAAACCGGGUCUUGACUUAGGAAAUCAUACUCAUCCUUAGUUAUGAGGGAAUCAAUUAACAGGUAUCUCCAAAGGAAGGAGAAGGACUAUACCGAGUUGGAGAGUCGAGUGAGGUCCCGUCGAGGUUCCGGUCUGCGGCUCUCUUAUUACAUCAAAAAUUAAAAUUAUAAGUUAAAGCAUAAAUGAAAUUACAAAAACCCUAUCUAUACAGCUUCUUUUGGACACUUGACUUGAGUUUCAUCACCCUAUGCUUCAAGCGGGCUCCUGACUUGCAAUUUCUUCAACUUGUUGUUUGGCUUUCAAUUUCUUCAACUUAUUGUUUGACUUUAAACUUAUUUUCCCUGCUCUCUAGGCGGGAUCCUAACAGUUGGUUUCAUCAACUUCUGGUUUUAUCAGCUUGUUCUUCAGGCGGACUCCUGACCUUCAAUGUUAUCACCCUGUUCUUCAGGCGGGAUCCUAACUUUCAAACUAAUCACCCUAUUCUUUAGGUGGGAUCCUGACUUUCAAUUUCAUCACCCUGUUCUUCAGGAAGGCUCCUGAGUUUCAAUUUCAUCACCCUUUUCUUCAGGUGGGCUCCUGACUUUCAAUUUUAUCACCCUAUUCUUCAGGCGAGCUCCUGACUUUCUAUUUCAUCACCUUGUUCUUCAGACGGGCUCCUGACUUUCAAUUUUCUAACCCUAUUCUUCAGGCAGGCUCCUGACUUUCAAUUUUAUCACCCUAUUCUUCAGGCGGGCUCCGAAAACCAAAAUCAAAGCUAAAAUGAAAAUUAUCCCAAACGAAGAUUAUGAUAAAGAAAGAUUUCAUUCAUUCAUUUUUGUUAAAAGUAAUGUCCCAUUUUCCAGGAGGGUCUUGAACAUAAAGUAAAAUCCUAUUUUCUAGGAGGGUCCUGAACCUAAAGUAAAAUCCCAUUUUCCAGGAUGGUCCUGAAACGAAAGUAAAAUUCCAUUUUUCAGGAGGGUCAUGAACAAAAAGUAAAAUCCCAAUUUUUAGGAGGGUCCUGAAUAGAAAGUAAAGUCCCAUUUUUCAUAAGGGUCCUGAAUCGAAAAUAAAGUCCCAUUUUUCAGGAGGGUACUGAACAGAAAGUGAAUUCUCUUUUUUCAGGAGGGACCUGAGCAAAAAGUAAAAUCCCAUUUUCCAGGAGGGUCUUGAAUAAAAAUUAAAAUCCCAUUUUACAGGUGGGUCAUGAACAAAAAUAAAAUCCCAUUUUCCAGGAGGGUCCUAAACAGAAAGUAAAAUCCCAUUUUCUCCUGAACAGAAAGUUAAAUCCCAUUUUCCAGGAGGGUCCUGAACAUGAAGUAAAUUUCCAUUUUUUUGGAGGGUCCUGAACAGAAAGUAAAGUCCUAUUUUUUAGGAGGGUCUUGAACAAAAUGUAAAAUCCUAUUUUCUAGGAGGGUCCUGAAUAGAAAGUAAAAAAUCUCAUUUUCCAGGAUGGUUCUGAACAUAAAGUAAAUCCAAUUUUCUAGGAGAGUCCUGAAUAAAAAGUAAAAUCCCACGGAUGUACUUUUCCAAUGGUAGACGUAGCUGAAUUAUGUGAAGCAAAUUUGCCCCUGUUUCGACAAAGAAAAUUUGUCAGUUGAAAACAUGGUGGUGGCUUGCAGCACUUGGCUAUCCCGCCACCUGCUCUAGUGUCCAUUCCCUUCAUUUUGUUUUGGAUUGCAGGCACUUGCCCCUGCUUUGUCGCAUCAUUGAACCAAACUAAGAUUAUUAAGAGUGACUCAGAAAUAAACACAGUAUCUCUGCUUUGCAAUGCUUCUCAAAUAAACCCUUUAAACCCUGGUAUUUCCAUGAGUUCCUAAAUUUUCCUAUUGACAAAGCUUUCUGUAUGCUUUUUUCUUUCGGCUCACAAUCAUGUCUCUUUCAUGCGCUAGCCAUUUUGUCGUGCUUUAUGCAAUUGAAGAAGUUGGUAGCCAAUUUUGAAAUCUUUUCUCCCGUAUUUUAACAUGGCCUUACUCAAAGACAAGAGAAAAAUGACAAUAAUUUUUGUUUUAUUUGGAUAACUGAUUCAAGAAAAUAAAAAUAUAACUAAAGAGAAGAAAAAAAUAACAAUUAAUGUCCCCAUUGAAAAAGAUAAAAGAAAGUUUUACCUGAAAAUAACAGUCAACUCCAAUGAUUAUGACAUGCAUAUCGGAUUAAACUGCUUGAUCUUUCCAUCCAAAACUUUCUAACAAUUGUUGUUGAGUUAAUGACCUCAAAAUUAAGUUGCUUCCUUAGGUCAAUUACAUUUAAGACCUCAUUCGGCUAGUGGCUCCUUGAAGGGUUUUUUCCAACAAGCCUAUCUCAUUUUUUCCCAGCUCUCCAUUAUCUUAUGAUGUCAUAAGGGUUUUCACCAAUGAGACUCUCUUAUUUUCAUUUGUAUCAACUCACCGUCGUCUUACAAUGCCCGUGAGGUUUUUCAUCGAUAAGACACUCUCAUUGUUAUCUCUCUCAGCUUACCAUCGUCUUACGGGCCUGUGAGGAUUUUCACCGAUAAAACUCUCUCAUUUUCAUUUCUCUCCUGAUUCCUUAUGAUAAGAAAGACAAGCAGUUCCCAAAAAUACGUCAUCACAUCCAUUGCAUGCUUAGACUUAACAUUCUCAAAGAUUGAUCUGAAGGUCUUUUUUUGGUUGUAACUUGGCUAUUGGAUAGGGUUAGAAAGAAAGGAUGGCAUAGGGCUCAAACGACACUUAAAGUGGGGUGGGACUUACAACUUUUGGAAUCAACUCAAACAAUGAGGAUAAACUCAUGCCCCAGUUUAUUUUAACUGGGUGACUCUAAAUUGUUUAUUUGGUUGGACCGAGUCCAGAUUAGGGCAGCCUACGUCCCUCACCCUCGAAAGAGGAAAAUCAGGUCAGGCAUAGUUCUGGCAGCUUGUCUUUUGCUUGAUUCUAAUUUUUGUUUCUGUUUUUUUCUCUCUUUUCUCUUUGGGAUUUUUUUAAUAGGCCCUAUUUUUGAUAAUCUUCUAAUUUCUUUCCUUUUGGACAGAUUUUUUUGUUUUUUCGACACUUUUGUUUUGAGUUUUACUGACUCUAUCUUGAUUCUAAAAGAGGGGUAUGAAAGAAAAUAGGAUUAAAGCGCAAAUGGGUAAACAAAGGAGGACACAAUGUUUGGAUAGCAGAAUGAAAUGCCUUUGUCAUAUCAAUCCUUAAAAAUGCAAGUACAUAUCAUGCAAUAUGGAAGUGAAAGAUGAAGAUCAUUUGUGACAUCUUUUGCAGAAUUAACUUUGACUGAGUCUGUCCAUCACUAUUUCUUCUACGUUUUUCUAGUAUACAACUCGACUUUUGUUACAUAUACCUCACAUUGAAUGACUCAUGAUUUUGUGGAGCAGAUUUUCAUUCUAUUCACGCAGUCACUAUUUGAGCUAAUUGAGAUAUAUCUUUCAAUUGAUGACCAAGUUAUUCUUGUGUUUCUCAAAUUAAGUGCCUUAAUUUUCAAAGAAGGCUUCAACUUGUCACCAAAUGUCUCAGCACUCUACCUAUUUCCUCAUAUGUUCUCUUUUACUAUCUUAAACCUCUGAUUCAAUGUUUCAUGGUUAAAUUGGAUUUUAAGAUCUGACUAAAAAUUCCACUAGCAUGUCAUAUUACUAGAAUCAACAUAAAAUGCACUAUGUGAAGAAAACAAACAAACAACAUAUAUUUGAACACAAAGGGAAAAAAGGACACUCUAUUUAAUUAAAAAUAAAAGAUAGAGGGUUCAGAAGGGUUUGAACAUGAAUGACAAAAGGACAAAACAAGAUAGAUCCCGAACUACAAUCCUAAAAUAAUUUGAAAAACAGAAAAAAAAAAAAACUACCAGACCUUUUCCUAGUAAGGAGAGAGGCGACUUUCCAAUUGCUCAGCCUGACAACUUAGUCACUGGUUUGCAUAUCAACAUGACUGGAGCUUCCCUCACUGUCAAUGUUCUACACCAUAAUUGAUCCAUCUUGAAUCAUCUUUUCACUUUCUCUUUUCAUAUCUCGACAAUCUUCAAUACUAUGACCCUGAGCAUCAGAAUGAUACACACAUCGUGCAUUAGGAUCAAAAUUUAUUAAAUGCCGAUUAGGAGUGUGCUCAAGGAGAGAAUUAAUCAUUCCCCUCUAUCUCAAUCUCUGGAACAAACUGGCAUAGGAUUCCCCAUUAGGAGUGAAAUUAUCCUUUUUCUUCCUCUUCCUUGCGAACUCUGGCCUCGGUGAAACUUGGAUUUAGAGGUUCCUUGGUAAAUUUGUGGGGGUCGAGGAUGAUUUUAUGGGAAAGGUGCAUGCCAUUGUGGAUAAGAAGAUGGAUCGGUAUACAAUUGUGCAUUGUUCAAAGGACAUUCAGAAAGUAGAAUGAAACUCCCUGGAUUUUAAAAAAAGGAACUUUGUUGCAGAUGAGUAAGUAGAUUUGAUAUGUAAGAUCGAGAUUGAGGUAAACAGUAUUGCUGAGUUUCACCUCUUAAAUCUGCUUUGGUCCUGCCACGACAAUAGGUGCGUUUUCCUUCUUAUUUCCUUUAGUUUCCCUUGAUUGAUUGCAAUAUUGUCCUAAAUGUCUUAUAGAAUCAUGUUGUCCACCAUGGUAUACAAAUUUUGAUGUCUCAAAGCUUAGAGGAAGGUUAACACUUGACAAUAUGCCCCAGUUUUUGUAUGAAACAUCUUCAUAGACUACAAGUCACAAGGAACUUUCCAUAUCAUUUUCUACACUCUUAACUUUCCCAACCAUUUCCUUUGGCUCUUUUAGAAUGCUAGGCUUCUUAGUAAGAAAUUUUGGCGGUCUACUUAAUUCAACGGUAGGCUCAAGAGUAUAACAAUGAUCAUCAAGAUUAUUGAAUAUGGAUUCCCUAGUGGACUGGGGAAGCAUAAUCGUUGGAUUGAUAGACAAAGUGGAAGCCUUAGUAGAAGGUUGAGCAACAAAAGCACAAACGGUAUGUGGUGCUGUGAAUGUGGUAAACUUAUACUGAGGAGAUAAAGAAAGAGCGGUAGAAGUAUUGUGGUGCAUUUGACGUGAAAUGAAUUCUGAGGCAUUCUAUGGUGCAUCAACAACAGAAGAAAACUUACUUGGAGAUUUUGGUGGAAGACUCAAGGUAUUUGCAGGGUCAAAAAUGGGGAACGGAGAUGGAGGCAGCCCACUGGCCCAAGCUCGGUACAUUUUCAUCAUUUGUUGUCUCAAUCUCAAAUUCUCUUCCUUUAAACUCUCAAUUUCCUGACUCUUUGUUUCAUCCAUGAUGUCACUCUUUAUAUCCUUCUUGGACACAGCUAACCCUUCCAUGGAUUUGGUGUGAAAUGGAGGACCAGCCAGGAAGCCUCAAACCAACCACAUUAAACUAACUGAACAAGAGGCAAAAAAUAUGUUAGAGUUCAACAUUUUUUCUUCAAAACCUUUUUUUUCUUUUAGAAAAGAUCACCGAACCCAAGAAGGGCGCUUACGUAUCUCACCCCUGAAAGAGGAGAAUCAGGUGUGCGUAGUUCGUGAAGUUUUGCCAAAAUGACCAAUUAAACUUUUUUUCUUUCUUUUUUUUUUGAAACUUCAAAAAGAGAAGAAAAUAACAAAUUUUCAAAAGAAUAGACUCUUUUUGCAUUUUUCACGUUCAAAAUUCCUAUACAAAUGAAACCUGUGAUUACCAAAGAAAAAUCUUUUUGGAUUUUCAAUUUUGAAUUUCAUAUGAAAAUGAAACUUGAACCUAUUAAAGAAAAAUCUUUUUGUAGUUUUCUUUUAAAGAUGUAUAUGAAACACCUACUCUAAAUGAAGAGUGAAGAAAAUCUUUUUGAAUUUUUAUUUUAAUAAGAUCCCUGAACCAAUAAUAGGCUGCCUACGUAUCUCACUCCCGAAAGAGGAGAAUCAGGGAUCCGUAGUUCAACAAUUAACAAAAAUAAUCAACAUUCACCAAAUCAAUCUUUCAAUUGCCAACCCAAAUUCUCAAUUUAAGUUGAUGUCAUUCAAUUAUCCAAAUCAAGUAACCAAUCAACCAAUUUCCACCAUUAUUCACGAUUCAGACAUAACUAAAUCAGAUAAAGCAAGAUGUCCACAUUAUGAAUUCACUACACGAAGCAUCAAUAAUUUAUAAAUUAGUAAAAAAUGAGAGGAGAAAUGGACCUUAAUAUUGCUUUCAAUUAAAUUGCUCCUUCCGACUAAAACCGCAACUGGAGUCUCAAAUCGUCCUCAACGGACAAAACCCAACUCGGUAUCUAAAUUGCAAAUUCGACCAUAAUGGUAACCCACAAACAGACCUCAAUAUACAACCCAAAACUACAAACCCACAAAGAAAUAAGUGACCCAAAAUAGUGAUAUGUAAAUUCACACGGAAUAUGAACAACAACACAAUUCUGGGUUGGAUUUGGGGACGAGUGGAGCUAGUGAUGUCAUUUCCCAGAGGUUUUAUCGGAACAGUAGCAAAAUAGAAACUAGAGCAUUUUACGGCAGCUAAUACGAUGGGUUUUCGGCGAGUUUCUCACAAAAAAUAGUCAAUAAGCAUCGAUCUUCCUUCCCCUCUCUCUCUCGAUUCUCACUAUCUCUCCCUGAUCUCUCUCACCCAUUCACUUUUUGAUUGAUUCCCUCCUAUAUUUAGUCCAUUUUCGCUCUUUCUCUCAACCACCUGAUUGUGUUUUCCGGUCGUGUGAUCUGUGUGUGUGAGUGAGUGUAAAUCAGUAAGGUGUAGUAUAUGAGAGUGUGUGCAUCGAGGGAAUUUUUUGAGUAUAUGGAGAUAAGUGUGGCUGUGGAGAUGAACCUAAAAAAAUGGGAUCUGUGUCCAAUUUCUCUAUAUUCUGUGCAUUAGGAAUAAUCCCCCUCCCUUUUUUGUUAAUGUGUUGCCUAAAUGGAAUAAAAAAAUGCGAGGGGUUGGUGACAUGAGUGGGGUAGAGGUAGGUGAGGGUAAGGGUAUGGGUAGGGUUGGGAGUAGGUGAUUAGGAUAAAGUUUGUUAGGAUAAAUUAAAAUAAGAUAAAAUUUGUUAGGGAUUUUUUUAGAGGUUGUUAUUUUUGUACUUUUGUUGGUAGAUAAUUACAUGGUUGAGGGUACACAAUAGGAUAAGGUAAAAAUGAGUAAAAGUGAUAUCGGGGAGGGGCACAAUUAGGUGUCUACAUCAUGCCCCCUUUGAAUGUAAACACAAAGUGUUUUCAGACAAAGAAGUAGACAACGAGAUAAAAUUUUAUCCCGAUCAUUAUUCAGAGAAACAGUAAAGAAAAGAGCAACCGGGUCUUGAAUUAGGACAUCAUACUCAUCCUUAGUAAUGAGGCAAUCAAGUCACAGGUAUCUCUAAAAGAAGGAGAAAGACUAUACCGAGUUGGAGAGUUUGGUGAGGUCCCAUUGAGGUUCCGGUCCGCGGCUCUCUUAUUACAUCAAAAAUGAAAUUAUAAGUUAAAACAUAAAUGAAAUUACAAAAAUCGUAUCUAUGCAGCUUCUUUUGGACUCUUGACUUGAGUUUCAUCACCCUAUUCUUCAGGCGGGCUCCUGACUUGCAAUUUCUUUAACUUGUUGUUUGGUUUUCAAUUUCUUCAACUUAUUGUUUGACUUUAAACUUAUUUUCCCUUCUCUUCAGGUGGGAUCCUGACUUUUGUUUCAUCAACUUCUGAUUUCAUCACCCUGUUCUUCAGGCGGACUCCUGACCUUCAAUUUUAUCACCCUGUUCUUCAGGUGGGCUACUGACUUUCAAUUUUAUCACCCAAUUCUUCAGACGGGCUCCUGAAUUUCAAUUUCAUCACCCUGUUCUUCAGGCAGGCUCCUGACUUUCAAUUUCAUCACCCUAUUUUUUAGGCGGGCUCCUAACUUUCAAUCUUUUCACCCUAUUCUUCAGGAGGGCUCCUGACUUUCAAUUUCAUCACCCUGUUCUUCAGGCGAGCUUCGAACUUUCAAUUUUAUCACCGUAUUCUUCAGGCGGGCUCCUAAAACCAAAAUCAAAGCUAAAACGAAAACUAUCCCAAACAAAGAUUAUGAUAAAGAAAGAUUUCAUUCAUUCUCUUUUGUUAAAAGUAAUGUCCCAUUUUCUAAGAGGGUCCUGAACAUAAAGUAAAAUCCCAUUUUCCAGGAGGGUCCUGAACAUAUAGUAAAAUUCCAUUUUCCAAGAGGGUCCUGAACUGAAAGCAAAAUCUCAUUUUUCAGGAGGGUCCUGAACAGAAAGUAAAAUCUUAUUUUUCAGGAGGGUUCUGAACAGAAAGUAAAUUCCUAUUUUUUAGGAGGGUCCUAAACAGAAAGUAAAAUUCCAUUUUUUAGGAGGAUCCUAAAUAGAAAGUAAAAUUCUAUUUUUCAAGAGGGACAGGUGCAUGCCAUUGUGUAUAAGAAGAUAGAUCGGUACACAAUUGUGCAUUUUUCAAAGGACAUUGAGGAAGUAGAAUGAAACUCCUUGGAUUUUGAAAAGAGGAACCUUGUUGCAAUGAGUAAGUGGAUUUGAUAUGUAAGCUCGAGAUUGAGACCGACAGUAUUGGUGAGUUGGACCUCUUAAACUCUGCUUUGGUCCUGGCAUGACAAUAGGUGUGUUUUUCUUCUUAUUUCCUUUAGUUUACCUUGAUUGAUUGCAAUAUUGUCCUAAAUGUUUCACAGAAUCCUAUUGUCUACCAAGGUCCUCAAAUUUUGAUGUGUCAAAGCUUGGAGGAAGGUUAACACUUGACAACAUGCCCCAUUUUUCGUAUGAAACAUCUUCAUAGCCUACAAGUCGCAAGGAACUUUCCAUAUCAUUUUCUACACUCUUAAAUUUCCCAACUAUUUCCUCUGGCUCUUCUAUCAUGCUAGGCUUCUUAGUAAGAAAUUUUGGCGGUCCACUUUAUUCAACGGUAGGCUCAAAAGUAUAAUAAUGAUCAUCAAGAGUAUUGAACGUGGAUUCACUAGUGGAAUGGGGAAGAACAAUCGUUGGAUGAUAGCCAAAGUGGAAGCCUUAGUAGAAGGUUGAGCAAUAAAAGCACAGACGGUAUGUGGUGCUGUGAAUGUGGUAAACUUAUACUGAGGAGAUAAAGAAAGAGUGGUAGAAGUAUUGUGGUGCAUUUGACGUGAAAUGAAUUCUGAGGCAUUCUAUGGUGCAUCAACAACAGAAGAAAACUUACUUUGAGAUUUUGGUGGAAGACUCAAGGUAUUUGCAGGGUCAAAAAUGGGGAACGGAGAUGGAGGCAGCCCAUUGGCCCAAGCUCGGUACAUUUUCAUCAUUUGUUGUCUCAAUCUCAAAUUCUCUUCCUUUAAACUCUCAAUUUCCUGACUCUUUGUUUCAUCCAUGAUGUCACUCUCUAUAUCCUUGUUGGAAACAACUAACCCUUCCAUGGAUUUGGUGUGAAAUGGAGGACCAGCCAGGAAGCCUCAAACCAACCACAUUAAACUAACUGAACAAGAGGCAAAAAAUAUGUUAGAGUUCAACAUUUUUUCUUCAAAACCAUUUUUUUUAUUUUAGAAAAGAUCACCGAACCCAAGAAGGGCGCCUACGUAUCUCACCCCUAAAAGAGGAGAAUCAGGUAUGCGUAGUUCAUGAUGUUUGGCCAAAAUGACCAAUUAAACUUUUUUUCUUUCUUUUUUUUUUGAAACUUCAAAAAGAGAAGAAAAUAACAAAUUUUCAAAAUAAUAGACUCUUUUUGCAUUCUUCACAUUCAAAAUUCCUAUACAAAAUGAAACCCAUGUUUACCAAAGAAUAAUCUUUUUGGAUUUUUAAUUUUGAAUUUUAUAUGAAAAUGAAACUUGAACCUAUUAAAGAAAAAUCUUUUUGUAGUUUUCUUUUAAAGAUGUAUAUGAAACACCUACUCUAAAUGAAGAGUUAAGAAAAUCUUUUUGAAUUUUUAUUUUAAUAACAUCCCCAAACCAACAAUAGGCUGCCUACGUAUCUCACUCCCGAAAGAGGAGAAUCAGGGGUGCAUAGUUCGUCCAGUUUGUACAAUUUAAGAUUAAAUAACGAACUGAACCCUGACUUGAGAGACACGACCAAAGACAAACGAUGAACAAUGUAAAUAAAAUCUUGUUGUGUUUUCAGAUUGACACUUCACAUAAAAAUGACACCAACAACUAUGAAAGAAAAAUCUUUUUUUCUUUUUGUAUUUUCCUAUAUGAAAUGUAUAAAACCUCUACCAUCUUUUUUGAAUUUUUCUUUUAUAAAAAGUUCCUAUUGAAAAAAUCUUUUUGAAAUUCUCGAAUUAUGGAUGCUUGCUAAAAUAAACAAAGGGACAUCUUUUUGAUGUUUUUGUUUUUGACAAAUGAAUACAAAAAAUAAAAAAUCUUUUUAAUUUUUGAAUUGUGGAAAAUAAAAGUCAUAAAGAACUCUAAAAAUUCCAAAAAUCUUUUUUUUUUCAGCACACCUUACUUCUAACACAUGCUUUUCCUGAAUUAGUCCGUUAAAUGACCACGUUACCCUCAAAGAUGCAACAUUUAGCACAUAGGGAUGCUUUAGAGGUGAGUCUCCUACAAAGGACCAAGUGGGGCCCACUAGGUUUCAAUAUGAUACACAUAAGUAUGACCUAAAGGCUGACCUACGUUGGGGUUCACUAACCAGGCUGUUCGGGGGAGCGUAUGGUCGAUAGUGGCUGCGACAGCUUUGCACCCACUCCAUACUUCCGACAGCUCCCCCUUCUAAAAUAAGGGUGACUCAACUAGAGUUCGUGUACACGAAGUGCACUCUGAGACUUGUUGCAGAAAGAAUUGACUCGGGUUAUGCAAAUGAUGUCAGAUAUAAAGCGGUAACACAUAAGAUAAAAAUUCUAAACAAAGAGCACGUAGACACUCAACAAUGAUAAACAAUAACACAAAACAAUCACAAACAAAAUAUCUAUACACCUAUAGAGCCAAACUAAGCCGAUACAACUCUAAGAAUAUGCUCGAAUUCUGAAAAAUUCCCCAGCAGAGUCGCCAGAGCUGUCACACCACUUUUUUAACCAAAAAGAUUUGUUUUAAGGGUCGAAAGAGUUUUUAUUAUUAAAGUGACAAAACGAAGAUAAUUGUUUCGAAAAAGGAUUAUUUUUACAUUUACAACUCUGAGUCGCCACUUGGCAUAAUCCGGUGUGCCAAGUCACCUUUGAAAAAUCCUUUUUAAAAAAAUUUGACUAUUUAAGACUGAUUUUACGAACGGAGAUUCUGGCUAAGAAAUUCUGUUGACCGAGGGGAAGGUGUUAGGCACCCCUCGAUCUCGUGGUUCGGCCACGGUCGCUUGCUGGAGAAUAUCGGCUAAUUUAACACUACGAAUGUACAAACCACACAGCACGCACAACAAUCAUUCAAGUAGACCAAAACAAAACAAUUCAAAAUUUAGUGUUCAGUCCAAGUUAUAUAGUCCAAAAAAUAGAAAGAUACAGAAAUAUAAAUCCAAUUCUAAACUAAUCCUAGACUAAGCUCCAAUUCUUUACCCAAUGCAUCAGGCCUUCAUUACGAACGUCUUUCGCCGACACAAUACAUCGGGACAUUCUCUGGUGAACAAAUACAAAUGACUUCGGGGAAUUCUCCGGCUAAAUGAGUAUAUUUUUCAAUGCGACAAAAGUAGAAAGAAUAAUUCACACCCACACUCAAACAUUCAAAAAUCACAAUUCCUAUGUUUUACCUACCCUGACUUACCAUUUUCCUACUUGUUUAAUGGAUUUUCACAUAAUACUGGCGUGUUCAACCAUUAACAAAAAUAAUCAACAUUCACCAAAUCAAUCUUUCAAUUCCCAACCCAAAUUCUCAAUUUAAGUUGAUGUCAUUCAAUUAUCCAAAUCAAGUGACCAAUCAAUCAAUAUCCACCAUCAUUCACAUUUCAGACACAACUAAAUCAUAUAAAGCAGGAUGCCCACAUUAUGAAUUCACUACACGAAGCAUCAAUAAUUUAAAAAUUAGUAAAAAAUGAGAAGAGAAAUGGACCUUAUUGUUACUUUCAAUUAAAUUGCUCCUUCCAACUAAAAUCGCAAUCGGAGUCUCAAAUCGACCUCAACGGACAAAACCCAACUCGAUAUCUAAACUGUAAAUUUGACCAGAACGGUAACCCACAAAUAGACCUCAAUAUACAACCCAAAACUACAAACCCACAAAGAAAUAAGUGACCUGAAAUAGCGAUAUGCAAAUUCACACGGAAUAUGAACAGCAACCUAUUUUCGGGUCGGAUUUGGGGAUGAGUGGAGCUAGUGAUGUCAUUUCCUGGAGGUUUUGCCAGAACACCAGUAAAACAGAAACUGGAGCAUUUUCUGGCAGCUAAUACGAUAGGUUUCCAGCGAGUUUCUCACCAAAAAUAGUCAGUAAGCACCAAUCUUACUUCCUCUCUCUCGAGAGAGAUUCUCACUAUCUCUUUCACCCACUCACUUUUCGAUUGAUUCCCUCCUGUAUUCCAUCCAUUUUCGCUCUUUCUCUCAACUUCCUAAUUGUGUUUUCUAAUCGUGUGUUCUAUGUGCGUAAGUGAAUGUGAAUCAGUAAGGUGUAGUAUAUGAGAGUGUGUGCAUCAAGGGAAUUUUUUGAGUAUAUGGAGAUGAGUGUGGCUGUGGAGAUGAAGCUAAAAAAAAUGGGAUCCGUGUCCCUUUUUCUCUAUAUUCUUUGCGUUGGGAAUAAUUCCCCUCCCUUUUUUGUUAAUGUGUUGGUUAAAAGGAAUGUAGACAUGUGAUUUUGUCCUCCUACACACACAGAAACCUCUAUUAACACACGCACACAGAAGCCAUUAGGGAGUUUUUUUUUUCUCUUCUUUUUUUUUUUUGCUUUUUGGCACUCUCACAACACUAGAAGGGGACGGUAUUUCAUAAGAAAAGGGGGGAAUUGUCGAAAACUUGAUUUUUUUUAUUUAUUUCUUCUUUUCCUCUUCAUCACGCACAGUCACAAGCCUACAUACACCCACAAAAAAGGAGUAGACUGGAAAGAGAGAAGUCACGAUGAGGGAGAGAUAGGGGAGAUCGAGAGGGACAAUAGAGUGUUUGAGGUUUUUCGGCGAACCCGGCGCCGGAGCUGUUGGUUUUGGUCGAUUCCAGUUGAAUCUGAUCGGAAAUGGUAAGUUUCACCAAAAUCUGUUAUUAGCAUUGGGGUUCCCAUCAUUGAUACAACCAACGCUGAUUUGUUCAUCGCUGUCUCAAUCAUUUUCUUAUGAAAAAUCUCACUUAGGUUGAGUUUAUCACGAUUUCUGUUUUGAAUAUUCCGGGUUUGCGUUGGUUUGGGAUUUGACUUCUGUUCAUCUCAAAUCGUGUCAUAUUAUAGUCAAUUUUGGGUUACUAUUUAUCGAUACCGAUUUGGGGUUUCAUCGUUGUUGAGGUUUUCUAUUUGAGCUUUCGGAUUCGGACUUCUUUUGACUCUUAUUGUCAUUAAAAAUUCAAUAUCGGAAGGUCCAUUUCUUAACUCUAUCCUUUCAUUAUUUUGACUGUGGUUUUAUUGUGAUUUUGCGAUUCGGGUUUGGAUAUUUUAGUCAUAUUAAUUAUUGUUGCGAGUAUGAAUUACUCAUGUGCAUGAAAUGUUUGAAUCUCUGUUGGACGUAUAUGUUUGAUGUUGGUUUCGAUUGUUGAAAAGGGAUUUGAUGGUUGAAUUGGUUUGGUCAUGUGGUUGAAAAAGGAUGUCGGGGUGGGAACAAGAAGUUGUUAAAAGAUGAAUGUAGUUAAAUUUUGGACUAUUGUCAUUUUAUUUAAUUCGGAUUAAGCAUGAAUUUGAUAGAAUUAUUUUAAAUCAAAAGCUUGAUAGGCAACAUAGGUCGGGUAGGCAAAUUUAGGGAUUGUGGAUUGAUGGAAUAUUUGAUUUGUGUGAUUGAAUGGUUUUUGGAUAUAUUGCUUUGGGAUCACUUGUAUCAUUUGGCAGGGGAAUGCCCCAAAGUACUUGUAUUAUUGUUAUCCGGGGAAUGCCCCGAGGUAUCUUAUACUUGAAAAUGUUUGUGGUGAAGGCUCAAGGCAUCGGGUAAAGCACGAGAGCAUAGUUAAAAUUAGUAUAGGUUAGAUUGGAUUUACUUUUGCAUUUUUAUAUUUGGACUGUAUAAAUUGGACUGGACACUGUACUUUUGAUUCAUUUUUGUUUUGUUUUUCUGUUUGAUUUUUUUACAUAUUUUGUGUGGUUUGUGCUUUCAUAGUGUCAAAAAUAGCUGAUACGCUCCACCAAGCGACCGUGGUCGAACCACGGGAUCGAGGGGUGCCUAACACCUUCCCCUCGAUCAACAGAAUUCCUUACCCGGAAUCUCUGUUCACAAACCAGUUUCAAAGAGUCAAAUGGUUUUGAAAAGGAUUUUAAAAGGUAACUUGACACACCGAGUUUAUGUCAUGUGGUGACUCUGAAUAAAAAUGUAAAUAAUCCUUUUUCGAAAUAAAUUUUCAAUCUUUUGUCACUCAAUAAAUCAAAACCCUUUCGAACCUUAAACCAUAUCUUUUUAGAGUCGAAAAAAGGGGUGUGACAGCUCUGGCGACUCUGUUGGGGAUCUUUUUAGAACUCGAUCUUAUUUUUGGAGUCAUAUCGGCUUUGUUUUGCAUUAUGGGUGUAUAAACAUUGUUUGUGAUUAUUUUUUAUGUUAUUGUUAUCACUGUUAUGAGUUUUUGUGCUCUUUUUGUACAGUAUUUAUCCUAUAUAUUACCGCUUUUAUAUCUGGCAUCAUGUGUCUACCCCUAGGCCUUCUUUCUGUAACAAGUCCAUAGUACACGUGUUGUACACGACCUCUAGUUGAGUAACCCUUAUUUUAGGGGGGGAUCCAUCGGUGUUAUGGAAUAGGUGAAAAGCAAAGCAGCUACUAUCGACCAUACGCUCCCCCGAACAGCCUUGUUAGUGAACCACAACGUAGGUCAGCCUUUAGGUCAUGCUUAUGUGCAUCAUACUGAGACCUAGUAGGAUACACAUGGUCCUUUGUAGGAGACUCACCUCUAAAGUAUCCCUACGUGCUAACUAUUGCAUCUUUAAGGGUAACGUGGUCAUUUGACGGAUUGAUUUGAAAAAAAAACAUUUGUUAGGAGUAAGGUGCAUAGGCAAAAAACAAAAAAGAAAAAAAAAAGAAAGAGAGAGAAGAAAAAAAGAGAAAAAAAAUAGAAAAAGUGAGUCGAAAAGAAUGAAUCAAAAGGAGUGUCGUAGUUUAUUUUAGAGUUCUUUAUGGCUUUUGUUCUUCAUGAUCCAAAAACUCAAAAAGAUUUUUUUUUUUUACGUUUUGCAUCUAUCUUCUCAAAGUACCGUAAGUUCAAUGAAAAAAAUAAAAAAAAAGAGAGAUUUUUUUUUCCUUUUCUACUUAUUUGUCAAAAGUAAAAAUACCAAAAAGAUUUUUGUUCAUAAUUGGUGGUGUCAGUCUUAGUUAAAGUGUCUAGUUGAAAAUCCAAAAAGUUUUUUCGUUUGUUUUUGGUUGUGUCUCUUAAUUUAGGAUCAAUUUAUUAGUUAAUCGUUAAUUGUCCAAUCUGGAUGAACUACGCAUACCUGAUUUCCUUCCCUCGGGUUGGGAUACGUAGGCAACCCUCGGUGGGUCCGGUAAUCUUGGUGUUGGACUUUGUCUUAUUAUUAGCCUAGGUCUCUCUUCUCGUAAUCUAGAAUUGUUAGCCAAGUAGACUAAUUUUGCUCAGUACUUCUGUUUGAAAAAUUGGAGUCAUGAAGUGUUCUAUCCCAUCGAUAUAUGUCUGCAUCAAAAAGCCCAAGGGUUGGGAAUCUUCUACUCCUAUCGAAUUUUUGAGAUAACGUCUUAUGUGUUAUUACAGGAUGGAUUUGUCCACCAAGUUUAGAGUCCUUAUGGUUGUCAAGGUGCCCAAAAAUUUAAUCAAGUGGUGGGAAAUGUUUAACUAUGUUGAUCAGCAGAAACUAAUUAAAAUAUUAGGUGAUCUUAAGGAACUUCUGCAUGUUACCCCUCUUCCAGAUUUAAUAGAGGCUGUGUUAACCUUUUGAGAUCCAUGUUGUUUGGUGUUCAGGUUUAGGGAAUGUGAAAUGACUCCUACUUUGGUAGAAAUAUCCAGUUUGUUGCAUUAUCCCUAUAUCGAGAAGGAUAUGAUUCGAGCAUGAAAUUAUACUAGCGUGAGGUUUUUACAGUCUUGUGGUUUAAAAAGUAAGGGUAUGCAUUUGGGUUGCUUAAGUGAUUCGUGAGUUUUCUUAGAUUUUUUGUUCGCUAGAUUCGAGCCCUCGGAAGGUUUUGAUUGCUUUUGGGAUGAAUUUCAUGUGACUAAGGAGAAGUGGGAGAGAAAGCGUUUUGAAGUCUUCACCCUUGCUUUGUUAGGUACUUUAGUGUUUCCGCUAGAAGAAAGACGUAUUAAUAUACGUUUGCAAUCUGUGGUGAUGACUCUAUUUCAUAAGGAUCAAAAUGACAAGGGCACUAAUCAAAAGGGCAAGGUCAUUAAUCAAAAGGGCAGGUUCACUCUCAUACCCAUGAUCUUAACAAAAAUAUAUACGGCAUUAACCGAAGUGAAGGGGGGAUGAGAUUUUUUGAGGGCAGUAACCUGAUAUUACAGUUAUGGAUGAUGGAGCAUUUGCAUGCGCCUUCUUUAGUUAGACCAGACAUGGUUGAUCAUUGUAUUCCCAAUCGAGUGAAAGCCAUGGACCUCAGGUUGCGUUUGGAUAAAUUCUCGCUACCCGUGGGAGUCGAUGCUUUGGAUUGAAUUUCUUGAGUCAAGAACCGGGGAUAACAUUUUAUGGACUUGUCUGUUUUAAGUCGAACCAGCGCAGCUUAGGGGAAGAAUACAGGAAGAAUGCAUAGUUGACGAUCAUCAGGAUGAAAAGUACGGGGUCCAAAGUGGAGACACUGAGAGUUUAGUUAGCAGAUUUGUUCAAGACGGUAGAAAAGUAUCAGAAUAAUCUUUCCAAGUGCACUCCUCAUGAGGCAGGAAUACGGGCCCGAAGCUUCUUCCCUAAUACCAGAGUGUCUUUACUUGAUGAGCUACAAAUUUUGAAUGGGAGAAAGAGAACUUCACAGGCAGGUGCAUCUCAGCCAGGGUCAUCACGCAGAGCACCAGUCUGAAAGAGCAUUUCUUAUCUUUAUUCAGUUUUGAGUCUUUUAUGUUUCUGUCAUUGUAGGGUGGUGUCUGUUUUAAGUCGAAGUGAAGUUGUUUUUGAUAUUAGGGUCUUUAUUAGAAAUUUCACGUAUGUCGUCUUAGGGGUCUAGAAUGUUGUUUUGUAUUUGUUGUUUAGUUUUAAAGUGGUCCUAAAUUCUUUGUAUGUUUUUGUUUUUUCUUUCAUCAAAAUGUUAUGAUGUUACAUCUUUCUUUUGUUUGUUUGUAUUCGUUUUUCGUAAAAAAAAAAACCUUCAAUUAUGUGAUGUUUAUGCAUAUGCAGCCCGAACUACGCAAGAUCUGAUUCAUGUACAACAUGAUACGUAGGCAACCUACUUUUUAGUUCGAUCUAAUCAUUUUGUUUCAUUGUUUUUCAUUAUUUUUCCUCUUUUAAAGAAAAAACAAAAGUCAUAAAGAAUGAUAAAAUGAAGGUAGAUAGUGAGAGAAAAAAAGAAAGAAAGGAUGAUGAGACAAUAAAGGGAAAGAACAGAGACUGAUACGAAAAAAAGAGAGAGGGAAAGGAGGGCGAAAAAAAAUAAUAAGUGCAGAUAAAAAUUGGGAUGAUGUUAAAAUGACCUCGCUACCCUCAAAAGUUGGUAGAAAUGAACAUGAAUUUAGGACAAUUUUACCAAUGUGAUUCCCAUGCUUGUUGUGUGCCCUAAUCCUAACGGAUGUCGUCUUUGAUGAGCAUGUUCUUUCAGAUAACAGUGGUAGGUUUUCAGUACACUGGCUAGUCACCCAUACUUCACUAGAUCCAAAGCAAAGCUCGCCAUGGCUUGCAGGGAGAUUGAAAAUUCGCUCAUUGACCCAGAUCAGGAUCACAGAGAAGAAAGUUCUGAACACAAUGACGAGGUAGUAAGGCUCAGGCAACAAUUGAUAGAUUUGCACUGGGCAUGGGCCAGCGGAAUGCCUCCUCCUCCACUCCCUGAAGGUCUUGGGAAUAUCUCUAAUUUCCCACCGCUCUCUCAGGAACAAUUCUCUGCUCCUACUGAGUUACCUGAGUACGUGCCAGGAUUCACUCUGCGAUAUUAUUUUCCUGGCAGUUCUAGUGUGCCCUUUGAAACUCCCCAAUCAAGACUUGCUGCUCAUCCGGCACCACCGAUCACACUAGUAUUCGUGGCUCUUCCAACACCUGAAGCACCCACAUAUGUUGUGCAUCCGAUAAUGGGGCUUCCUCGGUCUGCCAGUGAGCCAGCAUUGAAGGUUCGAGAUAGUUAGUAUUAUGCCCCGGAGCCUACUUUGAGAGUGAAUGAUGGGUACACUCAGCCACCUGCAUUUCCAUUUGAUACGAAGAAACCUGUUGCAACAGAGGAACAAGAAGUCAUAGCGCGGAAUUUGAAAAGUUUAGAACAGGCCAUGAGGAAUUUACAGGGAAUCGGAGGUUAUAAGAGUGUUUCCUAUAAAGAUCUUUGCAUGCUCCCAGACAUCAACCUUUCCCUCGGUUUUAAAAUGCCCAAGUUUGAGAAGUAUGCAGGGCAUGGUGAUCCCGUGGCACACUUGAGACGUUAUUGCAACCAAUUGAGGGCUGCAGGAGGAAGGUAAGAGCUGCUCAUGGCUUUCUUUGGCGAGAGUCUUUCUGAUCUGGCUUCAGAAUGGUUUAUCGAUCAAGAUAUCGACAAGUGGAACAACUAGGAUGACUUAGCUUCUGAGUUUGUGUAAUAUUUUUAGUAUAACAUCGACCUAAUUCCAGAUGAAAAAUCCUUGGUCAACAUGAAGAAGAAAAAUACUGAAGGUUUUAGAGAAUACGCGAUAAGGUGGCGUGAACAGGCCGCCAGGGUAAAACCUUCAAUGAAAUAAAGUAAGUUGGUAGAGGUUUUCAUUUAAGCAUAAGAUGAGACCUAUUUUCAACAUUUACUUUCUGUAAUGGGAUAGUCUUUUAUUUAAGUCCUCAAAAUGGGGGACAUGAUAAAGGCCGGAAUCAAGACCGGCCGAUAGUAAGUUUUUCCGCAUUGAAAGCCACCACACAAGUGAUUCAAGGUGGAUCUGGCACAUUUGGAGGUAAAAAUAAGAAAGAGGACGUGGCGACUGUCGUAGCUGGACCCAUUCCUAUCCCAAAAGAACACCUCACCCCUAUCCCCAAUCCCAAGCCCAAGUCUAUGCCCAAGCUCCAUAUAUUCCUCCCCACCAUUACUACCUUCAACAAAACCCUUUAUAUUCCAUUCCACCACCCCCGUAUCUAGUAUAUAGCGCGCAGCCAUAUGGCUAAACCCUUUCUUACCCGCAAUGGCAUGCGCAAGCUCCACAAAAUCGCCCAUCUGCUCCACUGAAUUACCAAAACCCCUCCAGACUCGGUUUUCAACCUAGGCCCAAGUAUAAGAAAGAGAAGGCGGUCAAAAAUCAAUUCACACCUCUUGGGAAGCCAUAUGCUAGUUUGUUUGAUAGGUUGAGAAAGUUGAUGGUCUUAAGCCCAAUUUAAGGAAGGCUUUCAAAUCCACUGCCGAGGAAUCUCGAUUAUUCUUUAAGGUGUACGUACUGUUCUGACAUACCAGUCCAUGAUAUCGAGAAAUGCUAGCAUUUAAAGAGAGUUGUCCAAGAUUUAAUUAACACAAAUCAGAUGCUGGUCCAGGCCCCGGAGGGUCCAAACAUUAAUCAGAAUCCACUGUCAAACCAUGCUGAAACCAAUAUAUUCGAAUUGAUAUAUGACGGGAAAAAGUCAUCAAGGUGUUAUAACUCUAUCGUCAAGAUACAGACCAUUGAGGAGAAAUAGAUGAAUGUAGCAGAGUCAUUGAAAGCAAUGUCAUUGAUCUAGGAAUGAAUGAGAGAAGAUAAAGCCCAAGAAAGCACAAAGAAACCCCUGAUCAUGGUGCAAGGUUCCAGAAGGUAUGUUGAUUUAAGUCAGGAUAAAUCUAAGUUGACAGUGGUAGGAGCUUUGAGUAAGCCCAUCUUAACGGUGAAAGAAGCGCUGGCAGCGCCUAUAGUCCUCAAACCGGUGACCCAACCUCCGAUAGUUGAUACGAAAAGGGUUCCCUAAAAUUAUGGGUGUACUGUGAUGAUCUAUGAUGGGAAAGAAGUAGUGGAAGAUAUAGAUGAGGUAGGGGUUUUGACUCGGUCAGGAAGAUACUUCGUGCCUGAAAGUUUAAGAAAGUCCAAGCCAAUUGUGAGUGGACCGUCAUCUAUUAAAAAUCCUAUCACCAAAGAAGCCGAAGAAUUUUUGAAAAAGAUGAAAUUGCCAGAGUAUUCAAUAAUAGACCAGUUGAAGAAAAUCCCUGCUCAAAUUUCCCUCUUAUCUUUGUUGUUGCACUCCAAGGAGCAUCGUGAUAUUUUACUGAAGGUAUUAAAUGAAGCAUAUGUUCCUAGGGAGAUUACAAUAAAUCAGCUUGAGAAAAUAGUUGGAAAAAUCUUUGAGGUCAAUAAGAUCAUCUUUUCUGAUGAUGAAUUGCCUGUUGAAGGUACAGGGCAUAACUGGGACCUUUACAUUUCAGUGAAGUACGAAGAUUUCUACGUCACUCAUGUUAUGAUUGAAGAAGGUUCAGGUGAAAAUAUCUUCCCUAUUUCUACUUUGCAAAAAUUGAAUAUUGGUGCUAAGAGGAUCAGGCCUAACAAUGUAUGUGUCAGGGUUUUCGAUGAUGCAAAAUCAAACUCCAUUGGUGAAAUAGAACUAAUGUUGAUCAUAGGGCCUGUUGAGUUUGCCAUAGAUUUUCAAGUAUUGAAUAUAGACUUCUCUUACAAUUUUUUGUUGGGAAGGCCAUGGAUCCACAAGGCUAAGGCGGCUGCAUCUACACUACACCAAAUGAUUAAGUUUGAGCAUGACAGGAAAGAAGUGGUUAUUCACGGUGAAGGAGAUUUGUCCGCCUACGAAGAUUCUCCCUUGUCUCUUAUUGAAGCAAAUAACGUAGAGGAUAUAUUCGUCUAUCAAAUUUUUGAUACAAUGCUAGUGAAUCGUAUCCUUAAAUGACAGGCUAUACCGGGACCGUAAUUGUCUUCCGCUUCUAUCAUGAUGGUGAGUGAACUUUGGAAAUAUGGAUUUGAACCAGGAAAGGGUUUGGGAGCGUCUCUGCACGAUAUAGUUGAGAACGUGGGAACGUUUGGUCUGGGAUUUGAGCCUACGGCUGAAGAUCUGAAGAAAGCCAAGGGAAAGAAAAUGAAAACAUGGUCACUCCCUCGCCCAAUGGCACUACUCAGUAAAUCAUUUGUUAAGAGCACUGUCAUGAAGCAUGUGGAAUUUGAAGUUGAAUUGGUUGAUAACUGCCAGAACCUUUUUAUUGAAGUUGAUAUGGUCGAAGCAGGAAAAGGUAAUUGGGAAGUCACUUCUCUCCCCGUCAGGAGGGAGUUUUGGUAGUUUUUUUGUUUUUCUUUCUGUUUAUCCGAGUUAUUUCAGGAUUGUAAUUAUGAUUUUAGUUUGUUUAUGUUAUGCUGGCAUCUAUGAUUAAGCCCUUCUAUCUUUUUAUUUAAUGAAAUGCAAUGUCCCUUUUGUUUUGUGUCUAACAUAUUUUGUUUUUCUUUUUUUUUAUAUACAGUUCUCUUUAUGCUAAUUCUAAUGACAUGACAUGUAUGCGGAAUUUUCAGCCUGAUCUUAAAAUCUAAACUAAUCAAGAUAUAAUGAAGCAGGAUGGGGAAUAUGAUGAAGAAGAAGCACUAGAAGAAAUAAGCAAAGAGUUGGGACAGUUUGAAGACAAAUCGAAUCCUAAUUUGAAUGAGACUGCACCAAUAAAUCUAGGGAAUGAAGAAGAUGUUAAGGAAACUAAAAUUAGUGUACAUGCUUUGCCACAGCUAAAAGAUGGAAUGAUUCAAGCAUUAAUUGAUUAUAAGUAUGUUUUUGCAUGAUCUUAUGAUGAUAUGCCUGGUUUAAGCACUAAAUUAGUGACUCACAAAUUGCCAACUGACCCUAUAUUCCCUCCUAUCAAAUAGAAGUUGAGGAAGUUUAAAACUGAUGAAAGUAUUAAAAUCAAAGAGGAAAUUAUGAAAAAACUUGAAUCAAAGUAAUUCGAGUGGCUCGUUUUCCCAUGUGAUUAUCCAAUAUUGUUCCCAUACCAAAGAAAGAUGGCAAAAUUUGAGUGUGUGUUGAUUAUCGUGAUUUGAACAGAUCAAGUUUGAAAGAUGAUUUUCCACUGCCUAACAUCCAUAUUUUGCUAGACAACUGUGCUAAACACGAGUUUUCCUCUUUUGUGGAUUGCUAUGCCAGAUAUCACCAGAUCAUUAUAGAUGAUGAAGAUGCAGAGAAAAUAUCUUUUAUCACACCAUAGGGGACCUAUUAUUAUCGAGUGAUGUCGUUUGGUUUGAAGAAUGUUGGAGCAAUAUACAUGAGAGCCAUGACCACUAUGUUUCAUGAUAUGAUACAUAAGGAGAUUGAGGUAUACGUUGAUGAUGUGAUUAUUAAGUCAAAAAUUUGGGCCGACCAUGUUAAAGAUUUAAGAAAGUUCUUUGAAAGGUUUUGCAGGUAUAAUCUCAAGCUCAACCCGGAAAAAUGUGUAUUUGGAGUUCCAUCUGGAAAGCUGUUGGGGUUUGUGGUCAGCUGUCGAGGGAUUGAAUUGGAUCCCUCAAAAUCAAAGCCAUUCAGGAUUUGGCCUUGCCCAAGAAUAGGACGGAGGUAAUGAGUUUGCUUGGUAGACUGAACUACAUUAGCAGGUUUAUUACUCAACUCACAACCACUUGUGAGCCCAUAUUCAAGUUGCUAAAAAAGAGUGCUAUGGUAGAAUGGACUGAAGAAUGUCAGGAAGCGUUCGACAGAAUCAAAAGAUAUUUUUCAAAUCCGCCCGUGCUGGUACCACCAAAGCCUGGUAGGCCUUUGAUCUUAUAUUUAUCAGUCAUGGACAAUUCUUUUGGUUGUGUCCUGGGUUAACAUGAUGUCACAGGCAAAAAGGAGCAGGCUAUUUAUUAUUUUAGCAAGAAGUUCACCGCAUAUGAGGCCAGAUAUACCCUUCUUAAAAUGACAUGUUGUGCCUUAACUUGGGUAGCAUAGAAGUUGAAGCAUUAUCUCUCAUCCAAUACUAUUUAUCUCAUCUCCUGCAUAGAUCAUUUAAAAUAUAUCUUUCAGAGCCUAUGCCGAUAGGUCGAUUGGCAAAGUGGAAAAUAUUGCUUACCGAGUUUGACAUUGUAUAUGUGACUCGAACCUCCAUGAAAGCCCAGGCCUUAGUAGAUCAUCUUGCUGAGAAUCCCAUCAAUGAAGAGUACGAUCCAUUAAAGACAUAUUUUCCUAAUGAAGAAGGGUCGUGUGUCGAUAAAGUCAUUAUAGAUGCUGAUCCAGGUUGGAAGUUGUUCUUCGAUGGACCAGUUAAUAUGAAAGGAGUCGGAAUAGGUGUGGUUCUUAUCUCUGAAUCGGGUCAAUAUUUCCCAGUAACAGCACAACUUUGAUUUUACUAUACUAACAAUAUGGCGGAGUAUGAAACUUGCAUUCUUGGUUUGAGGUUCGCUGUUGAUAUGGGAGUCCAGGAAUUAUUGGUGCUGGGGGAUUCGGAUUUGCUCGUCUAUCAAAUUCAAGGAGAUUGGGAGAAGCGAGAUUUGAAGCUCAUCCCGUAUCGACAAUGCUUGUAGGAGUUAUGUCAACGGUUUGUGUUAGUAAAAUUUAUGCAUAUUCCAAGGAUUCAUAAUGAAAUUGCUGAUGCUUUAGCCACUCUGUCUUCAAUGCUCCAACAUCUUGAUAAAGCCUAUAUUGAUCCUAUGCAUAUACAGAGUCCUGAUUAGCAUGCUUACUGUAAUGCGGUUGAAGAAGAGCUCGAUGGAGAACCAUGGUUCUUGGAUAUCAAGCGAUACAUCUAGUCAGGAGAAUAUCCAACAUAUGCCACCAACAAUCAAAAGAGGACUGUUAGGUGUUUGGCUAGUGGAUUUUUCUUAAGUGGGGGGAUCUUAUAUAAGAGAACCCCAGAUCUAGGACUUUUGAGGUGUGUAGAUACAAGAGAAGCCUCAGCAAUCAUGGUUGAAAUACACUCUGGAGUAUGCGGGUCGCAUAUGAACGAUCAUGUCUUUUCAAAGAAGAUUCUUCGAGUAGGUUAUUACUGGCUUACUAUGGAGAGAGAUUCUAAUUGAUUUGUUUGAAAGUGUCAUCAAUGUCAGGUACACGGUGAUUUGAUACGUUCUCCUCCUGCUGAUUUGCAUGCAAUGGCUUCUCUAUGGCCGUUUAUGGCUUGGGGAAUGGAUGUGAUUGGACUGAUUGAGCCAAAGGCAUCAAAUGGACAUAGAUUCAUUUUGGUAGCCAUUGAUUACUUGACAAAGUGGGUAAAAGCAGUAACUUUUAAGUCAGUAACAAAGAAGGAUGUGGUAGAUUUUGUUCACGCCAACAUCAGUUGUAGGUUUGGAAUUCCUAAGAUGAUCAUUACAGAUAAUGCUGCCAAUCUCAAUAGUCAUUUGAUGCAAAAAGUGUGCCAACAGUUUAAGAUCGCACAUCGAAAUUCUACUCCAUAUUGCCCAAAGGCCAAUGGUGUUGUAGAAGCCGCCAAUAAGAAUAUAAAAAAGAUACUACAAAAAAUGGUACAAGGGUCUAGACAGUGGCAUAAAAAGUUGCCGUUUGCAUUGCUAGGUUAUCGCACCACUGUUCGCACUUCAACAGGGGCAACUCCAUAUUUAUUGGUGUAUGGGACAGAAGCAGUCAUCCCUGCAGAAGUUGAAAUUCCCUCUCUUCGAGUCAUUGUAGAAGCAGAGAUUGAUGAUGACGAAUGGGUCAAAACCCGACUGGAAUAUUUGAGUUUGAUUGAGAAAAAAAAUACUAAUGUUUGUGUAUCAUGGUCAGUUGUAUCAGAGGAGGAUGGCUCGAGCGUAUAACAAAAUGAUCCAUCCCAGGAAUUUUGAAGUUGGUCAGUUGGUAUCAAAACGUAUCUUUCCUCACUAGGUUGAAGCGAAAGGCAAGUUCUCCCAUAACUGGCAAAGUCCCUUCGUUGUGAAGAAAGUGUUGCCUAAUAGAGCCUUAUAUUUGAUAGAUAUUGAACGUAAAAUGGCUGAAAUGGCUAUCAAUGCUGAUGCAGUCAAAAGAUAUUAUGUAUGAUAUUUUAUCCUUUGUUGAUUUUAUUGCAUGUUUAGUACUUGCAUUNNNNNNNNNNNNNNNNNNNNNNNNNNNNNNNNNNNNNNNNNNNNNNNNNNNNNNNNNNNNNNNNNNNNNNNNNNNNNNNNNNNNNNNNNNNNNNNNNNNNNNNNNNNNNNNNNNNNNNNNNNNNNNNNNNNNNNNNNNNNNNNNNNNNNNNNNNNNNNNNNNNNNNNNNNNNNNNNNNNNNNNNNNNNNNNNNNNNNNNNNNNNNNNNNNNNNNNNNNNNNNNNNNNNNNNNNNNNNNNNNNNNNNNNNNNNNNNNNNNNNNNNNNNNNNNNNNNNNNNNNNNNNNNNNNNNNNNNNNNNNNNNNNNNNNNNNNNNNNNNNNNNNNNNNNNNNNNNNNNNNNNNNNNNNNNNNNNNNNNNNNNNNNNNNNNNNNNNNNNNNNNNNNNNNNNNNNNNNNNNNNNNNNNNNNNNNNNNNNNNNNNNNNNNNNNNNNNNNNNNNNNNNNNNNNNNNNNNNNNNNNNNNNNNNNNNNNNNNNNNNNNNNNNNNNNNNNNNNNNNNNNNNNNNNNNNNNNNNNNNNNNNNNNNNNNNNNNNNNNNNNNNNNNNNNNNNNNNNNNNNNNNNNNNNNNNNNNNNNNNNNNNNNNNNNNNNNNNNNNNNNNNNNNNNNNNNNNNNNNNNNNNNNNNNNNNNNNNNNNNNNNNNNNNNNNNNNNNNNNNNNNNNNNNNNNNNNNNNNNNNNNNNNNNNNNNNNNNNNNNNNNNNNNNNNNNNNNNNNNNNNNNNNNNNNNNNNNNNNNNNNNNNNNNNNNNNNNNNNNNNNNNNNNNNNNNNNNNNNNNNNNNNNNNNNNNNNNNNNNNNNNNNNNNNNNNNNNNNNNNNNNNNNNNNNNNNNNNNNNNNNNNNNNNNNNNNNNNNNNNNNNNNNNNNNNNNNNNNNNNNNNNNNNNNNNNNNNNNNNNNNNNNNNNNNNNNNNNNNNNNNNNNNNNNNNNNNNNNNNNNNNNNNNNNNNNNNNNNNNNNNNNNNNNNNNNNNNNNNNNNNNNNNNNNNNNNNNNNNNNNNNNNNNNNNNNNNNNNNNNGACGAAAGUUUUUUAAGAUGACGUCAAUCGAAUGUGAUGUAUGAGUCCAAUGGAUUUGAAGAAGCGGCUCAGCAGCAAAGGCAUGAACUCAACAACAAAUGGGGAGUUUGGAUAGGAAGAUCAGGCAGCUCAAUCCAAAAUGCAUGUCAUACUCAUUGGAGUUGGUUGUCGUAUUCAGAUAAGUUUUCUUUUUGAAUAUGGGACAUUUCCCUUUUCUUUCAUUUACAUAUUCAUGAUUUUUGUCUUUUUAGGUCAUUUAUCAAAAUAAAAGUCACCAUCAUUUCUUUAUAUUUUAAGUCAAGUCUGUGUCAAAAUAAGCGAGAAAGGAUUUCAAAAUUUAUUACCAGUCUUUUCAAUUAUAUGAGAAAAAGCCAAGGACCAGCACAUGAAAGAAAUAUGAUCAUAAUUCAACAUGAAAAAGAAGGAAGUCUAUCAACCGACGGGCUGUUGGAUUCGUGGAAGCAUUCAAAUUUGGGAAAAGAGUGCACCUCAGAGACAUGGUAAAAUGAAAACCCAUUGUUCGAGUCAGAGCUCAUUUCCCUCAAUCUGGAUUCGGGUCGAUGAUGCAGCAAGACAGGGCAAGUGUCAGCAAUUCAAAACAAAGAUGAAAGGAACGAGUGCUGGGGCAGAUACCUGAGAAGCCAAGAGCUGCAAGCCACCACUAAGUUUAAAACUGACAGAUUUUCUUUGUUGAAAUAGGGGCAAAUUCGCUUCACUUAAUUCAGCUACUAAUGGAAAUGCACAUUCGUGGGAUUUUAAUUCCAAUUUAGGACCUUCCUGAAAAAUGGGAUUUUACUUUUUGUUCAAGACCUCCUGAUAAAUGGGAUUUUACUUUAUGCUCAAGACCCUCCUGAAAAAUGGGACUUUACUUUCUGUUCAGGACCCUCCUAAAAAUGGGACUUUACCUUCUGUUUAGGACCCUCCAAAAAAAUGGGACUUUACUUUCUGCUCAGGACCCUCUUGGAAAAUGGUACUUUACCUUCUGUUCAGGAACCACCUGAAAAAUGGGAUUUUACUUUAUGUUCAGGACCAUCCUAAGAAAUGGGAUUUUACUUUCUGCUUAGGAACCUCCUGAAAAAUUGGACUUUACUAUUUGUUCAGGACCCUCCUGGAAAAUGAGAUUUUACUUUCUGCUCAGGACCCUCCUGAAAAAUGGGACUUUACCUUCUGCUUAGGACCCUCCUAAAAAAUGGGAUUUUAUUUUCUAUUCAGGACCCUCCGGAAAAAUGGGACUUUACCUUCUGUUCAUGACCCUCCUAAAAAAUGGGAUUUUAAUUUCUGCUCAGGACCCUCCUGAAAAAUGGGACUUUACUUUCUAUUCAGGACCCUCCUGAAAAAUGGGACUUUACCUUCUUUUCAGGACCCUCCUGAAAAAUGGGAUUUUACUUUAUGUUCAGGACCCUCCUGAAAAAUGGGAUUUUACUUUCUGCUCAGGACCCUCUUGAAAAAUAGGAAUUUACUUUAUAUUCAGGACCCUCCUGAAAAAUGGGAUUCUACUUUCUGUUCAGGACCCUCCUGAAAAAUGGGAUUUUACUUUCUUCUCAGGACCCUCCUAAAAAAUGGGACUUUACCUUCUGUUCAGGACCCUCCUAAAAAAUAGGACUUUACCUUCUGUUCAGGACCCUCCUAAAAAAUGGGAUUUUAUUUUCUGUUGAGGACCCUCCUGAAAAAUGGAAUUUUACUUUCUGUUCAGGACCCUCCUAAAAAAUGGGAUUUUACUUUCUGCUAAGGACCCUCCUGAAAAAUGGGACUUUACUUUCUGUUCAGGACCCUCCUGGAAAAUGGGACUUUACCUUCUGUUCAGGAUCCUCCUAAAAAAUAGGACUUUAUUUUCAAUUCAGGACCUUCCUGGAAAAUGGGACCACACUUUCAAAAAUGAAAUACUAUUUUACUAUAAUCUUUGUUUUGGUAAUUUUAUUUCUAGUUUCUGUUUUGAUUUUAGGAGCCCACCUAAAGAACAAGUGAUGAAAUGGAAAAUUAAAAGCCCGCUUGAAGAGCAAGGCGAAUAAAUGAAAGUCGAGCAACGAAGUGAAGCAAUGGAAAAUCAAGCAACAAGUUGAAAGAAAUUGCAAGCUAGAAGCCCGCUUGAAGAAUAGGGUGAUAAAACUCAAGGCAAGAGUAAAGAAAACUGUAUAGAUAAGAUUUUUGUGAUUUCAUUUAUGCUUUAACUUGUAAUUUUUAUUUUGAUGUAAUGACAGAACCACGGACCGGAACCUGUAAUACGAUGUCUGAGUCCAAUGAAUUUGAAGAAGCGGCUCAGUGGCAAAGGUACGAACUCAACAAAAAAUGGGGAGUUUGGAUAGGAAGAUCAGACAGCUUAAUCCAAAAUGCAUGUCAUACUCAUUGGAGUUGUUUGUCAUAUUCAGAUAAGUUUUUUUUUUGAAUAUGGGACAUUGCCCUUUUCUUUCAUUUACAUAUUCAUGAUUUUGUCUUUUUAGGUCAUUUAUCAAAAUAAAAGUCACCAUCAUUUCUUUACAUUUUAAAUGAAGUAUGUGUCAAAACAAGUGAGAAAGGAUUUCAAAAUUUAUUACUAAUCUUUCCAAUUAUAUGAGGAAAAGCCAAGGACCAGCACAUGAAAGAAAUAUGAUCGUAAUUCAACACGAAGUAAAGGAAGUCUAUCAACCGACAGGCUGUUGGAUUCGUAGACGCAUUCAAAUUUGGGAAAAGAGUGCACCUCAGAGGCAUGGUAAAAUAAAAACCCAUUGUUUGAGUCAGAGCUCAUUUUCCUCAAUCUGGAUUUGGGUCAAUGAUGCGGCAAGACAGGGCAAGUGUCAGCGAUUUAGAACAAAGAUAAAAGAAACGAGUGCUGGGGCAGAUACCUGAGAAGCUAAGAGCUGCAAGCCACCACUAAGUUUUUAACUACCAAAUUUUCCUUGUUGAAAUAGGGGCAAAUUCGCUUCACUUAAUUCAGCUACUAUUGGAAAUGCACAUCCUUGGGAUAUUAAUUCUAGUUUAGAACCCUCUAAAAAAAUGGGAUUUUACUUUAUGUUCAGGACCCUCCUAAAAAAUAGGAUUUUACUUUCUAUUCAGGACCCUCCUGAAAAACAGGACUUUACUUUCUGUUCAGGACCCUUCUAAAAAAUGAGACUUUACCUUCUGUUUAGGACCCUCCUGAAAAAUGGGAUUUUACUUUCUGCUCAGGACCCUCCUGAAAAAUGGGACUUUACCUUCUGUUCAGGACCCUCCUGAAAAAUAGGAUUUUACUUUCUGCUCAGGACCCUCCUGAAAAAUGGGACUUUACCUUCUGUUCAGGACCCUCCUAAAAAAUGGGACUUUAUUUUUUAUUCAAGACCCUCCUGAAAAAUGGGACUUUACAUUCUUUUCAGGACCCUCCUAAAAAAUGGGAUUUUAUUUUUUGUUUAGGACCCUCCUGAAAAAUGAGAUUUUACUUUCUGUUCAGGACCCUCCUGAAAAAUGGGACUUUACUUUCUGUUCAGGACCCUCCUGGAAAAAUGGGACUUUACCUUCUGUUCAGGAUCCUCCUAAAAAAUGGGAUUUUAAUUUCUGUUCAGGACCCUUCUAAAAAAUGGGACUUUAUUUUCAAUUCAGGACCCUCCUGAAAAAUGGGACCACACUUUCAAAAAUGAAAUACUAUUUUACUAUAAUCUUUGUUUUUGUAAUUUUGUUUCUAGUUUUUGUUUUGAUUUCAGGAGCCCUCCUGUAGAACAAGUGAUGAAAUGGAAAAUCGAAAGCCCGCCUGAAGAACAAGGCGAAUAAAUGAAAGUCGAGCAACGAAGUGAAGCAAUGGAAAAUCAAGCAACAAGUUGAAAGAAAUUGCAAGCUAGAAGCCCGCUUGAAGAAUAGAGUGAUAAAACUCAAGGCAAGAGUAAAGAAAGCUGUAUAGAUAGGAUUUUUGUGAUUUCAUUUAUGCUUUAACUUGUAAUUUUUAUUUUGAUGUAAUGACAGAACCACGGACCGGAACCUCGAUGGAACCUCACUCGACUCUCCAACUCGAUAUAGUCCAUCUCCUGCCAUUUUUUUGAGAUACUAGUCGCUCGAUCACCCCAUAACUUGGGUAGGUAGGAUGUCCUAAGUCAAGACCUGGGUUCCCUCCUUCCUCUUGCUCCGUGCUUUUGAAUAAAGGUCAGGACAAAAUUCCAUCUCGUUGUCUUCUGCUUUGUAUGAAAACACCAUGUGUUUACAUCCAAAGGGGGCAUGCUGUAGACACGUGAUUUUGUCCUCCUAAAGUUUAAUUUUAUUCACUUUUACCCAUUUAUUACUUUAUCCUACCGUGUUCCCUCAUCUACGUGAUUAUACUCCACAAAAAUACAAAAAUACAAAAAUAACAAACUUCCUAACAAAUUCUAUCCUAUCCUAACCUCCUUUACACCUCAACCAAACAACCUACCCAAUAAAAAAUAAACAUCUAACCCUUACCCCUCCAAUUAAAAAAAAUAACACCCCUACCCCACAUAACCCCAUUUACAUAUUUUUCAUCAAAGCAUUAACAAAAAUUAGAUAGAGAUUCUUAGGUGGAAAGAAACAAUACAACAAAAAAGGAUAGAGAAGAGGGGCCCAUAGGAAACUUCCAGGAAAGGCACCCUAGGAUUUUUUUUGUUUUGUUUUCACUCUAUAAUAUAUAUACAUAAAUGAUGAUAAGAAUAGGGGGGAUUUGGCUUUCUUCUACAUGGUUCAUUCCAGGAGAAGCUACCAUUGUCACUCUCACAUACACACACACAAACCUCCAUUAACACACGAACACAGAAGCCAUUAGGGAGUUGUUGUUUUUUUCUCUUUUUUUUUUUGCUUUUUGGUACACUCACAACACUAGAAGGGGACGGGAUUUCAUAAGAAAAGGGGGAAAUUAUCGAAAACUUGAUUUUCUUAUUUAUUUCUUUUUUUCCUCUUCAUCAUGCACAGUCACAAGCCUGCAUACACCCACAAAAAUGGAGUAAAACGGAAAGAGAGAAGACACGAUGAGGGAGAGAUAGGGGAGAUCGAGAGGGACAACAGAGUGUUUGAGGUUUUCCGAUGAACCCGGCAUUGGAGCUGUUGGUUUUGGUCGAUUCUAGUUGAAUCUGGCUGGAAACAGCGAGUUUCACUGAAAUCUGUUGUUAGCGUUGUGGUUCCCAUCAUUGAUACAACCAACGCUGAUUUGUUCAUCGCUGUCUCAAUCAUUUUCUUACGAAAAAUCUCACUUGGGUUGAGUUUAUCACAUUUCUGUUUUGAAUAUUUUGGGUUUACGUUGGUUUGGGAUUUGACUUCUGUUCAUCUCAAAUUGUGUCAUAUUAUAGUCAGUUUUAGUUUACUAUUUAUUGAUACCGAGUUGGGGUUUCAUCAUUGUUGAGGUUUUCUAUUUGAGCUUUCAGAUUUGGACUUCUUUUGACUCUUAUUGUUAUUAAAAAUUUGAUAUCGGAAGGUCCAUUCCUUAACUCUAUCAUUUCAUUAUUUCGAAUGUGGUUUUAUUGUGAUUUUGCGAUUUGGUUUUGGAUAUUUUAGUCGUAUUAAUUGUUGUUGCGAGUAUGAAUUACUCAUGUGCAUGAAAUGUUUUCAAUCUUUUGUCACUCAAUAAAUCAAAACCCUUUCGAACCUUAAACCAUAUCUUUUUGGAGUUGAAAAAAGGGGUGUACAAGGAAUAAAAAAUAUGUGAGGCGUUGGUGACAUGAGUGGGGUAGGGGUAGGUGAGGGUAAGGGUAUGGGUAGGUGAGGGUAAGGGUAGAGGCUGUGUUGACCUUUUGGGAUCCAAGUAGUUUGGUGUUCAGGUUUAGGGAAUGUGAAAUGACUCCUACUUUGGCAGAAAUAUCCGGUUUGUUACAUUUGCCCUAUAUCGAAAAGGAUAUGAUUCGAGCAAGAAAUCAUACUGGCAUGAGGUUUUUGCAAUCUUGUGGUUUAAAAAGUAAGGGUAUGCAUUUGGGUUGUUUAAGUGAUUUGUGGGUUUCCUUAGAUUUUUUGUUCGCUAGAUUCGGGCCCUCGGAAGGUUUUGAUUGCUUUUGGGAUGAAUUUUAUGUGACUAAGGAGAAGUGGGAGAGAAAGCGUCUUGAAGUCUUCACCCUCGCUUUGUUAGGUACUUCAGUGUUUCCGCUAGAAGAAAGACGUAUUAAUACACGUUUGCAAUCUAUGGUAAUGACUCUAUUUCAUAAGGAUCAAAAUGACAAGGACACUAAUCAAAAAGGCAAGGUCAUUAAUCAAAAGUGUAGGUUCACUCUCAUACCCAUGAUCUUAACAGAAAUAUAUAAGGCAUUAACCAAAGUGAAGGGGGGGAUGAGAUUUUUUGAGGGCAGUAACCUGAUAUUACAGUUAUGGAUGAUGGAGCAUUUGUAUGCGCCGUCUUUAGUUAGACCAGACAUAGUUGAUCGUUGUAUUCCCAAUCGAGUAAAAGCCAUAGACCUUAGGUUGUGUUUGGAUAAAUUCUCGCUAGUCGUAGGAGUCGACGCUUGGAUUGAAUUUCUUGAGUCAAGAACUGGGGAUAGUAUUUUGUGGACUUUUCUGUGGCUUCGACCAAAGAUAAUCUUGUUUGGUUGUCAAAUGCAGAUCCUUCUAGUUAUGUUAGGGCUCAAUUGCACUAGACUAUACAGUCCUUCUAGGGUAAUGCGCCAGUUGGGUAGGCCGCAGGACGUGCCACCAGUAGUGGAUCUUCUAAAGGAUGUUGAGUACUUCAAGGACCAAGCCUUAGGUGAAAUCAAACACAAGCAGUUCUGGAAGUAUGCAACAAAGCUUGGUGUGGACACUCUCAAAGAAAGUUUGGAUAAUCCGGGGUACACUCAGGGAUAUGGGGUCUGGCUUCAAUCUAUACCUCGGGGUAUCAUCCAACCCUUACCAGCGCGGCUUAGGAGAAGAAUACAGGAAGAAUGCAUAGUUGACGAUCAUCAAGAUGAAAGUGCGGGGUCCAAAGUGGAGACACUGAGAGUUCAGUUAGCAGAUUUGUUCAAGACGGUAGAAAGGUGUUAGAAUAAUCUUUUCAAGUGCACUCCUCAUGAGGCAGGAAUACGGGCCCGAAGCUUCUUCCCUAAUAUCAAAGUGUCUUUAUAGGACAAGUUACAAAGUUUGAAUGGGAGAAAGAGAACUUCACAGGCAGGUCCAUCUCAGCCAGGGUCAUCACGUAGAGCACCAGUCUAAAAGAGCAUUUCUUAUCUUUUUUUAGUUUGAGUCUUUUAUGUUUCUGUCAUUGUAGGGUGGUUUCUAUUUUAAGUCGAAUUCAAGUUGUUUUUUAUAUUAGGGUCUUUAUUAGAAAUUUCACGUAUGUCGUCUUAGGGAUCUAGAAUGUUGUUUUGUAUUUGUUGUUUAGUUUUAAAGUGGUCCUAAAUUCUUUGUAUGUUUUUAUUGUUUCUUUCAUCAAAAUGUUAUGAUGUUACGUCUUUCUUUUGUUUGUUUGUUUUCGUUUUUUGUAAAAAAAAAAACCUUCAAUUGUGUGAUGUUUAUGCAUAUGCAGCCCGAACUACGUAAGAUCUGAUUUAUGUAUAAUAUGAUACAUAGGCAACCUACUUUUGGGUUCGAUCUAAUCAUUUUAUUUCGUUGUUUUUCAUUAUUUUUCCUUUUUUAAAAAAAAAACAAAAGCCAUAAAGAAUUAUAAAAUGAAGGUAGAUAGUGAGAGAANNNNNNNNNNNNUUGUUUUUCAUUAUUUUUCCUCUUUUAAAGAAAAAACAAAAGCCAUAAAGAAUGAUAAAAUGAAGGUAGAUAGUGAGAGAAGAAAAGAAAGAAAGGAUGAUGAGACAAUAAAGGGAAAGAACAGAGACUGAUACGAAAAAAAGAGAGAGGGAAAGGAGGGCAAAAAAAGAAUAAUAACUGUAGAUAAAAAUCGGGAUGAUGCUAAAAUGACCUCGCUACCCUCAAAAGUUGGUAGAAAUGAACAUGAAUUUAGGACAAUUUUACAAAUGUGAUUCCCAUGCUUGUUGUGUUCCCUAAUCCUAACGGAUGUCGUCUUUGAUGAGCAUGUUCUUUCAGAUAACAGUGGUAGGUUUGAAGUACUCUGGCUAGUCACCCAUACUUCACUAGAUCCAAAGCAAAGCUCGCCAUGGCUAGCAGGGAGAUUAAAAAUUCGCUCAUUAACCUGGAUCAGGAUCAAAGGGAAGAAAGUUCAGAACACAAUGACGAGGUAGUAAGGCUCAGGCAACAAUUGAUAGAUUUGUACCGGGAAUGGGCUAGCGGAAUGCCUCCUCCUCCGCUCCCUGAAGGUCUUGGGAAUAUCUCUAAUUACCCACCGCUCUCUCAGGCACAAUUCUCUGCUCCUACUGAGUCACCUGAGCACGCGUCAGGAUUCACUCCGCGAUAUUAUUUUCCUGGCAGUUCUAGUGUACUCUUGGAAACUCCCCAAUCAAGACCCGCUGCUCAUCUGGUUCCACCAAUCACAUCGGUAUUCGUGGCUCUGCCACCACCUGAAGCACCCACAUAUGUUGUGCGUCCGACAAUGGGGCUUCCUCGGUCUGCCAGUGAGCCAGUAUUGAAGGUUCCAGAUAGUUAGUAUUAUGCCCCAUAGCCUACUUUAAGAAUGAAUGAUGGGUACACUCAGCCACCUGCAUUUCCAUUUGAUACAGAGAAACCUGUCGCAACAGAGGAAAAGGAAGUCAAAGUGCGGAAGUUGAAAAGUUUAGAACAUGCCAUAAGGAAUUUGCAGGGAAUCGGAGGUUAUAAGAGUGUUUCUUAUAAAGAUCUUUGCAUGUUCCCAGACAUCAACCUUCGCCUCGGUUUUAAAAUUCCCAAGUUCGAGAAGUAUGCAGGGCAUGGUGAUCCCGUGGCAUACUUGAGAUGUUAUUGCAACCAAUUGAGGGCUGCAGGAGGAAGGGAAGAGCUGCUCAUGGCUUUCUUUGGCGAGAGUCUUUCUGAUCUGGCUUCAGAAUAGUUUAUCGAUCAAGAUAUCGACAAGUGGAACAGCUGGGAUGACUUAGCUUCUGAUUUUGUGCAACAUUUUUAGUAUAACAUUGACCUAAUUCCGGAUGAAAAAUCCUUGGUCAACAUGAAGAAGAAAACCACUGAAGCUUUUAGGCAAUACGCGAUAAGGUGGCGUGAACAGGCCGCCAGGGUAAAGCCUCCAAUGAAAGAAAGUAAGUUGGUAGAGGUUUUCAUUCAGGCACAGGAUCAGACCUAUUUUCAACAUUUACUUCUGGCAAUGGGAAAGUCUUUUAUUGAAGUCCUCAAAAUGGGGGAGAUGAUAAAGACCGGAAUCAAGACCGACCAAAUAGUAAGUUUUUCCGCAUUGAAAGCCACCACACAAGCCAUUCAAGGUGGAUCUGGCACAUUUGGAGGUAGAAAGAAGAAAGAGGACGUGGAAACUGUCAUAGCUAGAACCCAUUCCUAUCCCAAAAGACCAUCUCGCCCCUAUCCCUAAUCCCAAGCCCAAGUCAACGCCCAAGCUCCAUAUAUUCCUCCCACAAUUACUACCCUCCACAAAACCCUUUAUAUUCCAUUCCACCACCCCCGUACCCAGUAUAUAGCGUGCAGCCAUAUGCCCAAACCCCUUCUUACCCAUAUUGGCGUGCACAAGCUCCACAAAACUCCACUGAAUUACGAAAACCCCUCCAGAUCCGGUUUUCAACCUAGGCCAGCGUAUAAGAAAGAGAAGGCGGUCAAAAAUCAAUUCACACCUCUUGGGGAGUCAUAUGCUAGCUUGUUUGAUAGGUUAAGAAAGUUGAAGGUCUUAAGCCCAAUUCAAGGAACGCUUUCAAAUCCACUGCCGACGAAUCUUGAUUAUUCUUUAAGGUGUGCGUACUGUUCUGACAUACUAGGACAUGAUAUCGAGAAAUGCUGUCAUUUAAUGAGAGUUGUCCAAGAUUUAAUUAACACAAAUCAGAUACAGAUCUAGGCCUCGGAGGGUCCAAACAUUAACCAAAAUCUGCUGCUAACCCAUGUUGAAACCAAUAUGUUAGAAUUGAUAUAUGACGAGAAAAAGUCAUCAAGGUGUUAUAAGUCUAUCGUCAAGAUACAAACCAUUAAGGAGAAAUCGAUGAAUAUAGCAGAGUCUUUAAAAGCAAUGUCAUUGAGCCAGGAAGGAAUGAGAGAAGAUAAAGCCCAAGAAAGCAUAAAGAAAUCCCUGAUCAUGGUGCAAGGUGCCAGAAGGUAUGUUGAUUUAAGUCAGGAUAAUCCUAAGUUGAUAGUGGUAGGAGCUUCGAGUAAGCCUAUCUUUACGGUGAAAGGAGCGCUGGUAGUGCCUAUUGUCCUCAAACCGGUGACCCAACCUCCGAUAGUUGAUACGAAAAGGGUUCCCUAGAAUUAUGGGCGGACUGUGAUUAUCUAUGAUUGGAUAGAAGUAGUGGAAGAUAUAGAUGAGGUAGGGGUUUUAACUCGGUUAGUAAGAUGCUUCGUGCCUGAAAGUUUAAAAGUCCAAGCCAAUUGUGAGUGGACCGUCAUCUAUCAAAAAGCCUAUCACUGAAGAAGAAGCCGAAGAAUUUUUGAAAAAGAUGAAAUUGCCAGAGUAUUCAAUAAUAGACCAGUUGAAGAAAACCCCUUCUCAAAUUUCCCUCUUAUCUUUGUUGUUGCACUCAAAGGAGCAUCGUGAUAUUUUACUGAAGGUAUUAAAUGAAGUAUAUGUUCCUAGGGAGAUUACAAUAAAUCAUCUUGAGAAAAUGGUUGGAAAAAUCUUUGAGGUCAAUCGGAUCAGCUUUUCUGAUAAUGAAUUGCCUGUUGAAGGUACAGGGCAUAACCGGGGCCUUUACAUUACAGUGAAGUACAAAGAUUUCUACAUCACUCAUGUUAUGAUCGACGGAGGUUCAGAUGAAAAUAUCUACCCUAUUUCUACUUUGCAAAAGUUAAAUAUUGGUGCUGAGAGGAUCAGGCCUAACAAUGUAUGUGUUAGGGCUUUCGAUGGAGCAAAAUGAAACUCCAUUGGCGAAAUAGAACUAAUAUUGAUCAUAGGGCAUGUUGAGUUCACCAUAGAGUUUCAAGUAUUGAAUAUAGACUCCUCUUACAAUCUCUUGUUGGGAAGGUCGUGGAUCCACAAGGCCAAGGCGGCUGCAUCUACACUACACCAAAUAAUUAAGUUUGAGCAUAACAGGAAAGAAGUGGUUAUUCACGGUGAAGGAGAUUUGUCCGCCUGCGAAGAUUCUCCCUUGUCUCUUAUUGAAGCAAAUAACGUAGAGGAUACAUUCAUCUAUCAAAUUUUUGAUACAAUGCCAGUGAAUCGUAUCCUUGAAUGGCAGGCUAUACCGGGACCAUAAUUGUCUUCCGCUUCUAUCAUGAUGGUGAGUGAAUUUUGGAAAUACAGAUUUGAGCCAGGAAAGGGUUUGGGAGCGUCUCUACACGGUAUAGUUUAUCCCAUGUGUCUGAGUGAGAACGUGGGCACGUUUGGUCUGGGAUUUGAGCCUACGAAUGAAGAUCUGAAGAAAGCCAAGGGAAGGAAAAAGGAAACAUGGUCACUCCCUCGCCUAAUGCCACUACUCAGUGAAUCAUUUGUUAAGAGCGGUAUCACGAAGCAUGUGGAAUUUGAAGUUGAAUUGGUUGAUAACUUCCAGAACUUUUUUGUUGAAGCUGAUAUGGUCAAAGCAAAAGAAGGUACCAGUAUGACAGACAUGCAAUUCAUAGGUCCAACUGUCCGACUCAAUAAUUGGGAAGUCACUCCUCUCCCCAUCGGAAGGGAGUUUUGGUAGUUUUUUUAUUUUUCUUUCUGUUUAUCCGAGUUAUUUCAGGGUUUUAAUUCUAAUUUUAGUUUGUUUAUGUUAUGUUGGCAUCCAUGCUUAAGCCCUUCUAUCUUUUUAUUUAAUGAAAUGCAAUGUCCCUUUUGUUUUGUGUCUAAUAUAUUUUGAUUUUCUUUUUUUUAUAUACAGUUCUCUUUAUGCUGAUUCUAAUGACAUGACAUGCAUGCGGAAUUUUCAGCCUAGUCUUAAAAUCCAAACUAAUCAAGAUGUAAUGAAGCAGGAUGGGGAAUAUGAUGAAGAAGAAGCACUAGAAGAAAUAAGCAAAGAGUUGAAAUAGUUUGAAGACAAACUGAAUCCUAAUUUGAAUGAGACUGAGCCAAUAAAUCUAGGGAAUGAAGAAGAUAUUAAGGAAACUAAAAUUAGUGUACAUGGUUUGCCACAGCUAAAAGAUGGAAUGAUUCAAGCAUUAAUUGAUUAUAAGGAUAUUUUUGCAUGGUCUUAUGAUGAUAUGCCUGGUUUAAGCACUGAAUUAGUGGCUCACAAAUUGCCAACUGACCCUGCAUUCCCUCCUGUCAAAUAGAAGUUGAGGAAGUUUAAAACUGAUGUAAGUAUUAAAAUCAAAGAGGAAAUCAUGAAACAACUUGAAGCCAAAGUAAUUCGAGUGGCUCGUUAUCCCAUGUGGUUAUCCAUUGUUGUUCCCAUACCAAAGAAAGAUGACAAAAUUCAAGUGUGUGUUAAUUAUCAUGAUUUGAACAAAGCAAGUCCGAAAGAUGAUUUUCCACUGCCCAACAUUCAUAUUUUGCUAGACAGCUGUGCUAAACAUGAGGUUUCCUCUUUUGUGGAUUGAUAUGCUAGAUAUCACCAGAUCAUUAUAGAUGAUGAAGAUGCAGAGAAAAUAUCUUUUAUCACACCAUAGGGGACCUAUUAUUAUCGAGUGAUGCCAUUCGGUUUGAAGAAUGCUGGAGCAACAUACAUGAGAUCCAUGACCACUAUGUUUCACGAUAUGAUGCAUAAGGAGAUUGAGGCAUACGUGGAUGAUGUGAUUAUUAAGUCAAAAAGCCGGGCCAACCAUGUUAAAGAUUUAAGAAAGUUCUUUGAAAGGCUUCGCAGGUAUAUUCUCAAGCUCAACCCGACAAAAUGUGUAUUUGGAGUUCCGUCUGGAAAGCUAUUGGGAUUUAUGGUCAGUCGUCGGGGGAUUGAAUUGGAUCUCUCGAAAAUCAAAACCAUUUAGGAUUUGCCCCUGCCCAAGAAUAGGACGGAGGUAAUGAGUUUGCUUGGUAGAAUAAACUACAUUAGCAGGUUUAUUGCUCAACUCACAACCACUUGUGAGCCCAUAUUCAAGUUGCUAAAAAUGAGUGUUGCAGUAGAAUGGACUGAAGAAUGUCAGGAAGCAUUCGACAGAAUCAAAAGAAAGAUGGUUCUUUGCGUAUGUUCAUUGACUAUCGCCAUCUUAACAAGGUUACGAUCAAGAAAAAUACCCUCUUCCUAGAAUUGAUAACCUGUUUGAUCAAUUGCAAAGUGAAAGUUAUUUCUCAAAGCUAUACCUUAGAUCUGACUAUCACCAACUCAAAGUAAAGGCGUGUGAUAUUCCAAAGACUGCCUUCCGAACCCGUUAUGGUCAUUUCGAGUUUCUAGUCAUGUCUUUGGGGAUAACCAAUGCUCCAACAACUUUCAUGGACAUCAUGAAUUGAGUGUUCAAAUAGUAUUUUGAUAUGUUUGUCAUAGUGUUCAUAGAUGAUAUCCUUGUAUACUCCUGUAGUGAGGAUGACCAUACAGAUCAUCUUAGAGUUUACUUGCAAACUCUUAGAGAUCAUCAAUUAUUUGCCAAAUUCAUCAAGUGUGAGCUUUGGCUAAGUUCAGUAGCCUUCCUGGGUUAUAUCGUUUCAGCCGAAGGCAUUAGAGUUGAUCCCCAAAAUAUAGAAGAUGUAAGAAAUUGGCCUAGACCUAUCUCUCCACAAAAAAUGAGGAGUUUCUUAGGUCUACCUGGCUAUUACCAAUGUUUUGUUGAAGGUUUCUUAUCUUUUGCAUCUCUUAUGAUCCGGUUGACUCAAAAGAAGGUUAAGUUUCUGUGGACAGAUUCUUGCGAGAAGAGUUUUCAGGAGUUGAAGACUUGACUCACUUCAACCUCAGUGCUAGCAUUACCUGAUGGUACAGAUAGAUUUGUGGUGUAUUGUGAUGCCUCUAGAGUUGGUUUGGGUUGUGUGUUGAUGUAGAGAGGUAAGGUUAUAGCCUAUACCUCUAAACAGUUGAAGCUGCAUAAAAAGAAUUACCCAACCCAUGAUCUUGAAUUAGCUACUGUGGUUUUUGCUUUGAAAAUUCAGAGACACUAUCUAUAUGGUGUUCAUGUGGAUGUCUUUACAGAUCACAAAAGCUUGCAGUAUGUGUUUACUCAGAGGGAGUUGAAUCUUUGUCAGAGGAGAUAUUUGGAGUUGCUAAAAAACUAUGAUAUGAGUGUGUUGUAUCAUCUAGGCAAGGCCAAUGUAGUGGCAGACGUCCUUAGUAGGUUGUCUAUGGUCAGUGUGGCUCACGUGGAGAAGGAUAAGAAAAAAUUAGCUCAUGAUGUUCAUUGUUUGGCUAGAUUGGGAGUUAUAUUGCUUGACUCGGUUGAAGGUAAUGUUUGGGUUCAGAGUAGUUUCGAACCCUCUUUAGUUUCAGAAGUGAAGAAGAAGCAAGCCAUGGACUCUAUUUUGGUCAAACUGAAGGAUUCAGUUAAAGACCAAAAGGUAGAGGUUUUCUCCCAAGGGGAAGUUGGUGUGUUGAGAUUUUAUGGUAGAUUGUGUGUCCCUUGUGUUGAUCAUUUGAGGCAGAGAAUUAUGGCUGAUAUGCAUGGCGCGCGAUAUUCUAUUCAUUCCAGCGCUACCAAGAUGUACCUCGACUUGCGGGAAAUCUAUUGGUGGAAUGGUAUGAAGAAGGAUAUAGAAAAGUUUGAAGCAAAGUGUACAACUUUCCAACAGGUUAAUAUAGAUCACCAAAGGACUGGUGGUAUGGUGUUUGGCAUCCCCACUUGGAAGUGGGAAGAGGUGAACAUGGAUUUUGUAACUGGUCAACCCCUUUUGCUUCAUCAUCAUGAUUUGAUUUGGGUUGUUAUAAACAGGUUAACUAAGUCAGUGCAUUUUCUGUUAGUGCAUACAUCUUAUACAGCUGAGGAUUAUGCUAGGUUGUAUAUCCGAGAGUUAGUCAAAUUGCACGGAGUUCCCUUGUCUAUCAUUUUGGAUAGAGGUACUCACUUUACUUCUCAGUUUUGGAGAACUUUUUAGAAGAUCCUUGGUACCUAGGUUCAUCUUAGUUCCGCUUUUGAUCCGCAGACAGAUAGUCAGGCUAAGAGGAGCAUUUAGACUUCGGAAGAUAUGUUGAGAGCAUGUGCUCUAGAUUUCAAAGAUAGUUGAGAUGAGUAUUUGCCAUUGAUUGAAUUCGCGUAUAAUAAUAGUUAUCACUCUAGUAUCCAGAUGGCCCGUUUGAGGCUCUUUAUGGAAGGAGAUAUAGAUCACCCAUAGGUUGCUUUGAAGUGGGUGAAACUUCUUUGCUUGGGCCUGAUACAGUGUUUGAGGCUAUGGAGAAAGUUAAGUUGAUUAGAGAAAGAUUAAAGACAGCCCAGAUUCAUCAGAAGUCAUAUGCAGACGUGAGGAGAAGGGACCUAGAGUUUGAGGUGGGUAAUUUGGUGUACUUUAAGAUUUCACCCAUGAAAAGGGUGAAGAGAUUUGGCAAGAAGGGGAAGCUUAGUCCCCAUAUUGGCCUCCAUCGAAUUCUGAGUCAAGUUGGGAAAGUAGCUUAUGAGGUUGAGUUGCCUGCAGAUUUGUCAGCUAUUCAUCCUGUCUUUCAUGUGUCCUUGCUUAAGAAGUGCAUCAGUGAGUCCGCCUUAGUAGAUCCUUCAGAGGGCUUAGAUAUUUAGAGCAGUCUUUCGUAUGAAGAGGUUUAAGUUGAGAUUCUAGAUCGCCAGAUCCGAAGACUAUGGAACAAAGAAGUUCUCUUGGUCAAAGUUCUGUGGAGAAAUCAAUCAGUUGAGGGCGCUACUUGGGAAGCAGAAGCAGACAUGCGAGACAAGUACCCGUAUCUCUUCUCCACAAACUCAGAUAUAUUUGAAGGUGCUGCUCUUCCUUAAUUCAUCCCCUUUCUAAUCAAACAUUUAGCUAUAAAGUUAUUCUUAUUAUGAGAUCAUACAUUCUCUAAAGUACUCAAAAGUGUAGAAUGAUGUGGAGUCAGUUUAGCAAUUUAUUUCAGUUGUGCAUCCUUAGUUUUCUCUGUAUUCUUAGCCUAACUAGUGGCAUUCCAGGACGAAUGUUCCCAAGGGGGAGAUAUGGUAAGGCCCCGCAAAAUCCUCAUCGUGUAAGUCCCUUAAAGAGUUCAAAAGAGUUCCUAGACUUAGAAAAUCUAGCUAAGUGUUGGUAUUUAGUCAUUUUUGAAGCCUCAAAACAUUGAGGAUUUUAUGGCCGACCUUCCCGACAUUCGAUAGUUGAUAUAUUAUCUUAUUCAUGAUCAGGAAGGUCAAUAGGUGUUCCCAAAUAAGUUUCAGAUUUUUCAGACUGAGUUUAGACCACGUUUGGUAUCCCAAAAUAGUGGACCAAUGUGAUCUUAGCGCGCUGUGUCUCCUAUCGCAUUGGUCAAUAUUGUUGUAGGAAUUUUCAGUCAAAAGUACUGAGGCUUGGCAUGAUCAUGGCGCAAUGCGUCGAGUAUCGCAUCGAUGCCAUCAACGUGCCUCGUCGACAACCGCAUCGGUGCCCAGUUUUUAGCUUUUGAAAAUCCACGUCCAAGGGGCCAAGUAAGUCAUUUUCCCUUAUCCUAAUUCAGUCUUAACACGAUAUUAAAGUCCCAAAACAUAAAAAAUAGCAAGUUACUCAAAUUCUAUCAAGAACACCUCCUAGAGUUUCAACCCUAAGUUCAAAAAGAUUCAAGAUUUCAUCGUUACUUCUCAAAUUUUAUUCAAGAAUUAGAAUCCCCAGGCCAAGAGUUUCAAGAAUCAUCCUUCAAAAGUACAAAUAGUCUCACAAAAUAAAGAGUUCAUCCAAAGCUAAUAACCUAAGGUAUGUGGGGUUUGAACAAAAACAAUCUUUCGUUCUUGUGCCAAAAGUUUUUAUUUUUAUUAAAGAAUUUUAUGAUUUGCAAUUGGGGUUGAUGCCCAAACUACUUUAUUUUGAGUUUAUGAAUUUAUAAGUUGUUCAAGUGUUAAAAUUGCAUGUUAUUUCACUAAGUUAUGCUGGAAUUUGAGAAUUUAUGAUAUGAAUUGCACAUCCCUACAAUGUAGUGGCGUUUUUGAGUGUUUUUUAAGGUUGAAGUCAAGAUUUAAACUUCAUUUUGAAAAUUGUGAUCAUUUAAGUACAAGCAUAUGUAUAUUCCUUAAGUCCAAGAAUGGAUUUUGAUAUUUGUUGAAGUAUUUCAAGAAGUGUAUUGAUUUGUUGAAGUAUUUCAAGAAGUGUAUUGAUAUCUCCAUGAGAUUAUGAUUUUAAGCCUCUUGAUGAUUGUCUACCAAGAUUUAAAGAAAAUUGAUGAUUUGACCCUAAGCUAAGAUAGGAAUCCACAUUAUUGAUGAUUUGAAGAAAAUAGAAACUUAGAUAGCUUUAAGUAUACAUCCUUGUGUUAUUUUAAGGUGAAUUUCUUAAAAGUUCUGAGCCUAAGUAUGGGAGUAGUAUUUAUCAUCGAGUUGGUCUUGAUUCCAAGGUCUCAUGCCCCAGAACUACAAGCCACCAUAGGAUUUUGAUUUACCCCAAGUGGGUUAAGAUAGUGAUCACCAAAGUUAAGGUUCUAUUCUAAUGGCAAGGGUAGAACAGCUCUCCCCAACGUGGGAAAAACAUUGGACUCCAUGUUAGGUCACAUGGUUUAUGUUGGUUAGAAGAAACUCCCAAAGUCACAAAGAGUCCCAAAGUUCCAUAAUCCCAAGUCUUUGAGUCCCUAAGUUUUAAAAGAAGUUCUUUAUUCUCCUUAAGAUAAACAUUUAUGUUGUGAAAAUUAUUGUUUUAAGAUUUCUUUCAUUUACAAGCUUUGAGAAUAAGAGGAGAAUACAAAUUUUAAAACUAAGUAUAAUGACUCACGAGAUUUAUGCUACAUGCUUCGUUAUUCAUGAUUUAUAUGAGAUUUAGAUUUCAGAUUUAUUCAAACCAUGUGAGUCAUUUAUGUCAGCAUGCAUAAUUUUAUAAAGAUUGAUGUUAUUGUUUAAUUAAUACAUACACCCCCAUAUACUCAGUACAUCCUUAAAGUACUGAUCUACAUAUACGUUUGUGUGCUACAUUAUCUCAUAAUGUAGGUUCAGGUGCUCAGUCUCAGCAGCGACAGUUAUUUUCGAGUACCUUUAUCUAUACUUUCGCAGUUGGUGAGUCCUCAUGGUUCGAGGACCUAUUUCCUUGAUUUUAGUCUUCGUAGUAGUUGGUUUAUUUGUUUUUAGUUGGGGGUUUAUCCUAAUGACUCUGUAGUUCCUUAGCAAGUAGAGGCUUGUCGAACUAUUAGUUGAAGUUUUCAGAUUUCCAGUAUUUGCUAUCCAUAUGAUGUUUUCUAUCAUUUCAGUUCAAAUUUGAUAUAAUAUAGUAUUAUUGCUUGGUCUACUCAUCCUAAAGUAAGUGUUAGAAGUAGUAGCAGGCUCAAAGGGUUAGCUUAAGGCUACUUGUAUUCUUAAGCACUGUGUGACGCUUCAGGAAGAGAUUUUGGGGUGCUACAUCGAAUUCCUGAUCCAACAAUUUUUAUUAAAUAUUUAUUAUAAAUAUUUCCUUAUUAGAAUUCAUCAGAAUUUAUAACAAUUAAUACAAAAUGUAAUAAAUACCUAAUUUUUAAAAGUUUUAAGUAAGUAUUUAAAGAUUUUCUAUAGACCUAACUAUAAAAAUAAGAAAAAAAAUUAAAUAUUGAAAAAGUAAAAAAAAAUAAUUGUACUACAAAUAUGGUUCAAAUCAAUGCAUCUAUUUUAACCUCUAGCAGCAAGAAAAAGAUCUAGAGGUACUGCAUGACACACGUAACCUCUAGCAGCAAGGAAAAGAUCUAGAGAAACUUCAUGACAAACGUAAAACUGAUGAUUCAUGAACCACUUGAAACUUCUAGUGGUAAAAUAUAUAUAUGCUUACAAUAAAAUAUAUAUUAUGUUUACUUUUUUAUAUUUAAGUGUGAAACAUCUUUUAGAAGUGGUUUGAACAUUUUGCAAUUCAUUAAAAACAUUCACAAUAGAUAAAAUCAUCUAAUUUAAAUAAUCAAAUGUUACACGUGCGAGAGAUGUGUGGCUAAACUAGUUGAAAAUAAAAGUGAAAACAUUGUGUGACCCCAGGAUCCUGUUUUAGAAUACAAUUAACCAAAACAUGUUAACUAAUCGAUUACGAUAAAUUGGAUUGCAUUUUUCUCUUUUUUUCUGUAGUACCUCGACGUGACAUAAGCGUGAAAGGGGUUCAAGAAUCCAUUUUCUUUAUAUAAAGGCUAAAUCACUUAUUUGGGCUUUUUUACCCCCGACCUACACAAGUGGUUUCCCACAUAGAAAAGUUCUGUUAUGUUCUUUGUAGAAAUCGACGAACCUUUCUUCUCUUACUUCACAUAUCUUUUAGUCUCCUUGAUAGCUGGAAGUUCUCCAAAAGUAUGAAAGGUUGGAGGACUUUGUACCAUCCAUUUCGGUGUGGUUGGAUUCUGUUCAACAUCCCAAGGACUUGAAGCACAUCUUUUGUUCUUUCCACUACUUGAAGUGAUUGUUACGACCACGAAGAAAUGAAAAAUCCCAACUACGGAAAUAUAAGAGCCUAAACUGCUAAGGGAAUUCCAUCCAGUGUAAGCAUCUUGAUAAUCUAGAAUGUGAUGUGGCAUACCCAAAAACCCUAAGAAAUGCAUAGGAAAGAAGGUUAUAUUAACCCUGAAAAAAGUGAUCCACAAAUGGAUUUGACCUAAAGUUUUAGGGUAUGUCUGACCAAAGAUUUUACCUACCCAAUAGUGAAAUCUUACAAAUAAAGAAAAAACGGCUCCCAUAGAAAGUACAUAAUGGAAAUGUGCAACCACAUAAUAAGUAUCAUGUAGUGCAAUGUCUAGCCCAAAAUUUUCCAGAACUAUUCCAGUGAGUCCUCAUAUAGUGAAUAAAAAGAUGAACUCUACAACAAAUAACAUGGUUGUUUUGGAAUUUAUCGCAAACACCCCCCCCCCCUUCCCCCAUAGUAGCGAUCCAACUAAAGAUUUUGAUUUCAGUGGGGACAACUAUGAUCACGGUAGCUGCGGUGAAGUAGGCACAGAUAUCAACGUCUAAGUCCACAGUAAACAUAUUAUGAGACCAAACAAGAAAUUCAAGAACACCUAUACUAAUCAUGGCAUAAAUCAUGCCUAGAUACUUGAAAACUAAUUUUCCCAAAAAAGUCGAAAUGAUAUGACUUAUGAUACCAAAUCCAGGCAGAGUGGGAAUAUACACCUUUGGAUGAUCGAAGAACCAAAAGAGAUGCUGGUAUAAUAUGGGGUCUCCCCCUCCAGCAGGAUCAUAAAAGUUUGUAUUAAAGUUUCAAUCGGUUAAUAACAUGGUAAUUACCCCUGCCUGUACCGGAAGUGAUAAUAAAAGUGGAAAUAAUGUCACUAGAACGGACGACACAAAUAGAGGUGAUCUAUGCAUAGUCAUUCCAGGUCCACUCAUGUUGAAGAUAAGUUUUAUAAAAUUAAUAUAACCUAAACUAGAUGAAACACGAGAUAGAUAAAGACUAGAAAUUGCCAAAUCAACUACUCCUCCAGAAUGGCUGGUAAUACCACUUAAGGGCGGAUAGACUGUCCACCAAGUGCUGCUACCUACUUCUACUAAGGCUGAUCUUAAUAGAAGCAAGAGACUUGGAGGAAACAACCAAAAUCUAAUAUUAUUUAAUCGUGUAAAUGCUAUGUCAGUCGCACCUAUCAGAAUCGGAAUAGACCAAUUACCAGAUUCACCUAUCAUUGCUGGUAUAACCAUAAAAAAAAUUAUUAAAAAAGUGUGAGCCAUUAUUAAAACAUUUUAAAGUUGAUUAUUCCCACCAAGAAUUUUCUAACACCUCAAAAAUCUAUCCCAAGAUGUCACACAAUGCUAAGGACCACAAGUGAUCCCAAGCUAACCCUUCUACUGGCAUAACUCAUAAGCAACUGAAUAAUAUGUAAAAAAUGAUUGAGUUUACUAAGAGAAAACAUAAAAAUGAUGGAAUUUGUAAAAUACAAUACUGAUACAACUUUUACAUUCUGAUGAAGUUUGAAAAGAGGGACUAAAAGUUACAUAACUGACUUUAACUUUCAUAUGUGAAGCCUCUACUAUACUGACUAUAGAUAGCUAGGAUGCGACCCCAACUACCACUAAUCGAUACAAAUGAGUAAGGAAGUAAAGAAAAUAAAUAAAUCUAACUGAAGUCCCCAAAGUAGGAGGACUCAUCAUCUCGCAGACAGGAAUCUGCAACUGUCUGAUUCUGAAUACGCAUACUAAAACUUGUACCUACAUUAUGAGACAAUGUAGCACAUAAACAUAUAUGUGGAUCAUUACUUUGAGGAUGUACUAAGUAUAUGGGGGUGAAUGAAUAAGUAAAACAUAAUAUCAAUCAUCAUAAUUUGUAAAAAUAAUGCAUGCUAAAUGUAAAUGACUCACAUAAGCUGAAAUAUCUGAAAUACUGAAAUUUGAAAUCAUGAAUAAUAAAUCAUACUUUACAAAUCUAGAGAGUCAUAACAUUUAGUUAUAAAUAUUGUACUUGUAUUCUCUCUUUAAAUUAUACUAUCUAAGUGUAGAAAGGACUCACUUUUAAAUCUGAAAGCUGAAAUCUGUAGCUAAUAUCUUUUUGUAAAGCAUAAUCUGAGUAAAAUUUGUGAGCUUUUACACUUAGUUUUCUGAAAGUUUUUCUGUAAGACUCUUAUCUUUAGGAAAACACUUUAAAACUAUACUGCAAGGGCGGUUCUCUUAACCAACAUAAACCAUAGGAGCUACAUGGAGUCAACCGUCUUGUCCUCCUAAGGAAUAAACCUCAUGUUGGAGAGAGGUGUCAUACUCAUGCCAGGGAGUAUAACCUACCCAGGUCAUCAAUCACAAGCUAAAUCUGUCAUCCAAGUAGAAGUGGGAAUAAUCUGAUAAUCUGCACCUACGUUAGCUACGUAGUUCUGUGGAAGUAGGAUGCCCUAAACCCACACUCCCAGCUUGGUGCUAAAUACUACUCUCUUUUUAUUUUCUACGCUCAUUUUAUUUGAAAAUCCACUUUAAAACUAGCAUAUUAUCAAAAACUAAUUAUGCGUUUAUCUGAUGAAAUUCGUAAAUCAAACUGAGCUAAAUUCUAUACUCAAAUUUGUAAUCUGUAAUAAAUUCUAAAAAGUGGAUUCCAUAGCUAAAUUAAGGAUCUAAAGAUCAAAUACUGUUUAUAUAACUGAAAAUAUGCUAAUCUCAGCAUGCUUAAAAACACAAGUUCUUGAAAUAUCAAUACUCAAACUAGGACCUAAUAACCUAUGCUUCAAACUCAUGUAAAUUCAUAAUAAAUCAUCAUGCUCAAUAUGUUUCUUGAAAAUAUUUCAACCAUAUCAAAAUAAUAAAAUCAGGAAUCACAAUGUCAUGCUUAAACUCAAUUGGAAAAGUUGUAAACAAUAUCUCAAAUCAUGCUCAUGGCAUUCAAAAUCAUAAAAGAGCAUUCUUUAACUCAAAAUAAAUAUGGGAUUGCAUAAUUCAAUCAUACCGUACUCAAAAUCAUCAAUAAGAUACUUUGGGUAUAAACCCCAAUUUCAAAUCAUAAAAAAUUUGUUGAAAAACAUAAUUUUGGCACAAGUAUGAAAGGAUUGUCCUUGUUCAAUCGCCACAUACAUUAAUUAUUCUUGAAUUGUGAAGAAAGCUUAAAUCUUGGAGUUUGAAUGAUGAACUUGUGAAAGAUACUUUAUUUUUUAUAUCUCUUGAAGAAUAAUUGAACUUGGAAGAUUGAACUCUAGAUUUCUUGGAUGAAUCUUGAAAUUAAUGCUUGAAUUCUAAUGUUCUUGAGAGAAAAAUCUUGAAACUCAUUCAUAGGGGAAAAGGGAGGGUUUACGUGAGUUUUGAUGAUGAAAAAUGGGAAAAUAAUGCCCUUAGGGGUGUUAUAAAUCAUUUUGGAUGGCUGGGGAUGGGAAAAGGACUAUACUACCCCUUCGCCUCUCUUUCGUGUAAAUGACCAUCAUGGAGUGACCCCCAGAAGUGAAAAUGAAUCUCACUUCGCGCCUCCCAAAAAUGUGAAUGAAACUCGCAUCGUGAGCUUAUCGCGAGGGCUCACUACCUCACACAAAAAAUAACAUAACUUUUCACUCAGGAAUCGGAUUUUAGCGAAAUUGGUAUCGUUGGAAAGCUAAUUAGAUUAUAUACAAUUUGGUGGGUCAUAAGAUGAAAAAAUCCAUGUAUAUAAAAAUUUAUACAUAUUUAAAUUAUACCCUUAUAGAAUCGAAUACCAAACUCUAGGCGAAUCAAAGGAUCUUAGCUCAAAUUGGCUCUAAAUGAUUUCUAUGAACAUUUUUAACCUCAUGAGCAUUUCAAACACUAGUAUAAGGAUCAUAAAACUUGUAUCCACAUGGGGAUCAUUUUUAUUAGAGCUUAAACGUGUAGGAACGAUGGUUCAUAGACUAUCCUAAAAAUGCGAGGUGUUACAAAUUUGAUUGCCGGGUCGUGCUAAUUCUAUAUGAAUUAGUAUUGAGAAACAUGUGCCCAUCACUCCAGCAAUGGAACUGAAUAUGAAAUAAAGAGUCCCUAUAUCCUUGUGGUUAGUAGAGAACAGCCAUCAGACUAGAUUUGUCAUAAAAUUGAGAUUCUUUUGUUUUCUUCCUUAUCAGAGAAGGGCGUGCGAGGCUUAUUUAUUAAAAAAAGGGGGUGGGGAAAGGGUGUGGAAUAAUGGAAAGCCCAAACUUUUUUAAUCAGAAAUUUUGAUCCCCUUUUCCUCUCAUCCUCCCCCAGUUCUGGUUCAGGAAAUGGUCAACGCAAGGAUCUUAUUUUGAAGGAAUCUUUGGAGUUUUCCCUUAUCCGAACGGGUCUCGCAAGAAAAUUGGAUUUCAUAUUGAGCUCCAAAUAUAAUCUAUUAGGAUAGUAUGGCUCCUACUAUCUCUCCACCCUAAGGACCCUACGUGUGAGUUCCCCUGUAUACGGCUCAAGUGGCGAAGGCCCUUAUCAAUAUGAGGUGAUCGUAACACAGUAUAUAAGACUCGUGAUUCAAGCAAUCCAAUCUUCCGUGUGUAAGGAGGAAGCUCCCCAAAUUUUUUUUCAAAAGAUCGAAUUACUAUGCCUAUCUUGGUGGUCGUUACUUUUGGUGCUCUUUCUUUCUGGCUGGCUUGUCUAAGUGCUCUCCUUUAUCCAUUGUUUAUCUCAUAAUCAUUCGAUUCCACCUCUAAGGCUAGCUCCUUCUCCUCCUCCUUCUCCUGACGGAUAGGAUCCUCCUUAGUCUUUUUUACAUAACACUCUUGACCACCCAAGAGAACUGGCUAUCUUUCUCUUUACUUACGCAAUUUCUUUUUUUUUUGAAGAGUCUCUUCUUUUUUGGAUGCUCCCGCAACAAGUUCUUUUCGAUAUUGUAAUAUUAUUGCUUGCCACUCUUCGGUCCGGUAAAUUAACUCCAACCAAGCCCAACACUUAAGACGACACUACUUCAACAUUCAAUCGCACAACAUUAAAGGUAGCAAGACUGAUGGAUUAUAACAGCAUCAGACCAUUGAAAACAUACCUAACCAAUUAGGAACUAGACAAACCGCAAGUCGAUAUAAUAGUAGUUCCUUCCAAAGGCAAAGUGAAGUCCCAACUUUCCUCAUAACACUAGACAUCUCGUACUAGAGAUUCUAACAAAGAACGACUGCUUCGUAACUGCUACUUCUGUAACAGAACAUGUUACUGCUUAAAGCAAUAAAAAUGGCUAAAACUUAUCGCAAGAUUGGAAAGAACACCAGCCCGCACAGACAACAAUGACACGAUUUCAAAUACAGGUAAAAGGGGGAUAGAAAUAAACUACAAACCCAUCUGUUAUACUAUAUAAAACCUAAGCUGAUAGAAAAGGGUUGUGACCACCAAGCAAGAAGGACACCAAAAUGAGUCUAUAGUCUAUACCAGUGCCGGUAAUAGUGAGGUUUCUUUUUACUUAGCCAAAGAUGAAUAAGGCCAAUAGCCAGCCUUUUUAACAAUCGGAAGGGAAGAAAGAUCCAACUGAAAAGGCUUUAAAGAAGAGAUGAAAGAAUUGUUACAAACAAAGCAAAGAGCUUGAUGGAAGCCCUCUCAUACUUUCUCAACUGAUAAAGCGAGCUAGGUUUGAGGGGAAUCAGAAAGGGAUCGAACGCUCUAUUAGUGGUCGACUGCCACCUUUCCGCUUUGGAUUCUCUUUUCCCCCAAAAGAAAUAUCGAUCGUCCUUACCAUUUCAAUCCCCACCCUCAAGUGAGAAGGAUAUUUUGUUGCUAUCUACUCUAGUAAUAUUACUCAUUCAUAUCCCUCAAUCAAUCAAGCAAAGGGGGCUAGGUUGUAAUACAAAAUCAUAACCAUUUAUUUCCCCACAAUUCCUUACCUUAAGUAGCGGGGUAAGCCAAUAAAGGGGAAGGACUAAAAUGCUAUAGUGACCCAUCGAAAGAGCUAGACAAAAAGGAGAAAACCAUACUACUAUAUCCCAACUCAAGUUAUAUACACAGAUAUACAAAUAAUUUUUUUUGACGUUCACGGUUGCACGUGCACCCCCACCUAUAUAUAUGUGGGUUCGCCUCUGUAUUUAGUGGUUAUUCUCAUAAAUAUUUUGAUUAAAUUAACAAGAAAAAAAUUAUAGUGUUUUAAUAUUAAAAAAAUUUAAAAACUUUCCAGCGUUUUAAUGAAAAUCUAUUUCUCAUCAUGCAUUUUUUUAAGUGAACCGAUUCAUUGAAAAAUGGAUAGAAUAUAUCAUGCUUAUGACACACAUUUUUCAUUUUGAUUCGUUGUGAAAAGAGACUACUUGAUGAGAAUAUAUUGGAUAUAUUAUUGUUGCAAAAAAAAAAGGCCUCAAUAAAAAUAUAUAUGGAAGGAACUUUUGGGGAAAGAAAGAUAACGACCAACAUAUGUUUGGAAACAUAUGAGAACUAGGGAGAGAUUUUGUAAGUAAAUCCGCAGAAAUAUGAGAAACACGAAGCUCGCCAUUUUGAACCAUAUUGUGAACAAAAUGAUAAUCAACCUCGAGAUGCUUCAUCCGCGUAUGAAACACUGGAUUGGAAGCGAGAUAUGUGGCACCUAAAUUAUCGCAGUAGACAACUGGCUGCCUUGGUAAUGAAAUAGCAAUCUCACGAAGUAAGUUCUGAAUCCACUAAAUUUCAGUAGUAGCAGAGGCAACUGAGCGGUAUUCUGCUUCAGUCUAUGAUCUAGCUACACUCUGAUGUUUCUUUGAGCUCCAAGAGACUAGAUUUUUACCAAGAUAUACAAGAAAAGCACUGGUGGAAGAGCAGUCAUCCUUAUUGCCUGCCCAAUCUGCGUCUGAGAAGGCAUGAAGAUCAAGCAGAGACUUAUGAUGGAAAAAGAGACCAUAGUUCACCGUUCCAACUAAGUAGCAAACAACACGUUUGACUGCAGACCAAUGAUUUUCAGUCGGACGAUGGGAGAAUUUUGCUAGCUUAUUUACGACAAAGGCUAUAUCUGGUCUUGUUAAUGCCAAAUACUGUAAGCUGCCAACUACAGUAUGAUAAAGCUUGAAAUCAUCAAGAUGUGAGCUGUCCUCCAAGCAUAAUGAAUUUCCAAUAGACAUGGGAGUAUUGACUACUUUCGCACCUGCCAUUUGUGUCUUGGAAAUUAUGUCAUUAAUAUACUUCUUCUGAGAUAGGAAGAUUCCAUCAGACAUUCUCACAACUUGAACACCAAGAAAAUAAUUAAGAGAGCUAAAAUAUUUGAUAGAGAAGCAUUGCCCAAGUCUCAAAAUAAAUCUAUCGACAACAUUAGGAUUACUCCCAGUAACAAUCAAGUCAUCAACAUAGACGACCAAGUAAAUAGUGAUGCACAACUGAUUGUAAAUGAAGAGACAAUGAUCGGCUUGAGAAACUUGAAAACCCAAAGUUAGAAAAUAGCUCCGUAGUUCUGAGUACCAAGCUCGUGGUGCCUGUUUAAGCCCAUAAAUUGCCUUCUUGAGUUUGCAGACAUGUUGAAGACUUGUUUGGUUAACAGAACCUUUAGGUUGAGCCAUAUAAACCUCUUUCGUUAGUUGACCAUUCAAGAAGGCAUUAUUAACAUCUAAUUGUCGCAAAGGCCAAUCUCUGGUAAUGACUACAGUUAAAAUAACUCGAACUGUAGCGUGCUUAGCAACUGGAGAAAAGGUCUCAAUAUAAUCAAUGCCCGGCCAUUGUGUAAAUCCUUGAGCGACAAGAAGUGCUUUAUAUUUGUUUAAUGUCCCAUCAAAAUUUAGCUUGACUCAAAAAAUCCAUUUAGAGCCAACUAACUUUUGCUUUGCAGUAGAUGGAACGAGCUCCCAUGUGCCUUGUUCUUGUAAUGCAUGAAUUUCUUCUUCCAUGGCUGCCCUCCAAUCAGGAUUAUUUAGUGCUCUUGACAAAGACUUUGGCUUAGAUUUGAUGUUGGAUGUAUUGACAGGGACUUUAGAUGGCGUGUCAUUGGCUUGGAUGAGAGAGUUGUCUUUCAUUUCAGAAAGAGUAGUGUGCAUGCAUAACUCAUGUGUUGGCUUAUGAAUAUUAUUCUUUGCUCGGGUGAUCAUGGGAUGAGUGUUUCUUGGUAAGUCCCUGUCAUGAUUAGAAGAUAAUAAAGUGGGAGAUGAAUUUAGUAAGGAGCUCAUACCUGAAACAUAUACUGAUGAUGAUGGAAUACUGACGUUUGAAGCUAUUGGAGUGGUUGGGCCAGCGAAAGGACAUUCAUGGCCGACCAAAUUUGUACUAGAAGAUAGAGAUCGUCCAGUAGUCGGGGAGGAACAAGUUGGGUUAGAAAGGGGUGAGUGUCGAACGAUGAAAUGAGGAGUCCACUGGUCAACAGUAGCAAAAUCUACAUGUCUUGAAAUAAAAAGUUUUGAGGUGACUGGAUCAUAGCAUUUAUAUGAACUUUGAUUUAAAGAAUAUCCAAGGAAGACACAUGGAGAUUCCAUUAGAAGCAAAGAAACCCUUCAAAUUGAUAAAUUCACCACCAUUGUCUGAGUAAAAUAAGACUAUAGAAUGAUUAAAGAAUUUCUCUACAAUAGCUUUAAAUUUUGGAAAAAUAUGCCCAACUUCAGAUUUUCUUUUCAUAGGAUAGAGCCAAACAUAUUUCGUAUAAUGAUCCAAAAAAUUGAGAUAAUAUUUAAAGCCAUCGAUAGAGACUAAAGGUGAAGAUCCCUAUACAUCAGAAUAAAUAAAUCCAAAGGACGCGUUGAUUUUAUUGAAGAAACUUAAAAAGGAGUCUUGUGCAUUUUAUUGCACUUACAAGAGUUGCAAGAAAAUUUAGAAGGAUUUAUUUGAAUCGGUAUAUCAAUCAGCUGCAGAGUGCGACGCAAUAUAGGAAAGGAAGGGUGACCAAGACGACAAUGCCAUUGUGAAACUGUGGAGAGUUCCGUGGAAUUGACAGUUGGGAUAGAAGAAGUAGAUUUUGCAGGGAGAAAUGAUGGUCACUCGUAAACGCCGUCCAUAGGCUUUCCCACUAUCAGAUGCUUCCUCGUGUAGUAAUCCUUCACAACAAAUGAGAAAGGUGAGAAUUUAACAGUAACAUUAUUCGAAGAGCAUAAUUGAUAAAUAGAAAUAAGAUUCUUUUUCAUUCGAGGGACACAGAGAACAUUAUUAAAGUAUAAAGGCCUUGAACGAGAAGGUAAGAAAGUAGAGCCAGAAUGUGUCAUAGCCAAGUUUUUACCAUCGCCCAACAUCACAUCUUCACUACCAUCAUAGUCGGAAUGAAUUGACAGAUUUUUUAGAUCUGCAGUAACAUGGUGUGAUGCACCAUAGUCUACCAACCAAUUAGGAUUAUUUUGGUUGGCGGUUUGAACAAAAUUUGCUCUUGGAUGAGCCCUUGUGUUUCCAGUAGUCGAGGAAUUCGAGCCACCAAUGGAAGAUGGCUUAGACCAAGUAAAUAAAUUCCAACAUUGCUUCACUUUAUGUCCAGCUUUGUCACAAUAUUGACAGAUCACAGUAGAACCAUCUCUAUGAUUCUUUGAUGAGGCAGAAUGAUUUUGCCUCAGAUUUGGGUUAGGCUGGACUUUGGAAGCAGAAUAAUGAUUUGUACGAUUGGUGUGUCUAUUUAAUCUACCAUUGUGAGAAGUAUAAUUUGCUAUUAUUGGACCAGAAAUGGAUGAAGCUUCAUGAGAAACACUGCUCUCAUAAUCACAAAGAUUUUCAUGGAGUUCAUCAAAAGAGAGAGGAGUUUCUCGCACACGAAUUGCAACAGAUAGCGUCUUAUACUCAGAGGGGAGUCCAUUAAGAACAUGAAUGGUAACAUCAUCUAUAGUUAGAUUUGCUCCAGCAGCAUUCAAAGUGGUAACAAGUUGCUUCACUUGUUUAAGGUACGACGCCAUAGAUUUAGUACCUUUGUUCCCUCGUAUCAAAGACUCCUUGAGUGUAAGGAGACGAGCACGCGAGGGUCGAGCAUACAAAUUGUGGAAAGUCAUCCACACAUCAUAGGAAAUUGCAUCUGAAAGGACAUUCGCUGCCACUUUUAAAAUGAGAGAGGCUACAAGUGCACUUUGGAGCAAUUGAUCCAGUCGGACCUAAAACAAAGAGUUCAAUUGUACUUCGGUAGGAGAAGAAACAACAUAAGAGGUAAAAUUAUAUCCAAUCAAUAUAGAACGCCAUUGAGAAUACCACAGUUGGUAAUUGGAUAACGAGAGUUUCACAGGAGAUUGAGCAUUUGUAUUAAUAGAUAUAAGUUGUUGGUCGUUUUCUGGUAAAGUGGUGUUUGUGAGUGGUAUGAAAGUUAUAACAGUGGAGUUGGUAUUAGGAAUAGAAGGAAGGCAUGGAAGUGCAAAAAUAACUUAUGGAGUGGUGGGAACUGUUGAGAGAUGAACAAUAGCAAAUGAUGUUAACGACGCUACUGAAGGGUUAACUGAAGUAGUAAUGGUUGUUGUUGGUGAAACGAAAGAUUGAGUGGUUUGAUCCAUAUGUACAGGAAAGUACUGGAGGACUCAGAGUUUGGGAAAAAAAAUUAGAUUUGUUGUAAGGCGAGCAGCUCCGAUACCAUAAAAGAUUUAGAAGAUGGUUGAAUUUCAAUGUUUAUUAUUCACAUAUUGUUUCACUAUUUAUACAAGAAGGUAAGAGAUAUUCUACCAAAAAUAGAAGAUGCUAAUUGUAGUAAAAUCCUAUCAACGUAAUUCAAGAAUAUUACAAAAGAUCAAAUCAUAUCAAUCACUUGAGAAUAGGAUGCCUUCCUUAUAAGUUCCAAGAUAAUCUUCAUCAGUAAGAGCGCGCUUGCUAAAAUAUGGAACAAUAAUUCAGAGUAAAAUAAUUGUAGACACAGUGCCUACAAAUGAUCUCAUCACUGCAAUCGCUAUCAUCAUUGCAAAAUCGAUAACAAGUAAUAAGACUAUCACAAAGUAAAAGUAAUUUACUUUCAUCUUUGCAAUAUCAAUUGGUAACUUUUUUAAAGAUAUCAUUUUAGGACGCCAACACAGAUUAAUUGCACGUUACAAAAUAUUUUACAAAGAAAAGUUAGGACAAUAAUAGAUGUUUCUUUACCUCUUUUUUUUUUUUCCUAUGAAGAGUUGGUGGAGACUUUCUUGAUAGAAAAAUAUUUCUAUAGAAGAACUAAUAUUGUAACUAGAAAUUUAUUAUGGGCAAAAUUUGAAAGGAAUAAUUGGAGAUAAAUAGGUUUGGCUUUUCGUAAAAUGCUCUUUUUUCAGUUAGUUAAAUUCAAAUAUUUGACAGAGGUAAAAGUAUUUAAAGUUUGGCUUUUCGUCUGCUCCUUUUUUUCAGUUAAUUAAAUUAAAAUAUUUGACAAAGAGAGAACAAAUCCACUCAAGAUGAAAGUUCAUAUAACAAAAAAAAGAAUAAUUGAUAAUUAGGAUAUGAAACUCAUAAAAAUAUAUUAAAUCACGUGUGGUAUUUUAAUCAGUAUCUCAACAAACAAAUAGUAAAUUGCAUAUAAAAUGAACACAAAUUAACAAUACAUAUUUAUUUAAGUUGUAACCCAUAUAUUACAAUAGUUGGAUAGUUCUCCAAUAAUUGGAAAACUAGCUAGGUUACAUAUUUAUCUUGAUUAUACAAACUUAAAAACACAACAUUAUUUAAAAGGCUUGCAUAUACACAAAGGCAUAUCAAACAUUUAAUAGUAGUUACAUUCAUCCUUUGCACACAAUAAAUGUAAUCUGGGCGCUUUAAGGAUACUUCACUCAUAACAACACACUAACUUUAUAAUUUUCUUAGAAGCACAAUAUUAUUUAAGUUGUUCGAAAGAAAGUUUCAAAAUAACCUUCACCAGUAAUAAUCCUGAACUUCAAAAUACGGAACAAUCAAAAUAAUACUUAGAAUAAAAACUUGAUUGUCGAUAACAAAUUUUACAUAAAGUUCCAUCACUGCAAUCACUAUCUGAAUUGCAUCUUCGAUAACAAGUCCUAUCAUUAUCAAAUGGAAGAAGUAAUUUUACUUUCAUCUCUGCAACAUCAAUUGGUAAGUCUCUUAAAGCCAUCACUUUAGGACCCCAAGAGAUAUUAACUACACAUAAAUUAAUUGUAAUAAUAAUUAGAAUAAUUAAUAUACACAAAUUAUUACAAAGAUAGAAGAGUGGUAAAAGUGAUACAAAAUCAUAUACAUUGAAAGAAAUAAAAAGUGAUACAAAAUCAUAUACAUUGAAAGAAACCUGAAGACGUUAAUUUUAAGCAUGGAGAGGAAAAAUUGGGUGUCAACAGGGGGGAUAAUGUCUUCGUCUAUCAAGAAUAUUCCUGAUGAAAUAUUAAGCGGUACGAGUUGAUAUUUUUUUAAUAUCUACAAGUCAUUUAUUAUACGAUAGUUGUAAAGAACUAAAAAUAUUUUAUAUUUUCUUGAUUUUUUCGUGUUCUUACUUUUAUAUAUUCUAAAUAAUUUCGCUCUGAAGAAUUUAAUUAUGUCACCAAUUAUAAUAUGUCAAUUUAUUUAUAUUGAUAAUACAAAAAUUCUUUAUUAUCUGAUUAUAUUUCAUAGAGUCAAUGGUAUUUAAGUAUAUAAGAACAUAGAUCAUGAUAUUAUUAUACUCCCUCUUCAUGUGUAGAAAUUUUUUUAAAGUAAGGACAAUAAUAGAUGUUUCUUUUGUCUUUUUUUUUUUUUUUUUUGUGGCUAUGAAAAAUUGGUUGAGACUUUCAUGAUUGAAAGAUAUUCUUAUAGAAGAACUAAUAUUGUGACUAAGUGUUGGAGUUCCACAUUGACCGGUUAAAGGGUCCUUAAUCUCCUUAUAUGGUCUUAGGCAACCUUCCCUCAUGAGCUAGCUUUUAGGGUUGAGUUAGGCCAAAGGCUUAUUCUUUACAUGAUAUCAGAGUCGGACCCAUAAUCUUUGUUCAUCGAUGUUGGGCUUUCAUAUUAUAUUGUCCGUGCUCUAGUUAACGAGGCCUGUGCAUGCGAGGGAAGGUUAAGUAUCUCACAUAAAAAAAGGAAUGGGUAAUUGAUCUCCUUAUAUGGAUCUAGAAAACCCUACCCUCAUGAGUUAGCGUUGGAGGUUGAGUUAGGCCCAAGAUCCAUUAUUUACACUAAGAAAUUUGAUCAUGGACAAAAUUUGAAAGAAAUAAUUGGAGAUAAACAGGUUUGGCUUUUCGUCAUGCUCUUUUUUCAAUAAGUUAAAUUUAAAUAUUUGAUAGUUAAAAAUAUUUAAAGUUCACUUUUCAUCGUGUUCUUUUUUUUCCAGUUAAUUAAAUUCAAACUUUUGAUAGAGAGAUCAGAUCCAUUUAAGAUGAAAAGUUCAUAUAAAAGAGAGAAUAAUUGAUAAUUAGGAUAUGAAACUCGCGAAAAAAAAUUAAUGCGCGUGUUAUUUUGACAAGUAGCUCAACAAAUAAAUGAUGAGUUGUAUACAAAAUGCAGACAAGUGAACAAUAUAUAUUUAUUUGAGUUGUAACUCAUAUAUUACAAUACAUAGAUAAUUCCCCAAUAUUUGGAAAACUAGCUAGUUACAUAUUUAUUUUCUUACUAUACGAACUUGGAAACACAACAUUAUUUAAAUUGCUUGAAUAAACACAAAGGCACAUCAAGUAUAUAACAGUAGUUACAUUCAUUCUUUGAGCACAGUAAUUAUAAUCUGUGUGCUUCAAGGAUACUUCACCAAUAACAACGCGCUUAUUAUUUAAUUUGCUUAGAAACACAAUAUUAUUUAACUUCCUCGAAGGAUAGUUUCGAAAUAAUCUUCACCAGUAAAAGCGUGCUUGUUGAAACAAUAUGGAACAGUCAUUCGAAGUAAAUAAUUAUAGACACAACAUCUGCAGAUAGUCACAUCACUGCAAUCGCUAUCACUUUUGCAAAAUCGAUAACAAGUAAGACCAUCACCAAGUAAAGGUAAUUUUACUUUCAUCUUUGCAAAAUCAAUUGGUAACUCUUUUAAAAUCAUCACGGGAUACUCUAUUUCAGAGAAACAUUGCGUUCAAUGACUUGGCGAUGUUUGUGGUCAUGAUGUUGAAUCUAUUUCCCGGGAAGUAAACCCUGCCUCAUUUUUUAAAUCCAACGUCAUGUUCGAGGCAAGCUGCUACGUCGGGGUAUAUUUUUAAGCAAGUUGACUUAGUCAUUAAACCCAUCCAAUGUGUACGCCUUAGCCGCAUGGUAGUACACAUGGAGAUAAUCUCCACAAUGGUGUUUCUUUCGAAUAUUUUCACUGAGAUACCUUAUACGCACUACAUGAUGUGCACAUGGAUAAUACUUUGUAAGGCCGUUGGCUAUGUUUACAUGUCUGUCGGAAAUGACGCACAAUUCAGGUUUGACUACGACAACAAACUUAACCAUCUCGAAGAAGAAGCUCCAUGACACAUCAUUCUCCUUGUACAUCAUACAAUACGUUAAGAAAUAGGUAUAAUUCUGCGUAUCUUGUGCAAUAGCGAAUAGUAACACACCCUUGUAAUUGCCGGAAAAAUGCGUUUCAUCAAUGAAAAUGACCUUUCUCAUGUGUUCAUAUCCAUGGAUAGAAGCCCCAAAAGUCAUAAAGUAGUACAUAAACUUGCCCGAGUCCUCGACCAUGAGGAAAUUUGUAGACCCUAGAUUGAGGCAAUUAAAAACAUAUGAAAAAGCUGUGUUUGGGUAUUCCUCGGACUAUGUUCUUCGCAGUGAUGCUUCCCAUCCAACACUUUAAAUAAGCAGGCCUGCAAUGUAUCUCCGUAAAGAUGAUCUUCUUGAUCUCUCUCGGGCUUGGAUCUUCGUUGUCGAUGAAAAAGUUCAAACAAAGUGAGGUAAUGACGUCCACACUGACAUUCUUGUGCUUAGCCGUCACAUGUUCAAUGCCACAACUAUGCUCACUGACGUACUUGUAGAUUUGAAACCUACUCGAUGCUUCGUUCGUACCACAUACCUCACCUUGUAGUAUUUCUUACAAGUCUUGUCCAUAGUGUAAUUGAAACACUUCUUCACCGAUGACUUCUUCAAGAAAAGUUUCAACAUUUUCUUGUCCUUGAAUAUUCAUCCUACACAAAAAUCGGUGCCAUUCGAAAAGAGUGGUUUGCUUGUGGUCCGAACUGUCCCUCAACACCGACUUCACACUCUUCUUCUUUAAAUUCUUCAGAAUUUUCCCAUGCAUGAUCACCCAUGCACUUGUAUUUCAUUGAGCUAUCAUCCGCUGCUUGGGGUGGGGGUGGGGAGGUUGAUGCGGAAGGUUGCUCCCGGGACCUUUCAACAACUUUAACCAUCAAAAUAGGCCUGAAAUUAUCAAAUUCAAUGCAAAGCAUGGACAAUUUCACGUGUCUAUCGUUCUUUAUGAAUGUUGGAUAGAUCCCCCCCCCCCCUCCCGUUCAUCAAAUAACUAAUGACCACGUCGCUUGGAUCGUAACUUGAUUCUCCACUCUUCAUUACGUUUUUAACUUUGUCGGGUAUGAACCAUUGCUAUGAAAAUCUUUGGAACAAGCUAAGGAGUGUUGGAAUGUUGCUAGUGAGCCUAAAAUCGAUUUGAAAAGUAGGAUCGAUUUUCAAGCUUUUUGACUGAAAAUGUAUGGAUAAAAAUAUGCGAAAACGACUUAAAAUAAUGGAGAUAAUGUCACUUUUUGAUAUAUGCACGGCGAAAUUUAUGAAAAAUCGCCAAAAAAUGACCGAAAAUCGCGAAAUAAUUGCUAUUAGUCGAGCUUGGUUGAGAAGAUUUGCUUUUUUAAAAAAAAAAAUAUCAAAUAUUUUUAUUUUUGACAUGGGCUAAAGUUUAGUUUUUAAAACAUAAGGGUUGAAGUGGGGGUCGAUUAAAGUGCACGUUUUUAAACUUGUGUGGUAGAAUUGAUACUUUUUUUAUGGUCUCAUUAGAGUGUCUUUUUGUAUUUCAAUUACAGCCAUCUUAUUGGUUUAGAUAACUUUUUCCUUUUUGUAGCAAAACCGAUUGCUAUAUGCCCAUAACAAUAUUUGAUGUUUUAUUUCAUUAUUAUUGACAGUAAAUUAUUUAGGAAUUUUUAAAUUAUUUUUAAUAUUGUAAAAGAUAAGAAUGAUAUUUAAAUUUUAUAUCGGAAAAAAAACAUGCAUAUUUUACUAAUUCAAAAUUAAAGAAAGCUAUGUCUUAUCAGUAAACAAAAAGUAAAGAUUUGUACAAAUGUUUUAGUAUUGUCGCAUAUUAAGAAACUGAAAUCUAUGAAAUAUCAUUUGUAUUGUUUGUACAUAUUACUCAAAUCUUAAAUUAAACUUUAUACAAGAUGAAAUUUUUUUGUCAAAUUUAAUAAAAAUAUAUGUGCAGACGAUCUUUUAACAGACUAAAUCUUUUCUAUGAAGAGUUAGAUAAAAUUAUUGUCACGUGAUUAAUAGGUUAUAGGUUCUCUUGCGCUAUUAAACUCGUAUCUUAAAAAAUACAGGACAAGACUGUAUAUAAUAAAUCCUUUUGAUUCAAUCAUAGCUCGGACAACACACAUAGAGAAAACAUAGCAUACACAUGCAUUAAACCUUGUGAUUCAAUCCUUCCUCGAGAUAACUAUACUCUGUCCUAACUGUAGAUAAAUAAGAAGAUAAAUGAUAGGUCAAUUUUUAUUCUUACAGUGUAUAACAUUACUCAAUUCGAAAUGAAAAUUAAUACAAAAUCAUAUACAUUGAAAGAAAAACGUUUAUAUGUUCUUGAUUUUUAAUGCAAUAAAAAGAGAAAGGGGGGAAACAAUAUCUUUAUCUAUCAAAAAUAUUCCUGAUGAAGUGUUAAGUGGUACGAGUCAAUAUUUUCUUAUGUAUCUGUAAGUCAUUUAUCAUACGAUAGUUGAGCACUGAAAAUAUGUUAUAUAUUCUUGAUUUUUUAGUGUUCUUACUUUUAUCUGUUUUGAACGUUUUGCAGUAAAGAAUAUAAUUAUGUUAUCAAUUAUAAUAUGUCAAUUUGUUUGUACUAAUAACACAAAAUUCUUUUAUUAUUGGAUUAUAUUUCAUGGAGUCAAUAUUAUUGAAGUAUACAUCAGCCAGUGCGCUAAGGUGCACUUCCAUUCAUCUUUGGGUGCAUUAUUAGUUAUAUCCCAAUUUUUCAAGAUAUAUACACAUAUAUAUAAAUAAUUUUUUUCGACAUUAAUGGGUGCACGUGCACUCCCACCUAUACAUAUGGGUCCGCCUCUAUAUUUAAUGGUUGUUCUCAUAAAUAUUUUGAUUAAAUUAACAAGAAAAAAAAUUAUAGUGUUUUCAUAUGAAAAAAAAUUAAAAACUUUACAGCGUUUCAAUGAAAAUCUAUUUUUCAUCAUGCAUUUUUUAAGUGAACCGAUUCUUUGAAAAAUGAAUAGAAAAAUAUAUCAUGUUUAUAAUACACAUUUUUCAUUUUGAUUCGCUGUGAAAAGAGAUUACUUUAUGAGAAUAUAUUGGAUAUAUUAUUGUUGAAAAAAAAAGCCUCAAUAAAAAUAUAUAUGGAGGGAAGUUUUGUGGAAAAAAACAUGACGACCAACAUAUAUUUGGAAACAUACACAAUAUUAUUUUAAUUUACUCUAACAAUAAUUUCGAAAUAACCUCAUUAGUAACAUGUUUAGAGUAGGUACUUUCCAAUUAUAUAAAAAAAUUAUUUGGAGCACAAUAUUAUUUAAUUUGCUCGAACAAUAAUUUUUAAAUAACCUCAUUAGUAACCUGUUUAAAAUAGGUACUUUCCAUUAUAUGAAAAUUUUAUUUGAAAACAUACACAACGUUCUUUAAUUUUGAAAUAACCUUCAUUAGUAGGUACUUUGCAAUAUAUGAAAAAUUAUUUGGAAAUAUACAUAAUAUUAUUUAAUUGGAUCGAAUGAUAAUUUCGAAAUAACCUUUAUUGGUGACCUUCUUAGAGUAGGCACUUCAAAAAAAAUUAGAAGGUUACAUUUUAUUUAUCUUAAACUUAGAAACACAACAUUAUUUAACUUGCUUCGAAACACAACAUUAUUGAACAAUAGUUUCGAGAUAAUCUUCAUCAGUAAGAGCGUGCUUGCUAAACUACGGAACAAUAAUUCGGAGUAAAAUAAUUGUAGGCACAACACCUACAAAUGAUCGCAUCACUGUAAUAGCUAUCGUCGUUGCAAAAUCGAUAACAAGUAAUAAGACCAUCAUAAAGUAAAAGUAAUUUCACUUUCAUCUUUGCAACAUCAAAAGGUAACUUUCUUAAAGCCAUCAUUUUAGGACCCCAACGCAGAUUAAUUUCACGUUACAUAAUCUUUUACAAAGAAAAGCAAGGACAAUAAUAGAUGUUAGAUGUUUCCUAUAAUAGAUGUUUCUUUGUCUCUUUUGUUCUUUUUUUCCUAUGAAGAGUUGGUGGAGACUUUCUUGAUGGCAUAAUAUUUCUAUAGAAGAACUAACAUUGUGACUAGAAAUUUGUGUAAGGGCAAAAUUUGAAAGAAAUAAUUGGAAAUAAAUAGGUUUGACGAAAGGUUUGGCUUUUCCUCAUGCUUUUUUUUUUUCAAUUAGUUAAAUUCAUAUAUUUGACAAAGGUAAAAGUAUUUAACGUUUGGCUUUUGAUCUUCUCUUUUUUUUUUCCAGUUAAUUAAAUUCAAAUAUUUGACAAAGAGAGAACAAAUCCACUCAAGAUGGAAGUUCAUAUAGUAAAAAAGAGAAUAAUUGAUGAUUAGGAUAUGAAACUCAAAAUGUACUAAUUCACGUGUGGUAUUUUAACCAGUAUCUCAAUAAAAAAAAUAGUAAAUUGCAUAUAAAAUGAACAUUAGUUAACAAUACAUAUUUAUUUAAGUUGUAACUCAUAUAUUACAAUAGUUAGAUAGUUCCCCAAUAUUUUGAAAACUAUCUAGGUUACAUAUUUAUCUUCUGAUUAUACAAACUUGAAAACACAACAUUAUUUAAAAUGCUUGAAUAUACACAAAGGCAUAUCAAACAUAUAAUAGUAGUUACAUUCAUCCUUUGUACCCAGUAAAUAUAAUCUGCGCGCUCCAAGGAUAAUUCACUCAUAACAACACACACUUACUUUUUAACUUGUUUAGAAGCACAAUAUUAUUUAACUUAUUUGACAGAAAGUUUCAAAAUAACCUUCGAUAGGCGGAACAAUCAUAAUAAUACUUAUCACCCAAAAAAUAUCUAUUCGGAGCACAAGUUUUACAUAUAAAUCCAUCACUGCAAUCACUAUCUGAUUUGCAACUUUGAUAACAAGUCAUAACAUUAGGGUCAUUACCAAAUGGAAAAAGUAUUUUUUUUUUUCAUCUCUGCAACAUCAAUUGGUAAGUCUCUUAAAGCCAUGACUUUAGGACCCCAGUGAUAUUAAUUGCACAUAAAUUAAUUAUAAUAAUAAUUAAAUUAAUUAAUAUACAAAAAUUAUUACAAAGAAAGAAGAGUGGUAAAAGUAAGUUUAGAACCUGAGAUUGCAACUAAGAGCGCAAUAAAGAGAGUUUGCGUAAGAGAAACCAUCUUAACUUAAUUAAUUUGGCUCAAAGAUGAUAAUUGAACAAGUGAUGUUUUAUUUGCUUCAUGGAAGAUGAUAUUUAUACUAACAUUGAUAUAAGGGCAUUAUAGUCAUUUGAAGUUUAAGAUGUGAAGCACACUCAUCCAACCUUAAAUUAUAAAUUAGAACUGGUCAAAAUCAAAUAAUGAAACUUCUUAUUUCUUUGUUCAAAUAAUUCAGAAAGUGUUGUUUUAUGAGAAUUUUAACGUUAAUUUUAAUAUUUGUUUAAUGCCUAAUUCUUGAUUCUAACAGCCUCUUUAAGUCAACAAUGUGGGAGUUUUCUUUUUUGCUACCUUUAUGUGUUAUUACUCCCGUCUGCUGAAUGCUGCAUGGUGCAGCAAUUAUUUUCUUUCCAUUAACAUGGCACUAUUUCACGAGUGAACGGCUGUUUCCUUUCAGCAUUCAUCUUCCGAUGCACUUAUUUGUAACUCUUCUGUCUUUAAUCACAAUAGUUAGUGGGGGUAGAAUGUAGACAUAAGUUUCAUAUAACUCUUGUAACCUUCAUUCUUUAUUUCUCCAUUACCCUAUUUUUUAUGUGGUGUAACUCUUGUAACUUAAAAGCCAUUGAUAUUCCAUCUUUACUAUACCAUUUAUUCUUCCUAUUCAUUGCAUGGAAGAGUUCUUCACCUAUAAAUAAAGGUGGUCUUGCAUGGUUUUGAUACACACAAGAUAAUAGAGAGUUCACAAAAGUUAGUAAAAAGUAGAGUUUAUUAAUUGAAGGGAGGUGUUCUUUUUUGUGGAGCUUUGAACUCAACUCUAGUUCAGAGUUGUUGAGUUGUUCUUUGAGAAGGCUGUUGUAUCCUGGAGGGGACAAGUCAAGAAGAUUACUGCUGGACCGAUGAAAUACUUUGCUGCAGUGGGCUUCAAUCUCCUUAAACAGAGCAAGACAUCCGCGCGAAGAAGAAGACAUUCUUUUUUUUUUUUCUACACUUGUAAUUUUCAGUUGUAAUUUUAUUGUAAUUUCACCAACAAAAAUUAUACUACUUCCCCACUUAGAAUGCCAAGUCGAAAUAAUUGCAAGUGCAUGGUAUAUAUUAUAUAUUUAUUUUGAUAUUUUUUGUCUCUUUUUGUAGCAAAAUUGAUUGUUAUAUGUACAUAACAAUAUUUGAUGUUUAUUUGAUUGUUAUAGACAGUAAAUUAUUUAGGAGUUUUAAACUAUUUUUUAAUAUUGUAUAAGAUAAGAAUACUAUUUAAAUUAUAAAUCGGAAGAAAAUGCAUAUUUUACUUAUUAAAAAUUAAAGAAAGCUAAGCUUUAUCAGUAUAUUCAUAACAAAAAGUACAAAGAUUUGAACUCUAAGACACAUGCUAAGAAAUUGAAAUCUAUGAAAUAUCAUUUGAUUGUUUGUACGUAUUAUUCAAAUCUUAAAUUAAACUUUAUACGAAAAUGUUUUAUCAAAUAAAAUAAAAAUAUAUGUGCAGAUGAUCUUUUAACGGAAUAAAUCUUUACUGCGAAGAGUUAGAUAAAAUUAUUGUCACAUAAUUAAUUGGUCAGAGAUUUUCUUGAGCUAUAAAAAUCACCUCUUAUAAAAAUACAGGACAAGACUAUAUGCAAUAAACUUUUAUGAUUCAACCAUUCCUCAAACUACACAUAGUGAAACAUAGCAUACACAUUCACUAAACCUUGUGAUUCAAUCCUUCCUCGAGAUAACUGUACUUCGUUCUAACUGUAGAUAAAUAAUAAGAUAAAUGAUAUUUACAUCACUAGAUCACUUUAUUUUAAGGAAAGUCGAAAUGACACCCUUCUUUGAAAAAUUAUACUUAUAGAUAGGCUAAUUUUUAUUCUUAUAGUGUAUAUUACAACUAUGGCUGUCAAGCGAGCUGGGUCGGGCCAACCUGAAAUUGGCCCGUUAAAAUUAAUCGAGUUGUGGGCCGGGUCAGGUUCAGGUUAGUUUUAAGUGUGCCGGUCUGGUCCGGGCUCAACAGUAAAAAUUUCAAAAACCAUCCUAACCCGGCCCACUUAACCCAACCCGGUCAAACCCACCUAAACCCGGUUAAAAAUCCAGUCAAGCCCGGUUAAAAAUUUAAAAAAUAACUUUUUUUCAAUAUAUACCCACCUAUAUACAUUUUAAAUACGUUAAACAAUAUAUAUACACUAUAUAUAUAGUAUAUACUACAUUAGAAUUUAAAAAAUAUAUACACAUAUACACAAUUACACAUAUAUACGCACCAUCCAAAUAUAUAUGUACUACUUUAAACUUUAAAGUUUAAAUAAAUUUAAGUAAAACAUAUAUACAAUAUAUAUAUAUAUUUAAAUAUAUAUAUAUAUAUAUAUAUAUAUAGUUAUAUACUAAUUUAUAAAACAAUACGCAUGUAUACAUUAAAUAUGCACGUCUAUAGAAGAUAUUUACACAAAUAUACACACCAUUCAAUAUAUAUGUACUACUUUAAGUAACACAUAUACUACAAUAUAUGUAUAUACUACAAUAUAUAUAGUUAUAUAUUAAUUUAUAAAACAUAUACAUAUGUAUACGUUAAAUAUACACGUCUAUAGAAGAUAUAUACACACAUAUACACACCAUUUAAUGUAUAUGUACUACUUUAAAUAAAACAUAUACUACUGCAAUAAAUAUAUAUAGUUAUAUACUAAUUUAUAAAACAUAUACGCAUGUAUACAUUAAAUAUGCACGUCUAUAGAAGAUAUAUACACAAAUAGACGCACCAUUCAAUAUAUAUGUUCUACUUUAAGUAAAAUAUAUACUACAAAAUAUGUAUAUACUACAAUAUAUACAUAGUUAUAUACUAAUUUAUAAAACAUAUACGCAUGUAUACAUUAAAUAUGCACGUCUAUAGAAGAUAUAUACACAAAUANNNNNNNNNNNNNNNNNNNNNNNNNNNNNNNNNNNNNNNNNNNNNNNNNNNNNNNNNNNNNNNNNNNNNNNNNNNNNNNNNNNNNNNNNNNNNNNNNNNNNNNNNNNNNNNNNNNNNNNNNNNNNNNNNNNNNNNNNNNNNNNNNNNNNNNNNNNNNNNNNNNNNNNNNNNNNNNNNNNNNNNNNNNNNNNNNNNNNNNNNNNNNNNNNNNNNNNNNNNNNNNNNNNNNNNNNNNNNNNNNNNNNNNNNNNNNNNNNNNNNNNNNNNNNNNNNNNNNNNNNNNNNNNNNNNNNNNNNNNNNNNNNNNNNNNNNNNNNNNNNNNNNNNNNNNNNNNNNNNNNNNNNNNNNNNNNNNNNNNNNNNNNNNNNNNNNNNNNNNNNNNNNNNNNNNNNNNNNNNNNNNNNNNNNNNNNNNNNNNNNNNNNNNNNNNNNNNNNNNNNNNNNNNNNNNNNNNNNNNNNNNNNNNNNNNNNNNNNNNNNNNNNNNNNNNNNNNNNNNNNNNNNNNNNNNNNNNNNNNNNNNNNNNNNNNNNNNNNNNNNNNNNNNNNNNNNNNNNNNNNNNNNNNNNNNNNNNNNNNNNNNNNNNNNNNNNNNNNNNNNNNNNNNNNNNNNNNNNNNNNNNNNNNNNNNNNNNNNNNNNNNNNNNNNNNNNNNNNNNNNNNNNNNNNNNNNNNNNNNNNNNNNNNNNNNNNNNNNNNNNNNNNNNNNNNNNNNNNNNNNNNNNNNNNNNNNNNNNNNNNNNNNNNNNNNNNNNNNNNNNNNNNNNNNNNNNNNNNNNNNNNNNNNNNNNNNNNNNNNNNNNNNNNNNNNNNNNNNNNNNNNNNNNNNNNNNNNNNNNNNNNNNNNNNNNNNNNNNNNNNNNNNNNNNNNNNNNNNNNNNNNNNNNNNNNNNNNNNNNNNNNNNNNNNNNNNNNNNNNNNNNNNNNNNNNNNNNNNNNNNNNNNNNNNNNNNNNNNNNNNNNNNNNNNNNNNNNNNNNNNNNNNNNNNNNNNNNNNNNNNNNNNNNNNNNNNNNNNNNNNNNNNNNNNNNNNNNNNNNNNNNNNNNNNNNNNNNNNNNNNNNNNNNNNNNNNNNNNNNNNNNNNNNNNNNNNNNNNNNNNNNNNNNNNNNNNNNNNNNNNNNNNNNNNNNNNNNNNNNNNNNNNNNNNNNNNNNNNNNNNNNNNNNNNNNNNNNNNNNNNNNNNNNNNNNNNNNNNNNNNNNNNNNNNNNNNNNNNNNNNNNNNNNNNNNNNNNNNNNNNNNNNNNNNNNNNNNNNNNNNNNNNNNNNNNNNNNNNNNNNNNNNNNNNNNNNNNNNNNNNNNNNNNNNNNNNNNNNNNNNNNNNNNNNNNNNNNNNNNNNNNNNNNNNNNCUCGGAAGGAUGAGGAGCGACAGUUGGAGUGAUAUUUGUAGGUACGACUAAGUCAAAUAAAUAAGCAUAGUGAUUAUAUAAUUUUUCUAUGUAUUCAUUCGCAUCACUCAUAGCCGUCCACAAAUCAGGUUCUACUUGUUUAGAUUCAGAAUCAUUGUUAGUAUUUAUUUCUAAGUUAGCAUAAAUAAUAGUACUAAAGUGGUACAUAGUAUUAUAUAUCAUGCAUGGAUUUAACAUAGCACCAACCAAGUAAAUAGGGGGAAUCGGGGAAAAAUAAUUUUUAAAUUUAGUAAACAUGGCACUAACAACUUCUUUAUAACCAUCUUUAUUUUUAUAUUCUUUAAGCAAACCAGAAAUAUCGGCUAUAUAUCCCAAAAUAUUACAAACAGUAGGAUAAUACGCACCGAAAAAUUCAACCAUAGCUACAUAAAAAUUUUCUAAAAACUUAACAAGAUCAUUAGUUACAACCCAAUCAAAAUCAUGCAGCAUGCAAUCAGCAGAAUUAGUAAAUGAAGCGCAAUGUUGGUUAAAAGCUGGUGUAAUAAGAACUCUAUAUUUAUAACAAGUUUUUAAAAUAUCAUAUGUAGAAUUACAUCUAAUAUCAAUUUCCUCAUACAUCAAUAUCGGUGCAAGUCCAUUUUCUUGACAUUUANNNNNNNNNNNNNNNNNNNNNNNNNNNNNNNNNNNNNNNNNNNNNNNNNNNNNNNNNNNNNNNNNNNNNNNNNNNNNNNNNNNNNNNNNNNNNNNNNNNNNNNNNNNNNNNNNNNNNNNNNNNNNNNNNNNNNNNNNNNNNNNNNNNNNNNNNNNNNNNNNNNNNNNNNNNNNNNNNNNNNNNNNNNNNNNNNNNNNNNNNNNNNNNNNNNNNNNNNNNNNNNNNNNNNNNNNNNNNNNNNNNNNNNNNNNNNNNNNNNNNNNNNNNNNNNNNNNNNNNNNNNNNNNNNNNNNNNNNNNNNNNNNNNNNNNNNNNNNNNNNNNNNNNNNNNNNNNNNNNNNNNNNNNNNNNNNNNNNNNNNNNNNNNNNNNNNNNNNNNNNNNNNNNNNNNNNNNNNNNNNNNNNNNNNNNNNNNNNNNNNNNNNNNNNNNNNNNNNNNNNNNNNNNNNNNNNNNNNNNNNNNNNNNNNNNNNNNNNNNNNNNNNNNNNNNNNNNNNNNNNNNNNNNNNNNNNNNNNNNNNNNNNNNNNNNNNNNNNNNNNNNNNNNNNNNNNNNNNNNNNNNNNNNNNNNNNNNNNNNNNNNNNNNNNNNNNNNNNNNNNNNNNNNNNNNNNNNNNNNNNNNNNNNNNNNNNNNNNNNNNNNNNNNNNNNNNNNNNNNNNNNNNNNNNNNNNNNNNNNNNNNNNNNNNNNNNNNNNNNNNNNNNNNNNNNNNNNNNNNNNNNNNNNNNNNNNNNNNNNNNNNNNNNNNNNNNNNNNNNNNNNNNNNNNNNNNNNNNNNNNNNNNNNNNNNNNNNNNNNNNNNNNNNNNNNNNNNNNNNNNNNNNNNNNNNNNNNNNNNNNNNNNNNNNNNNNNNNNNNNNNNNNNNNNNNNNNNNNNNNNNNNNNNNNNNNNNNNNNNNNNNNNNNNNNNCAUUCAAUAUAUAUGUACUACUUUAAGUAAAACAUAUACUAAAAUAUAUAUAUAUACUUCAAUAUAUGUAGUUAUAUACUAAUUUAUAAAACAUAUACACAUGUAUACAUUAAAUAUAUACGUCUAUAGAAGAUAUACACACAUAUAUACUACAAUAUAUAUAGUUAUAUACUAAUUUAUAAAACAUACAUACAUGUAUACAUUAAAUAUACACGUCUACAGAAGAUAUAUACACAAAUAUACGCACUAUUCAAUAUAUAUGUACUAGUUUAAGUAAAACAUAUACUACAAUAUAUGUAUAUACUACAAUAUAUAUAUAGUUAUAUAAUAAUUUAUAAAACAUAUACACAUGUAUACGUUAAAUAUACACGUCGAUAGAAUAUAUUGAAUAUUUGAGAAUUGAGAAUUGAGAGAGAAUGAGAUUUGAGAGAGUGAAAAAUUGUGUGAAAAAUGAUUUGAAGCUGUAGGGUAUUUAUAGAAUUUUUUUUGGGAUUAAAAAAUUAUUUUAAAAUUAAAAGAUAUUUUUUUUAAUUAAUGGGCUCAUACUAGCCGUUUGGACCCAAAAAUGGCUAUAUAACUGUUGGGCCAACGACUAGUUUGGCCCAAAAGCCCAAAUUUUCAAAAAAAAAAAAAGAUUAUUAUUCCGGGCCGGGUUAACCAAGCCCAAAUUAAAAGAAAAUGGUCCGGAACCCGGUACCCUAAAGCCUUUGGGCUUACCGAGCCGAGUCAAACUGGGCCAGGUAGGGCCGCGUCAGCCCGGCCCACUUGACACCCUUAAUUACAACACUACUCAAUUCGAAAUAAAAAUUUAUACAAAAUCAUAUACACUGAAAGAAAAACAUUUAUACGCUCUUGAUUUUUAAGGCAAUAAUAAGAGAAAAGGGAGGGGGGGAGGGGGGUGUCAAUGCCCUAUAUUUACCUGAGGUCAAAACGAGCAUGUGACAUUAUGGACUCUAAGAGAAUUGAAAUUUGUACAGAGUCGCCACCUAAUUUUUAAAGGAAAAUAAGGAAACCUAUUUAUUUGUUAAUACGUAUGAUUAAUGCUUUAGUCUUUGAAACCUAUUGAGACUCUAGGUAAGGGUUCAAAUUAUCCCGAAGGGAAGGGGUUAGGCAACCUUCAGGAUCCACAAAUGUGGUACCCAGCUAGACUAAACUUAUCAACGAGGGAGGAGGUAUAAAUAUUUAAAAUAAUGUAAAAGUGUAUGUGUAUUAAGUAUAAAAUAAUUCUUUCAAAAAAUAUAAAUGUUUAAAACCAUGUAAAAGUAUAUGUAUAUUAACUAUAUAUAAAACAUGUAAACGAUAUGUAUAAAAUGCAUAAAUUACAUGUGAAAAAGAAAAGUAUUUUAUGACGUACGAAAAGAAAUGUAUUUUAAUGUGUCUUGAAAAGAAAAGGUAUUUACAAGUAAUAUUUUUACUUGAUUUAAAUUAUGAAAACGUAAAAUUUAUUUGAGAAGAAAAGACUACACAAUACGUGAAUUACUUGAUUAACUUGAUUCUUGUAUGUAAAUAUUAACGGCCUAAGUUUUGCCUAAAAGUGAUGAAAUUAUGUAAAUAAUGAAUAUCUCCUCCCGGCACCCAAAAAGGUAAAGUUUUCACUAUAUUCGAUAUGUACAAUUACAAGAAAAUAAUAUAAAUAAAAGAUUCUUCUUCUGAAUGUCAUUUUCCGACAAACAAUCUCGAAAAACCUGUACAAACACGUUAGUAACAAAGUAAAAUAAACUAGAAACUAUGUGUGCAUGUAUACAUAAAAAUAGAAAUGUUUUAUCAAAGUGUGAUUCUUCUUGCUCGAUUAAUCGGCCAUCCUAAAUCGCCUUACCAAGAUACAAAUCAUAAAACCCUUUGUGUUGCCGUGAAAUUGUAAAGUUUCAUCAUUGCCCGAAUUUAUUUAUUUUUGUUACGUAUUUGUAUAUGUAAUAUCCAUCUUUUAUUUACGGAGGCCUCGAAAAUUGACGGAAAUUUCUUUAUUGGCUAUGUGUCUAUUUUUGAUAGAAAUAAAUAACUUGGAAAAUAAAGAUCCGUCUUUUGUAUUGGUCACCUCAAGUAUCCGACGGAGAGAUAAUGUCAUUGGCUGAGGUAUUUAUUUUGAGUAUAUGUAUGUGUUUUUUAGAAAAAGAAAAAGAUGAACAAAUUUUGUGUAUGAAAAAAAUAUGUGUGGUGAAAAAUAUGUGUGUGUAGAGAAGAAGUGUGUGUUUGAGAGAGAAGAAAAAUAUGUGGGGAUGAUAAAUGUGUAUAUGUAUUUGUGAAUGUGUAUUUUAUUUGUGUAUUUGUAUGUGAGAAGACAAAAAAUGUGUGUAUUGUAUUUAAAAAAAAAAAGAAUAAACCAUAUAAAAAGAACAUUGAUUUGUUUAUAUUUUGAGAGAGGGAGAAAGAAGAAUGAAAUGCAUAUAUGGUGACAAACGUAUGUGUGAGAGAAAGGAAAAAUAUGACUAAAAUUUUGUAUUUUAGGGAGAGGAGAAAGAGGUGAAAAAUAUGUGUGGAUUUUUUUGAGAGAGAGGAAGAAUAAAAAUGUGUGUGUGGAAAUGUCUUCCCAUCACUUGUAUUUAUAAUGAUAUUGGGCACCUCUUAUUUUCCAAUGGAUAAAAAGAUGUCCCCUCUUUAUAUAAUAGCACAUCCUUUGGUCUUUAAGGUAUUGACCAAAGAAUUUUCAUAUUUUUGACCAAUGGAUAAAAUGAUUAUCCAAAAAAUAAAGUCAUUGAGUGGUCAUUGUCAGAUGUGACAAGACAUUAUGUAUAGUCAUUGUCGGAUGUGACAAGAUUUCAUUGUGUAGUCAUUGUCAGAUGUGACAAGGCAUUAUUGUGUGGUCAUUGUCGGAUAUGACAAGACAUCAUUGUGUAGUCAUUGUCAGAUGUGACAAGGCAUUAUUGUGUGGUCAUUGUUGGAUACGACAAAACAUCAAAUUAUUAUACUAUAUAAAAUUAAUUGAUCCGACUUAGCGUUUGCGGAUUAUAGAAAUAUAUAAAAAUUGAUAUGUAAUUAAAAAAUGUAAAGAAAAAUGGAAAAUGUAAUUAACUUGAAAAUAUUAUAAAAAUAAAUGUAAUGUCAUGUUGUGUACGUGUGUAGAUGAUUGUGAAAAAAUAUUAAAGACGAUAAUGAAAAAAUUCUAACAUAUAAAGAAUUAACAAUAAAUUAUGAAAAGCAAAACAUGAUAAUAAAUUGAUAAAAUUCUAAAGUGAGGAUGAUUAUCAGUAAUUUAUCAAAAAUAUAAAAAAUGUGUGAAAAAUGUGUUUUGCACUCUUUAACGAUCAGGAAGCCUGAAGACGUUAAUUUUAAGCAUGGAGGGAAAAAUUGGGUGUCAACAGUUGCCCCUUUUCAUUUGAGGAUGAUGUAGAAGUUUUCAAACGAAAAUGUUGACGUGUAGCCAAUUUUUCUUGAUAAAAAAUAAUUUUUUUUGUUAUAGAAAAAUUCGACUAAACUCUAAUUUAGAGUUGCCUAUAUACCUCAAGUUACAUGAGGAUAAGGUAGGGUGUAGUUCAAAAGAUUGGGCAAAUCGCCAUGCUAUUAAGAGUGAGAGACCGUGUGAAGUAAUUCAUGAAAUAUGGACUAUUUAAGAACAGAAGUGUUCAUCUAUUCUCGAUGUUCCUUUCAAAAUUUCUCCAGUAUCGAGCUGUGAGAUGCUGGGGAUGCAAGAUUAUGUACUUGCUGGGAAGAAAGAAUAAUUGUGAGAUUGUGAUGACCGAACUCUGCAUAGAGCUUCCUACAUAUCUCGAGUGUCACGAGAAUCAGGUCAAUGUAGUUCGAAAUGAGAAAAUAGCAAAUUUUGGAGUGAUUCUCAAAAUUUGCCCCAGUGUAUGAUGUAUGGGAUUUGAAAAAAAAAUUGCCCUUUUGUUUUGAAUUAUAUUUUUAGUUGAAGAGACGCAUGAUGUCUCCAAUUGUCUACCGGGACCUGAGGAUGAAUGACGUCUUCGAUUGCUUAUGGAAACUUGGGGAUAAAUGGCGUCUCCGAUUGUUUACGGGGACCUGAGGAUGAAUGAAAGAUGUCUUUGAUUGUCUACGAAGACUUGAUGCAUGUCAUCUCCAAUUGUCUUACAGAGACUGAUGUUGAAUGUCAUCUUCGAUUUUCUACAGAGAUUGAUGUGAUGAAUGAUGAUGUCUUCGACUGUAUAUGAAAACUGAUGUUGAUUGUCUUCUUCAAUUGUCUAUGAAGACUGACGGAUGACAUGCCCAAUUGUUUAUGGAUACUGAUGUUGAUGAUUUCCUCUGAUUGCCUACAGAGACUAAUGUGAUGAAUGGUGUAAUUGAUUGUCUACGAAGACUUGAUGACAUCUCCAAUUGUCUAUUUAGAUGGAUGUUGAAUGAUGAUGUCUUUGAUUGUCUACGAAGACUUGAUGUAUAAUACCUCUAAUUGUCUAUAGAGGCUGAUGUUGAUUGUUGUCUCCGAUUGUCUAUGGAGACUGAUCUGACGCCUUCGAUUGUUUACAAAGACAGAUGCAUGACCCUGCAAUUGUCUAUGAAGGCUGGUGUAGAUUAUUGUCUCUGAUUAUCUACGAAAACUGAUGUGACGCCUUCGAUUGUUUACGAAGACAGAUGUAUGACCCUCCAAUUGUCUAUGAAGGCUAGUGUGGAUUAUCAUCUCCGAUUGUCUACGGAGAUUGAUAUGAUGCCUUCGAUUGUUUAUGAAGACAGAUGCAUAACCCUCCAAUUGUCUAUGGAGGCUAAUGCGAUGAAUGAUGUCCUUGAUUGUCUACGAAGACUUGAUGACAUCUCCAAUUGUCUAUGUAGAUGGAUGUUGAAUGAUAAUGUCUUCGAUUGUCUACGAAGACUUGAUACAUGAUACCUCUAAUUAUCUAUAGAGGCUGAUGUUGGUUGUUGUCUCCAAUUAUCUACGGAGACUGAUGUGACGCCUUUGAUUAUUUACAAAGACAGAUGCAUGACCCUUCAAUUGUCUAUGAAGGCUUGUGUCGAUUAUUGACUUUGAUUGUCUAUGGAGACUGAUGUGAUGGUCGUCCUCAAUUUUUUAUGAAGACUAAAGUCAUCAACCGAUGAGGUAAUGGCCUUUCGAUUGGUGGAACAGCUGGAAGGUAAUAGCCUCUCGACUGGUGGGGCUAUGAGAAUGUAAAAAGCCUCUCGACUGGCGGGAUUGUUGAAAGGUGAUAGCCACUCGACUGACGGGGCUAUGGAAAUGUAAAAACCUCUAUACUAGCGGGGCUUUAAAAGGUAAUAUCCACUCGACUGGCGGGGCUAUGAGAAUGUAAAAGCCUCUCGAUCGGCGGAGCUUUGAAAAGUAAUAGCCUCUUGAAUAGCGGGGCUAUGAGAAUGUAAAAAGCCUCUCGACUGGUGGGGCUUUGAAAGGUAAUAGCCUCUCGACUGGCGGGGCUAUGAAAAUGUAAAAGCCUCUCGACUGGCAGGGCUUUGAAAGGUAAUAGCCUCUCGACUAGCCGGGCAAUGAACAUGUAAAAGCCUCUCGAUUGGUUGGGAUUUGAAAGGUAAUAGCCCCUUGACUAGUGGGGCUAUGAGAAUGUAAAAAGAUUCUUAACUAGCGGGGUUUGAAAGGUAAUAACAUCUCGACUAGCGGGGCUAUGAAAAUGUAAAAGCCUCUCGACUGGCGGGGCUUUGAACGGUAAUAGCUUCUCGACUGGCGGGGCUAUGAAAAUGUAAAAGCCUUUCGACUGGGGGGACUUUAAAAGGUAAUAGCCUCUCAACUGGCGGGGCUAUGAAAAUGUAAAAGCCUCUCAACUGGCGGGGCUUUGAAAGGUAAUAGCCUCUCAAUUGGUGGGGCUAUGAAAAUGUAAAAGCCUCUCGACUGGCGGUGCUUUCAAAGGUAAUAGCCUCUCGACUGGCGGGGCUAUGAAAACGUAAAAGCCUCUCGACUGGCAGGGCUUUAAAAGGUAAUAUCCUCUCCACUGAUGGGGCUAUGAAAACGUAAAAGCCUCUCGAUGGCGGGGCUUUGAAAGGUAAUAGCCUCUCGACUGGCGGAGCUGUGAAAACGUAAAAGCCUCUCGACUGGCGGGGCUUUAAAAGGUAAUAGCCUCUCGACUGGCGGGGCUAUGAAAAUGUAAAAGCCUCUCGACUGUCGGGACUAUGAAAAUGUAAAAGCCUCUUGACUGGCGGGGCUAUGAAAACAUAAAAGUCUCUUGACUGGCGGGGCUAUAAAAGGUAAUAGCCUCUCAACUAGCGGGGCUAUGAAAACAUAAAAGCCUCUCGACUAGCGGGGCUAUGAAAAUGUAAAAGCCUCUGAGAACACCCAAUUGAAAAGAAAAAUAUCCCAUGUUUGAAGGCUUUAUCUUGAAGAGAAAGGACAAUUGUUGGUAUUCAGAGAUAGACGUCUUGCACGUAAAGUGUGAUGCAUGUAUGUGAAGGCAUGGUUUGAAAGGAAAGAUUUUUUUUUUGUAUUUUCGUUGUAAAAAUGUGUUGAAAGAUGAAAAAUGUGGAAGAUUGUUUUGUGUUUUAUUUGUAAGAAAUGUUGAAAGGUUAAAAUGCAGAACAUUAUUUGUGUUUUCUUUUGUAAGAAUAUAGAAAGGUGAAAAUGCAGAACAUUGUUUUGUAUUUUCUUUGUAAGAAAUACUGAAAGUUUAAAAUGUAGAAAAUUAUUUUGUGUUUUACUUGUAAAAAGUGUUGAACUGCGAAAUAAAAUUGGUUUGUAUUUUCUUUUAUAAGAAAUGCUGAAAGUUGAAAAAUGUAGGAAAUUAUCUUGUGUUUUAUUUGUAAGAAAUGUUGAAAGUUGAAAAAAAGCAUAAUCAUGCCUUGACUGUAGUUCGUAUCAACAAUUAGUAGUGUGUAUAAGAAUUUUCCCAUCUCUUCCAGCUAACAAAGAUUGACUUCAGGGUAACUCCUAUAGCUUCGAGUGGUACCUCAGACAUACCUAAGUAUUGACAAGAUUUGGUCGUCUUGCUUCAAACAAAGAUUUUGAAUUAUGUUUGUUCCCAUGAUUCAAGUGCACUCUCUAGAAAGAAUGUCUCGUUCUCACACUUAUUUGAAUAUUAUUUUCUUUCAAAUUUGGAGACGUCUAGAAAUAUACACUCACACUUAGAAAGAAGUUCAAUGAAUGCAAUUGUGAUACCAUAGACUUGGCCUUCAUGUAAGUAUCCACUAAUGUGAGAAAACUUAGAGUAGGAUCUUGUAGGACUUAUAAUUGGCUUGUAAUGUAGGCUUGGGGUCGGGUAGGGUUCUUUAUUGUGCUUCUUUUCCCCUUGUUUGUAUUUGUUUCGACUUUUUUUAAAUCUUGUGUUGGAGUUUUUCCCCUUUUCGAUAUAUUUUCCUUAUUUUUUUCUUUUUGGGGGAUGAUGAUUCCCCACCUUUAUCAGAGUUAUCUUUUUUUUUUUUGCUUUGGGGGGGGGGGGGUGGGCUGUGUCCUGUGAGGUCUUGCUCCUUCUUUCUUUGAAGUCAUCUUUUAUUUUUGUUCUUCUGGGGAUAUACUUCCUUUGCCUUUGGCAACUUUGAUCUUGAAUCUUCAUUCGCAACUUGCACAUACUUAGUGCGCUCAAAGAGGUGGGCCAAAGAGGGAUAGUGCAUGUAAGCACUCAAAAGGUAUAGGCUCAAAUAUGGUUAUUCCAAUGAAAAGGUUUCAGGCUCAAAGGGAGGAAUACUAGGGAUCGAUGUCAUUUGGUAGGCUGUGGAAGUCACAAUCUAGUCAAGGAAGGCCUACAAUCCUUUCCCAAACUAAGUGUAACUCAAAAUUUUGCCUCAAUAGACAUUCAGGCCACGUUCUAGAUCAACAAUGCAAUACAAUGAACAAGUCUAAAACUUACCACACAAUGUACUUAAAACGAUGGAGUUGACUUUGUUCUUUUCUUAGAUGUAUACAAGAGAAUUUUCGAGUGUUACUCAGGUUUGACUAAGAGGUAUCAAAAGAAUCUAUCAUUUACCGUGAAGUUGGUCCUCUCCAUCAUACUAAUUUGUUCUUUCUCAUGCACAUUCCUAAUUGUGUUGAUACCAACCAAGUCAAAAUUUUAUUUUAUUUAAAAAAAAUGGGAUCGAACCCAAAUGAGGGUUGCCUUCGUAUCUUGUAAAAACAAGAAUCAGGACUGCGUAGUUCAGGUAAUUUUGUAAAUUUCUAUGUAACAUGUAUGAAUGUACAAAAGUGAUGGUCAUCUUUGAAAAAAUAAUGUGAAAGACGAUCAGGAAGGGAUUGCUUGUAUCAACAAAAUUGGUUCGAUUAGACGAUCAAGAGGAUGGAUGUCGAGCAUCAGGAGAGUUUUGAAAUUACUUUAAUAUGUCGACGAGAUAGAGAAGGUCAAACAUUGGAGAAGUUAUGGCAUUAUUUCACCGUAGUUGGCCAAAUUAUUAUGAAUGAAAGAAUAUUGAACCCUUGCUUUGAUAGUGGAGAUCGAUACACUGUAAAUUUAAUGAUUUACGAUUUUCGAAAGAAGAAGCUAGGUGCUCUCGAACCAAAAUUGGGUGAGGAUAUAGAGGUAGGUCGGCUAAGCACUAAUGUUAUUGAGAUUUGAAUUUGGGGAAUCAUUUAUUUGCGCUCUUGAAGACUUUUGGAGAGCGUCUUUGAACUGUUUCAAAAAAUUGCCCCAGUAUGAAUACCGAAGAAAUUAUUUUGAAACAGUAAAGAGACCGAACCCUAAUACAGGAUUGCCUACGUAUCUUGUCAGGACAAGAAUCAGGUUAAAACGUAGUUCAAAUCUUUUUUUUUUUUUGAGUUAUUAUGGCAUGAUUUAUAUUCAGAAUAGGAAUUUUCCUAAAUGGUUAAGAGUAGGACCGAAUAAUUACGAAAAGGCACACUAACCUAAAUGCACCAAUUCUGAAACUAAGGGAUCCAAAGAAGGUUCGGAGGAGUACGGUACAUCCCUCGCGUGUUCAGUGUGUGAAUUGUGUACGGCCAAAGACUCGAUGGAAUUGUGAUUAUGAUUAAAUAAUGUAAAGAAUAAUGUGUAACAGUUUUUACGCUAUACAGAUACAGUGUAUUAAACAAAUAAUAAAUAAUUAAAGAAAAUGAUAAGGCAGUAAAUUUAAUUUGCACAAAUAAUAUAAAGGAUUUAUGAAAAAUCUACACAAUUUUCAAUGUGAAAAAGAUAAAGAAUCAAAGAAUUAAUAUAUACAAAAAAUGUAAAAAUACCUCCCUCAAUUGAAAAAUUGAGUUUAUCAUAGUUAGAACAUGUUGUUUAUCCCCAGUGGAGUCGCCAUUCUGUCAAUGCCCUAUUUUUACCUGAGGUCAAAAUGAGCACGUGACAUUAUGGACUCUAAGAGAAUUGAAAUUUGUACAGAGUCGACACCUAAUUUUUAAAGAAAAAUAAGGAAACCUAUUUAUUUGUUAAUACGUAUGAUUAAUGUUUUAGUCGGUGAAAACCUAUUGAGACUCUAGGUAAGGGUUCAAAUUAUCCCGAAGGGAAGGGGUUAGGCACCCUUCAGGAUCCACAAAUGUGGUACCCAGCUAGACUAAACUUAUCAACGAGGGAGGAGGUAUAAAUAUUUAAAAUAAUGUAAAAGUGUAUGUGUAUUAAGUAUAAAAUAAUUCUUUCGAAAAAUAUAAAUGUUUAAAACCAUGUAAAAGUAUAUGUAUAUUAACUAUAUAUAAAACAUGUAAAAGAUAUGUAUAAAAUGUAUAAAUUACAUGUGAAAAAGAAAAGUAUUUUAUGACGUACAAAAAGAAAUGUAUUUUAAUGUGUCUUGAAAAGAAAAGGUAUUUACAAGUAAUAUUUUUAUUUGAUUUAAAGAUUCUUUUAUGUAAAUAUUAACGACCUAAGUUUUGCCUAAAAGUGAUGAAAUUAUGUAAAUAAAGAAUAUCUCCGUCUGGCACCCAAAAAGAUAAAGUUUUCACUAUAUUCGAUAUGUACAAUUACAAGAAAAUAAUAUAAAUAAAAGAUUCUUCUUUUGAAUGUCAUUUUCCGACAAAUAAUCUCGACAAACCUGUACAAACACGUUAGUAACAAAGUAAACUAAACUAGAAACUAUGUGUGAAUAUAUACAUAAAAAUAGAAAUGUUUUAUCAAAGUGUGGGCUCGGAUUAGUUUUUGAUAUGCCGUGGCUACGAAGUGGUUGCUCAAUUAAUCGCCCAUCUUAAAUCGCCUUACCAAGAUACAAAUCAUAAAACUCUUUGUGUUGCCGUGAAAUUGUAAAGUUUCGUCAUCGCCCAAAUUUAUUUAUUUUUGUUACGUAUUUGUAUAUGUAAUAUCCGUCUUUUAUUGACAGAGGCCUCAAAAAUUGACGGAAAUUUCUUCAUUGGCCAUGUGUCUAAUUUUGAUAUAAAUAAAUAACUUCGAAAAUAAAGAUCCGUCUUUUGUAUUGGGGUGGCCUCAAGUAUCCGACGGAGAGAUAAUGUCAUUGGCCGAGGUAUUUAUUUUGAGUAUAUGUAUGUGUUUUUUAGAAAAAGAAAAAGAUGAACAAAUUUUGUGUAUGAAAAAAAUAUAUGUGUGGUGAAGAAUAUGUGUGUGUAGUGAAGAAGUGUGUAUUUGAGAGAGAAGAAAAAUAUGUGGAGAUGAUAAAUGGGUAUAUAUAUUUAUGAAUGUGUAUUUUAUUUGUGUAUUUGUAUGUGAGAAGACAACAAAUGUGUGUAUUGUAUUUUUGAAAAAAAAGAAUAAACUAUAUAAAAAGAAAAUUGAUUUGUUUAUAUUUUGAGAGAGGGGAGAAAGAAGAAUGAAAUGUAUAUAUGGUGAAAAACAUUUAAGUGAGAGAGAAAGGAAAAAGAUGACUAAAAUUUUGUAUUUGAGGGAGAGGAGAAAGAGGUGAAAAAUAUGUGUGGAUUUUUUUGAGAGAGAGGAAGAAUAAAAAUGGGUGUGUGAAAAUGUCUUCCCAUCACUCCUAUUUAUAAUAAUAUUGGGCACCUCUUAUUUUCCAAUGGAUAAAGAGAUGUCCCCUCUUUAUAUAAUAGCAUAUCCUUUGGUCCUUAGGGUAUUGACCAAAUGAUUUUCAUAUUUUUGACCAAUGGAUAAAGUUAUUAUCCAAAGAAUAGUGUCAUUGAGUGGUCAUUGUCAGAUGUGACAAGACAUUAUGUGUAGUCAUUAUCGGAUGUGACAAGAUUUCAUUGUGUAGUCAUUGUCGGAUGUGACAAGACAUUAUUGUGUGGUCAUUGUCGGAUAUGACAAGACAUCAUUGUGUAGUCAUUGUCAGAUGUGACAAGGCAUUAUUGUGUGGUCGUUGUUGGAUAUGACAAGACAUCAAAUUAUUAUACUAUAUAAAAUUAAUUGAUCCGACUUAGCGUUUGCGGAUUAUAGGAAUAUAUAAAAAUUGAUAUGUAAUUAAAAAAUGUAAAGAAAAAUGGAAAAUGUAAUUAACUUGAAAAUAUUAUAAAAAUAAAUGUAAUGUCAUGUUGUGUACGUGUGUAGAUGAUUGUGAAAAAAUAUUAAAGACGAUAAUGAAAAAAUUCUAACAUACAAAGAAUUAUCAAUAAAUUAUGAAAAGCAAAACAUGAUAAUAAAUUAAUAAAAUUCUAAAGUGAGGAUGAUUAUCAGUAAUUUAUCAAAAAUAUAAAAAAAUGUGUGAAAAAUGUGUUUUGCACUCUUUAACGAUCAGGAAGCCUGAAGACGUUAAUUUUAAGCAUGGAGAGAAAAAAUUGGGUGUCAACAGCGGGAUAAUGUCUUCGUCUAUCAAGAAUAUUCCUGAUGAAAUAUUAAGAAGUAAGAGUCAUUUAUUAUACGAUAGUUGUAAAGAACUAAAAAUAUUUAUAUUUUCUUGAUUUUUCCGUGUUCUUACUUUUAUAUAUUUUAAUAUUUUUUGCAGUGAAGAAUUUAAUUAUGUCACCAAUUAUAACAUGUCAAUUUACAAAAAUUCUUUAGUAUCGUAUUAUAUUUCAUAUAGUUAAUGGUAUCGAAGUAUAUAUGAACAUAGAUCAUGAUAUUAUUCUACUCCCUCUUCAUGUGUAGACAAAAUCUUAAAGUAAGGACAGUAAUAGUUGUUUCUUUUGUCUUUUUUUUUUUGGCUAUGAAAAAUCGGUGGAGACUUUCAUGAUUGCAAAAUAUUACUAUAGAAGAACUAAUAUUGUGACUAAGUGUUGGAGUUCCACAUUGAUCAGUUAAAGGGUCCUUACUCAUCUUAUAUGGUCUUGGGCAAACCUUCCCUCAUGAGCUAGCUUUUAGGGUUGAGUUAGGCCAAAGACUCAUUCUUUACAUGGUAUUAGACUCAGACCCAUAAUCUUUGUUCACCGAUGUUGGCUUUCAUAUUAUAUUGUCCACAAUCUAAUUAACGAGGCCUGGACAUGCGGGGGAGUGUUAAGUAUCCCACAUCAAAAAAGGAAUAGGUAAUUGAUCUCUUUAUAUGGAUCUGGGAAAUCCUACCCUCAUGAGUUAGCGUUGGAGGUUGAGUUAGGCCAAAGAUUCAUUCUUUAUACUAAGAAAUUUGACCAUGAGCAAAAUUUGAAAGAAAUAAUUGGAGAUAAACAACUUUGGCUUUUCAUCAUGCUCUUUUUUCAAUUAGUUAAAUUUAAAUAUUUGAUAGAGUUAAAAAUAUUUAAAGUUGACUUUUCAUCUUGUUCCUUUUUUUUCAGUUAAUUAAAUUCAAACUUUUCACAGAGAGAUCAGAUCCACUUAAGAUGAAAAGUUCAUAUAAAAAAGAUAAUAAUUGAUAAUUAGGAUAUGAAACUCGCGAAAAAAUAUUAAUGCACGUGUUAUUUUGACCAGUAUCUCUAUAAAUAAAUGAUGAAUUGUAUAUAAAAUGAAGACAAGUGAACAAUAUAUAUUUAUUUAAGUUGUAACUCAUAUAUUACAAUAGAUAGAUAAUUCCCCAGUAUUUGAAAAACUAGCUAGGUUACAUAUUUAUUUUCUUAGUAUACGAACUUGGAAACACAACAUUAUUUAAAUUGCUUGAAUAUACACAAAGGCACAUCAAGCAUAUAAUAGUAGUUACAUUCAUUCUUUGAGCGCAGUAAUUCUAAUUUGUGUGCUUCAAGGAUACUUCACCAAUAACAACACGCUUAUUAUUUAAUUUGCAUCGAAACACAAUAUUAUUUAACUUACUCGAAGGAUAGUUUCGAAAUAAUCUUCACUAUUAAAAGGCGCUUGUUAAAACAAUAUGGAACAGUCAUUCGAAGUAAAUAAUUGUAGACACAACGUCUGCAGAUAGUCCCAUCACUGCAAUCGCUAUCACCGUUACAAAAUUGAUAACAAGUAAGACCGUCACCAAGUAAAGGUAAUUUUACUUUCAUCUUUGCAACAUCAAUUGGUAACUCUCUUAAAACCAUCAUGGGAUUCUCUUUCAGAGCAACAUUGCGUUCAACGACUUGGCGAUGUUUGUGGUCAUGACGUUGAAUCUAUUCCUGGGAAGUAAGCCCUGCCUUAUUUUUUAAAUCCAACGUCAUGUUCGAGGCAAGCUGUUGUGUCGGGGUAUAUUUUUUAAGCAAGUUGACUUAGUCAUUAAACUCAUCUAAUUAUCUUCUACUUUUUAAAUAUUGUAUAUUUCUAUAAGGUAUAAUUAUCUUCUAAAAAAAUGAUAUAAAAAUAAUAUAUAAACUGGUGCUCCUAUAAAUAUAAUAUGAAAUUGAUAUAGAAAUUAGUGUCCUUUAAAGAUUAUUUAAUUAUAUCCAAAAAAUAUAAUAUAAAAAAUGGUAUAAAAAGUGAUAUUUCGUAAAGGUUAUUUCAAAAGAACUUAUGACAGUUGAAUAGUUGGUAGAUUUUGUAAAUAAAAACUACCUUUUGUAAAUAAAAAAUAAUAGUGGUAGAUUUUGUAAUAUAGACUCUAAAUUUGUAUAUUUAUGUGAUUUGCCCAUUUCGAAAUAACCUUUAUUAGAGACCUUUUUAGAGUAGGUGCUUCAAAAAAAUUAGAAGUUUACAUUUUAUUUAUCUUAAACUUAGAAAUAUAACAUUAUUUAACUUGCUUAGAAAUAAAACAUUAUUGAACAAUAGUUCCGAGAUAAUCUUCAUCAGUAAGAGCGCACUUGCUAAAACACAGAACAGUAAUUCGGAGUAAAAUAAUUGUAGGUACAACGCUUACAAAUGAUCGCAUUACUGCAAUUGCUAUCAUCGUAGCAAAAUCGAUAACAAGUAAUGAGACCAUCACAAAGUCAGUAAUUUCACUUUCAUUUUUGCAACAUCAAUUGGUAACUUUCUUAAAGCCAUCAUUUUAGGACCCCAACACAGAUUAAUUGCAUGUUACAAAAUCUUUUACUAAGAAAAGUAAGGACAAUAAUAGAUGUUUCUUUGUCUUUUUUUUUUUUUCUAUGAAGAGCUAGUGGAGACUUUCUUGAUAGCAUAAUAUUUCUGUAGAAGAACUAAUAUUGGGACUAGAAAUUUGAGUAAGGGCAAAAUUUGAAAGAAAUAAUUGGAAAUAAAUAGGUUUGACUUUUCAUCAUGCUCUUUUUUUUCAAUUAGUUAAAUUCAUAUAUUUGACAAAGGUAAAAGUAUUUAAAGUUUGGCUUUUGGUCUGCUCUUUUUUUCAGUUAAUUAAAUUCAAAUAUUUGACAAAGAGAGAACAAAUCCACUUAAGAUGGAAGUUCAUAAAGUAAAAAAGAGAAUAAUUGAUGAUUAGGAUAUGAAACUCGUAAAAACGUAUGAAUUCACAUGAGGUAUUUUGACCAGUAUCUUAAUAAGAAAAAUAGUAAAUUGCAUAUAAAAUAAACAUUAGUUAACAAUAUAUAUUUAUUUAAGUUGUAACCCAUAUAUUACAAUAGAUAGAUAGUUCCCCAAUAUUUGGAAAACUAGCUAGGUUACAUAUUUAUCUUCUGAUUAUACAAACUUGAAAACACAACAUUAUUUAAAAUGCUUGAAUAUACACAAAGGCAUAUCAAACAUAUAAUAGUAGUUACAUUCAUCCUUUCCACACAGUAAAUAUAAUCUACGCUCUCCAAGGAUAAUUCACUCAUAACAACACACACUUACUUUUUAACUUGCUUAGAAGCACAAUAUUAUUUAACUUAUUCGAAAGAAAGUUUUAAAAUGACCUUUUAUAGGCGGAACAAUCAAAAAAUUUCCCAGUAUGACCUGUUGGAGCACAAGUUUUACAUAUAAUUCCAUCACUGCAAUCGCUAUCUGAUUUGCAACUUCGAUAACAAGUCAUAACAUUACGGUCAUUACCAAAUGGAAGAAGUAAUUUUUCUUUCAUCUCUGCAACUUCAAUUGGUAAGUCUCUUACAGCCAUCACUUUAGGACCCCAAGAGAUAUUAACUGCACAUAAAUUAAUUAUAAUAAUAAUUAAAAUAAUUAAUAUACACAAAUUAUUACAAAGAAAGAAGAGUGGUAAAAGUAAG
rnacentral:lncRNA from 1 species